rnacentral:lncRNA from 1 species
CUAAAAACCAAAUUUUAAAUCUUUUCAACAUCAUUGACCUAAUGAUCAAAGGGUUUCAAAAUUUGUAAUUUUAUAUGGUCGAUAUGAGACGUUUUCUCGUUUAACGGUGUAAAGCUAUCCAAAUUAAUUGAAUUUUAGGUAGAAAAUUCUUUAAACUAUUUAGAACAAAAUCUAUACUCUCGAUCUUGAUUACAAAAUUCCUAUCAUCACUUUUUAGAGGAUAUUCAUUUUCAGCCGUUAAUUUUUACGCCCACUUGAUGAACAAGAGAACAAUAUCGGAAAAGCAUGAAAUUUGAUUUAUAGAUACUUCAAGUGGUAUAGAUCAUUUUCAACGUACCGAUCGUUAUUUGAGGCUCCAUCGAAGAAAACAAAUGAGUGCAACGGAGCCCGUUUGCUACCGGAUUUCCUAGCUACUAAUAUAUAAUAUAUAUAUAUAUAUAUAUAUAUAUAUAUAUAAUAUUAUUAAUAUGCUAGGUACUAUCCCUUAAGAGAUAGUAGCAACUGUCCUAUCAUAUCAAGUUGUUCUUGAUGAUAGAGAUUCCGAAUCGAUGAUCGGAACAUUGAAGUUGAUCUAGAAUAUUUGAAAUAUCUAGAAACUAAAUUUAUAAAUUUUAAAAUUAUUUACAUGGUGAUCAAAUUGUCGUAAAAUCGACAAUUUUGAUGGCCAAUAUAAGCUGUUUGCUGUUUAACGUGUAGAGCAAUCCAAAUUGCUUGAAUUUUGAUAGAAAAUUCUUUAUUUUAUUUAGAUAAUGUUUGAAAACUCUAAUUAUCAAUUGAGAAAAUCUACCUCUAUUUUAAGAAGGUUAUUCAUUUAUACCGUUCAUUUUUUAAACUCUUCGUGAACUUGAUAAUAAUUUUUAAAUAUUACAAAAUUUGAUUUCUAAAUGUUUCUAAUUGUGUAAUCAAUUACAACGUGCCGAUUAUUAAUUUGAAGUUCCGAUCAUUCAAAACGACUGAUAGAAAUAUCCUCAAUCCUAUUAAUAGGAUAGUAGAUGAACUGUAUAUAAGAGUUGAGCUAGAAUACUCUCAAAAGCACCAUGAAGGUGGUGCUUUUAAGUUUUUAGCCAUUGGAUGAAGAUAUAUGAGAGUUGAGAAAUGGUGGUAGGUGGUGGUUGGUGGUGGUAGGUGAAAUAGUGUUUGAUCAAAGCUAUUAGUAAUCAAGAAGUGAUCAAAGGCUAGAAACUUAGAAGCGCAUCAAGAGGUUGGUGCUUCUAAAGUAUUCUAGCUCAAUUCGUGUGAUAUAGUAUAUAUAUAUAUAUAUAUAUAUAGAGAGAGAGAGAGAGAGAGAGAGAGAGAGAGAGUUGACCUAGAAUACUUGCAAAAGUAUUAUGUGAGUGGUGCUUUUGAGUUUUUAGCCAUUGGAUGGAGAGAUAUGAGGUUGAGAUGAUGAUGGUAGGUAGUGGUAGAUGGAAUAGUGUUUAAUCCAAAGACUAUUAGUAAUCAAGGAGUAGAUCCAAUAGCUAAAAACCUAAUAGCAUCAUGCGAGUAAUACUUGUAAAAAUAUUCUAACUCAAUUAUAUAUAUAUAUAUAUAUUCCCUGUUAACCACAGUAAGAUGUUCACACGGCAAAACACAAACUAUAGUACUAAAAUAAUUACUUAAUUACAUACUAAUUUUCACAAAAUCAUUUGCCAAACAACCAAAAUCUAAAUAAAUUAAUUAGCAAACACUUCAAAAGCACUUCUUUAUGUUUCCUUUCUAUAUAGCUCGUACAUUAUGCAUAAUUAGUAGAACUAGUUGAUGAGUUUAAUUCCCCCUUUGUUUAAACAACUAAUAAUUAAGCUCCACAUAAAAACACUCAUCCAGCUAACUCAGAAAAAUAAAAAAGCUACAACAUUAAUACAAGUACUCAACAAGAAAUAAAUGUUCUAGCUAGAAAUAAUAACACAAAAUACAUAAAUACUAGCUUAAGUGCAUACAUACACACUUGGAUACAUUGAACAUAAUCAUAAAUACGAGAGGUGCGACCACUACUAGAAGAUGUUCGUAAUCGGUCUUGAGCACACAUCGAUCGUUAGCGACCGUACGUACUUCAUUAUUAUUCACUAACUAGUUUAAGGCCCGAAGCGGUAGAGUCCGUCGUUGACGAAGUGGCCAUCCAUGUAGAGAGCGGCGGCGGCAGCGGCAGCAGCAUUCGGCGGGUGGUAGCCGUCCAUCAUGACGAACUGCAUCUCAUCGGACGGCUUCCAGUGGCGCUUCCUUUGGUUGAUGAACCAGUUGUUGAUCUGCUUCAGAUCAAGCCCCGUGGAUUCGGCUAACGCCACCUUUUGCGUCUCCUGCGUGUUUGUUAUCGAUCGCAUGAAUGAGUUAUACAAAGUACCUUGUUACAUGAUCACAUGAAUGAGCAUACAAAGUACCUAGCUACAAAUUCUCGGUUAAAAAUUAUGGUCCUUAAACAUUCGUGAUAUUGCAGAACAUACCUGAGGCAGGCCUAUGCCGCGUUAAGAGAGAAAAUGCACGAGGACGGAAAGAAAGAUGCACGAAGAACACAAUUCUUUGACAAAACGAAAAUAUUAUUAAUCAACUCUAAAGCUUAUUACAGUAACUAAACGCCAUGUAUAUAUAUAGGGUCGAUAUCCGAAUUUACUAUAAUUGAAGGUGAUAAGCUCUAAUAUAUCUCUAAACCUAAACCGAUGAGAAAUAACAAAAUAAUCGGACUCAAAAUAGAAAAAAUAUAAAACCUUUUGAAAAUAACCUAAAAAUGCAAAAAUAGAGGCCGAAACAGUUGAAUUUGAGCCCUAAACUCAGCCGGAACUACUUUGUUGUUCGACGCAUAGAUCUCGAAAAGUGUUUUCCGAAUUGGGGUUGCAUGUUGAAAUCGGACACUCGAGCGAAAAGUGAUGGCCGUUUAAAAAUUUUCCGCGCCGAUUGUAAAAUUGCCGAACUAAACAGAAUUUUUGGCCCUGCUUAAUUGGGUCACGCUUUUCCAGAAACUCUACCACUAACUUGGCUGCAUCACUAUCCAAACUAUGGCCCGCUUUGAUCUAUCUAACCUCUUAAUUUGUUUAAUUUGAGCAAUUUGAUAACUCUUAAACUUUAAAAUUUGCACAUCUCAUUUACUCUAACAAUUAGUGUGUGAGAUUAUUUCAAGUGACUACAUUUUCAUAAAACAAGUGUUAAUUCACAUCCAAUUAUAUAGAAGUGUUGUUGAAUGGUUCAAUUCAAACAAAUUGAUGAGUUAGGUAUAAAAAAUCAAAACUUAAUUACUUAUAUUUUGAAAUUAGAUUACUAACUACAAUUUGCCAAACGAAACUCCGACAUUCAUCACUCACAUGACCAUAAACCCCUCUCCCUAAAAUAUCUUACCAUUUCACUUCACUCGAAACAAGAUUAAAACGAUUUUUUCACAAGCAGGAGGAAGGCGUAGAACACGCAACUCAAUAGCCGUCGAUGGCAUGUAGUAUAUUAUGCAAGAGUUUCAUGUACUAUAAUAUAAGUUGACGAACAAUAUCGAUGUUGAACAUAAGAACACUAACCAAGGCAUGAGGCAGGAUAUGAUGCAAGAGUUUCAUGCACUAUAAUCUAAGUCGACGGACGAUAUCAACGUUGAACAUAAAACACUAACCGAGGGAUAAGCCAGUAUAUUAUGCAAGAGUUUCAUGGACUAUAAUCUGAGUCCACAAACGAUAUCAACGUUGAACAUAAAAACACUAACCGAGGGAUAAGCCAGUAUAUUACGCAAGAGUUUCGUGGACUAUGAUAUAAGUUGACGGAUGAUACCAAUGUUGAACAUAAAAACACUUACCGAGGGAUAAGGCAGUAUCCUAUGCAAGAGUUUCGUGGACUAUGUUAUAAGUCGACGGAUGAUACCAAUGUUGAACAUAAAAACACUUACUGAGGGAUAAGGCAGUAUCCUAUGCAAGAGUUUCACGGACUAUGAUAGAAGUCGACCGAUGAUAUCAAUGUUGAUAACAUAAAGACACUAACCGAGGGAUAGGGCCAUUUGUAGUGGAGUUCCCACCAGUUGAGCAGCUGUUGGCGUGCGUCCUUGGGGAGCUUGCCUUUCUUCUUUUUCUUGGACAGCUCCUGCUUCAGGCUGCCGAGGUACCCGCUGUACCUCUUCAGCAGAUGCUGCCUCAGCUCCUGGCCUUCGCCGCGCGCGUCGAGAUCCCUCAGAUCGGUUUCUCCCCCGCUUCCGUCCUGGUCCUCCUCAGAAGAACACGCUCCGCAUUUAUCUAUCAUACAUACAUUAAAUAUCAGAUGCAGGAACUCAAGCUCAUUUCAGCAGAUACUUGCUAUGAUUAUAAACCUUAAAUUUGCUAUGAUCUACAGAAAUUAUACCCAUUAAACUUGAUUUGAUCCAAAGUAUAAAUCACAAACAUGGAACAUAUGUAGGUAAACUAGAUGAUGCAAGCUUUUCUUCAUUUUUUUUCCCAAUGUUUUACCAAUCUGAAGAUAUGUAGUACAUUGAUUCAAAAAGAAAGAUAUACAAAUUAGCAGCUAUAAAAUGCCAGAUAUAUAAAAAUCCAUCCUCAUGGAUUAUCAUAUAUAGACACAGAUUUUCAAAAAGUAAGGUAAUUGCAUAAAUUAUUAAAGCAAAUAAGUAAAAGGAAAAACAGGCGGUAAUGAAUUCUACCGGAUAUGAGAAAACAUAGGUCGUCAUUUACGUGUGUGUGUGUGUGUGUGUGUGUGUGUGUGUGUGCGUGUGUGAUGGUUCCAUGCUAUGUGUUUUGUAUAAUGUGUGGUUUUGCUUAUAUACUUUAUUUACAUACACUUAUAUAUAGAUGAUGACUACAACGAAAGCAUACUUCAUCGUAUAAAAUGAACAUUGCACUACAAUAUGGCAUGUGAUGAUAAUAUUAUUUCUGUACUUCUAGAAAUAAACAGAAGUAUGUACACAUUUCUCAUAACAACAAAAAUCAGAAAAGAAGAAAAAAUUGAAGACUACGAUAAUGGAGAUUAGCAUUUAAAUAAAUUCAAGAACAGUGGUACCAACAAUAAAAAGGUAGAAAAAUUGCAACAAUGUAGUGAAAAAUCUGGCUUUGGACCACGUAAUUAAAUUCGCAUUUACAGCGAAUGUGGGAUAGGGUCUACUAAACCUGGCACCUAUUCGCAUGAGAUAUCAUUCUAAGAAAAGUCACAACAAAUCUGUAUGCAAGGAGCAUGAGUAAAUUUAUUUUCAUAUAUAAUUUUUUUCGAAGUAAAUUUAUUAUCAUAUAUAAUUUUUCCUUUUUCCAAGUAAAUUAUCACAUACAUAUGUGACUAGAAAGAAAUUUUAUGCAGAUCUAUGACUAUGUGAUAGUAAAGCUAUCGUUGAUCAGCGCAAGAAGACACAGCAAAUCGAGCAUACGAUCAUUGCAUUAUGAACAAUUGCUCCUAACUAUUUAGUCCUCACAAAGAAGAGAUGACUCACAAUAACCAAACACGAACUACCCGUCGUGACAGAAAUGUAAGUUACUUUAACAUAAUAAUUAAAAUUGAUUAGUUAAUAUGACACAAGUAGUAAAAAAUGUUACAACGAUAAUGCUCGCAAUGAUUUAAAAUAUAGUCGGUUGAGCGUUUAUCUAACUUUAUCAUGCUCUUACUGGUUGAAGUUGUUAGAUAUGCUAACUAGAAAACUAGAUAAAACAUUGAGUUGAGUUUUUAUCUUUUAUUGUCUAACUCCUCUCGAUCACAUGGAAUCUGACCCCACAUCCUCAUGUUCUCUCUUAUAUGCUCUCUCAUAUUUUACUAGUGGUUUACAUAUAUACAAAUUGCCAAUAUACCAUAACAAGUGUACUGGAGAGAAUUGCUUGAACACCUAUCACACAAUAGAGUUUUUGUUGGAGAGAGUUGUCGGGCCCUAAACAAACAAACAAACAGGAAAAAAAAAAAAAAGAACUGCAAUGAAAUAACCAAAUUACAGAUUUUGAAGGAAAAUAUAAAUUUCGAAAACUAUCAGCUCGAAAUUGAUUUGACAGCGCGCAUGUGCCAACUUGCUUUUUUUUAGUGUCUUUAUCUUCGAAAGUUCAUUUCAUGAUACAAUCCAACUGCAGAUCAAAAUGACAAAAAGAUGGCACUAGAGGAGAAUAUUAAUUGUACAUUUUCAUGCUUGAAUAGUUCAAACUAUGAAUAAUAUAACAAAAAACAAAUGAAUGAAGUUACAUUAGAGAAUGUUCAGUCAAUUCUGAAUUCACAUAUUUCGAGUACUAAAAACAGAUUACCAAAAGAAAACUAAAAGUUGUACAAAAGAUUAAACAACGAACCCUACAAAAAGGCUAAUCCAUGGGUUAGUAGCUUAAAAGAAUUAAAAAUAUAUAUAUAUGAGUAGCUUAGGAUUAGGAGUAGACAAAUUAAGAGGAAAGAGAAGUUCCACAAGAUUAAAUAAUCAAGACCAAACAAGUAAAGAAUCUUUUAAGAAAAGUUCCGUUGAGUUACGCCAAAACUCCAUCCAAUGUGGACAAUUUCCCUCAAAAAAAAGAUUAAUCAAUUUUAAACCCCAGGUGGAACUGGGAUGUGUUAAAUAUAAAAAUACUUAGCCGAUGUGCACCUCACUUCGGCACCUUUUGACUUCCUUUAAUAUUAGCCCGAAGUAGUGUAUUCGGUCAAAUCCACACCACAAGAAAGUAGAGAUUUUACGGAGCUUGUGUUUCAUGAUUACCAAACAUACCCUUAAAUCUUGCUAAAAGUGCACCAAAGAAGAGUGAUUAGAGAAGCAUCCAAUGCUAGCUCUUUCCAUUGCCCAUUCCCCAGUUCAUGAGAGAGAGAGAGAAAGAGAGAGAGAGAGAGAGAGAGAGAGAGAGGGAGGAGGAAAUUGCAAUACAAUGUUGAUCAAAGGAUAUAAAUGUGAUACAACAUAUAUACAAUGAAAAGAUAUACAUGUGUGACAUAUAAAAUAAUAUAUUAUUACUAUUAUUUUAUUUUAUAUUUUGUAUACACACUAUAUGUCAAAGAUUUAAGGCCACGAGCCAAUUACUGCAGCGAUUAUUCUCGAGGCAUAGAAUUCUCACACACAAAAACUUUGGAACCCUAAAAAGAUUACCCAAAAUUGUCAGAACAAAAGGAGGUCUAGUUUUCACACACCAUUUACUAUACCCAUCCCCCCUUACUCUCUCAAAAAAUAUUCGCAUUUUCCCCAUUAAAACAUGUUGGAACAAAACAAAAUAAAAAAACUUCUACAAAUAUUAUCACUAAUAAAUAAAAUGGUAGGAGAUGAGACUGCAGUGAGGAACUGAGUAACUGUGCUACUAUACCCUCGUGAUAGGUCAAAAGAAACCCCCUCCUUUACCCCCUCCUCAUUACAUGAGCCUAUAUUAUAUAGCAAAUACUAAGAUAUGUAUAUAUAUAUACAACAUAUAUGUAUAUAUAAUAAAGAUAGUGGUGUGUGUGUGUGUGUAUAUAUAUAUAUAUAUAUAUAUAGAGAGAGAGAGAGAGAGAGAGAGAGAGAGACAGAGAGAGAGAGAGUUAAUGAUGGAGAAAUGAGAAGAACAAUUUUAUUCUGGUUUGCGUGACAGAAGGGGGUUCACCUCGUAACAAUGCAUGUGUACUUGGACUACUGACAUACGGCAGUAGCAGUACUCUUCUUCCUCCUCCUCCUCCUCGGCCUUGCACUGUUUACCAAACCCUAACUCACUCUCCCUAUCCCUCUCCUUCUCCUUUCCCUCAUGGGUAAGGUUGAUAAUAAUAAGAGCAAUAAUAAAACCCAAAAGAGAAAGGAAAAAGAAAAAAAAAAAAAGAGAGAGAGAAAAAGAGACCCACAUGCAACAUGUAUAUACUAUGCUUAGUGCUUCAAUGUAGGGUUAAUUAGGAAGUGAAAUGGUUCAAAGUUGAUUGAACCAUCAUGAGAGGCUCCCCUCUCCCCUUACCCUCACUAGUAAGGUUAAUUAAUAAGAGCAAAACCUAUUUAAAGAGAAGGGCCAAAAAAAAGACAUAAAUAAACUUUAUAAAAAAAAAAAACAGAGAAAGAAAAAGGCCCACAUGCAGCAUAUAGUUCUUACUAUGCUCAACAUUUCUUUGUAGGGUUUAGGGAGUGAAUUAAGGUUCAUUAAUAAGAGAGAGCCAUAAAAAGAGAAGGGAAAAAAGAAAGAAAGAAAGAAGGAGAAAGAAAAAGGCUCAUAUAUAUGCAACAUAUACUAUGUUGAAUAAUGUUUCUUUGUGGGGUAUAGGGAGUGAAAUGCAUGGUGUAUAUGUGUGUGUGUAUAUAUGUAUAGUUGUACCAGAAGAGAGGAUGCCACCGAGGGAGGAGCGGUUGGAGAGGGAGAGGGAGUUGAGUUGGGACUCCACCCUGCGAAGGAACUCCAUGGCCUCUUGUAAUGGCCUCGUUAGCUCCUCCCUAUACUUCACCAACAUCUCAUGAUACGCCUCCUAUUCAGAAGUAAAAAAGAAGAGGAUUAAUUAAUUUGCUGAUUAAGAAAUCUCUCUCUCUCUAAGUACAUAUGAGGUAGCUAAAAACCAUAUAUUAUAUAACUUGAUGAGAAGGCAUAAUAUGUAAACACUAGAAGAAGAACAAGAACAAGGAGGAGAUUUGCUAAGAACCACAAAAUACAAGCUCUAGCUAAAGAUAUAUAUAUAUAUAUAUAUAUAUAUAUAUAUAUAUAUAUAUAUAUAUAUAUAUAUAUAUAUACCCCCAUCCCAGUAUAAUUAUGAGUGGGAGUUGGAAUAAUUUUGUAGCUUCAGUACCGAAAUAAAUGUUGAUAUCUACGAUUUUUUCUAAGUCACGAGUUCAGUUCCGUAACAUCAAUAUAUAUGUAUAUAUACAUAUACAUAUAUGUGAAAAGCAUAGGUUUAUAGAUUGAUGUACACGUAUACAUGUGAUUAGUACUAGUAAACCCACCAUGAACUGGUCGAGCUCGGGCUCGGUGGGCGCGUCGAGAGAGCUCAGCGCGGCGCGUUGCCGCGCCUCCAAGUCCUGCGCCAGCGCCGAGAGCCGCGCCGCCACCUCCGGCGGAGCCCCCACCUGGAUCAGAAAUUAAGUCACUACUACUACUACUACUACUACGACUACUACUACUACCACUAUAAAUCAUCAUACGUACAAUUUAUUAAUGAUCAUUAAUUUGGACACACAAACUAACAAAGUAGUAAACAAGAGAAUUAAAGGGGGAAAAAAAAGUUACAAGAAACAAAACAUGCCUUUUGGCAGUCUAAGUAGGCAGCAAGAAGGGAUGAGUAGUGGGGGUGGGAGAUGAUCUUAGCCUUGAUGGCCUCCACAUCACCAUUAUUAGCAGGGAUCAUCACUUGAGAGGAAGAGCCCUCCUCGUUGGGUUUGGGUUCAAGGUGAGGAUGAUGAUUAUGAUUAUGAUUAUUAUGAUUAUUGUUAUUACUGCUACUGUUGUUGUUGUUGUUGUUGCUAUGAUGAUGGUUGUGGAAGGGGUGAUUAGAACAACUAGUAAAGGGAAUAAGGUGGUGGCCUCCACUACUACUACUACUCAAGUGAGGAGGAGGAGCAAGUUGAGGAUGUGGUGCUGGUGCAACCACUGCAGUGUUUGUUGUUGCAGUAGAAGCAGCAGCAGCAGUAGCAGUAGCAGUAGUAGUAGUAGUGGUGGAGUGUGAAGAGAAAGCAUACAUCAAUGAUCCCCAUGGAUUGUUACCACCUCCAAACUGCUGGGAAAUUUCCUCCAUUCCCUCUCUGCAACAACAACCCCCACACCCACACACACACACACACACACACACAAAAACUGAAGCUUUUUGGGAGGAGAGAAAGAAAAGGGAGGAGUAAAGGGUAGGGGGAGAGAGAAGCAAAAGAGAGGAGUGGAGCUCUCUCUAAGCUAUCAUUUGAUUAAGAGAGAGAGAGAGAGAGAGAGGGAGAGAGAGAGAGGGGAGGAAGAGGAAAGGAGAUAGGCUGGAUGCAACACACCUAGAGAGAGAGAGAGAGGGAGAGAGAGAAAGGGUGAGAGAGAGAGAGAGGAGGGGAAAAGGGUGUGUGGUGGCUUUCUUUUCCAAGUCAAAUCAAGGGGGAAGUGGCCAUGAAGUGGCGGUGGAGAAAUAAAAACCCAAAGACACAAAAGAUACGCAUGUAUAUGUAUGUACAAUAAAAAAAAUAAUAAUAAUAAUAUAAGAAUGCUGUUUAACCACUGUUAAAAAAAAACAUUCUUAAGCAUUCUAUGUAUCGUUUGAUUCGAAAAUAAGUAAAAAGUAAUUAUUUCAGAAAUAGAUAUAAAUUGAGGUAUAAAUAAGAUUAGAUCAAUUUUAUAUUUGGAUAAAAAUUAAGUUAUUCCUAGAAAUAAAAAAAAAUAACGUUUGGCUAGGUAAGAUAGUAUAAGAAAAAUAGUAGAUUUUUAUAAAUAAAAAAUAAUUAUAUUAUCCUCUUAUUAUAUUUGAAUUUAAAUUUUUAAAUUUAAAUUUUUAAAUUUAAAUUUUUAAAUUUAAAAUUUUAACUUUGAAAUUUCAAAANAAAUUCUACUUAAACUUAAAUUUAAUAAAAAGAAUUUAUUAAAAUAUUUAAAUAUAAUUUAUUAUAAAUUUUAUUAUAAUAUUUAUAUAUAAAUAAUAUGUAUUAAUAUAGUACAAUUAAUAAUUUUAUAAUAAAAAUAAUAUAUUAUAAUAUAUAACAUAUUAUAUUUAAAUAAUUUAGUUUUAAUUCAAUUUAUAAUUUUAAUUAAGUUUGAAAUUAAGUAUUGGAAUAACAUUAUUCCACCAAAAUGGUAAAAUAGCAAAUCCCUUGCUAUUCCGAGAUAACCAGGAAUAGCAAGGUUCGACUGGAAUAAAAUAUUCCAGCCAAAUUUCAUCCCGUUUGACGGAAUAGCGGGGUUUCGUUAUCCCUACUUAUCCCCCAACCAAACGGGUUACAUUAUACCCAAAAUCCACAUUUCAAAAAAUAUCUUUAGGCCAAUUUGCAUAAAAAAUCCAUUUAUUUUGGACUUUUCAAAACGGGCCACCUUUUUUGUUUUGGCAGAUUCAGCACCCGUUUUUUCAGCAAACUGACCAAAUCUUAUUACUUUUUUUCUUUCCUCUUUCUCUCCACUCUUCCGUUUCUGUCGUUUUUUUUUUUUUCUCGCCCAAAAAAAAAGAGGGCGAUCGGACCGUUCGGCCCUCCCUCUUCACCCUCCUUCUUCACCGUUGCCUCGCUCCUCACCUUCCUCUCCCACGCCUCUGCGACCUCUCGUCCUCUCCCGCCGCCGCCGCCGAAGCCCACCCCCGUUCGUCUCCGUCGCAGUCGCAGCCGAAGGCACCACGGCCAUGACGGCGCGCAGGCCCAUUUGGCGCUCGUCCCGUCGUUCUCCGUCGCGAGCCCUCGUACCGCCGCCGGCGGCGUCGUCAUCGCUAUCGACGCAAAAUUUCAGGCGGCGCGGCGGAGGAGACGGUGCAGAGUUCUGUCGCCGGCGGCUGUGAAGCGGAGCUACCGGAUUGGACGCCGGCGACGCCGUCGACGCGUCCAGGCCGUCGGCCUGCUGCACUCGCCAUCGCGCUGAGGCCAGCCGGACUCUGUCAGCUUGCGACUGUGGAGUUCGGACCGCGACGUCGAGCCGGGCUGCGGCGACGAUGCGCUUGAGGACAAAUACUAAUUAACAAUCAGAAACCUCGUCCGCGGCGGGGUGGAGCUGACUGACGCGGCUUGCUCCUGACGCGGGGCGCGCGCGCGUGCGGGGCGAUGUCGGCGGGGGGACCGGUGCACGCGCGGCGUGCGACAGGGGCACUGCGGGGCGGCGGCUGGCAUGCUUUUCUUGCUUUCUUUCUAUGUAAUGGCUCGACACCAUUAACAUUAAUGGUGUAAUUUCUGGUGUAAUGGUGUAAUGGUGCACCAUUGAGUGUAAUGGAUGCCUCAUUGCACAUAAAUUCGGUGAAUUGCCAUUCACCAUAUAAUGGGGGUGGGCUUGGCGACAGGCAAGGGGGACGACAAUGACGGCGAGGAGACGACGGUGGGCCCCGGUGGACGGGCUCAGCAAGGGGGAGUGAACCGAGGCGAUGGAGGUUACGAGGCGUGUCGGCAAAGGGGCGAGAACGAUGGGCUCGCGACGGCGACAGGCACCGGCGACGGAGACGACGGUAGGGGGUAGGGCUCGACGGCGAGCUGGCGAGGAGAGGAGGAGGGUCGCGGCGGAGCUGUCGCGUGCAAGAGAGGAGACGAUCGCGGGGAAUUCUCGACACUUGAGCUGACGGAAUGAGCUUGCUCCGCCCCUGCAAACUUCCCCAGGGUGACGACACGGCGGCGGGUUCGAGCUUGUUAGAGGAGGAGGAGAGAGGACGGGAGCUUCGCGGCGGUAUGAGCGAGGACGACGGGAGAUGUGAGGAGGGGCAUGAGGGAGGAGAAAGAAAAGAGGAUGAGAAGAGGAGGCGAAGACGACGGCUGGGGUGGCUCGGCUUGGGCUGGGGCGGUUGGGAGAGAGGAGAGGGUUCGGCUUGCGGCAGCCGGAGGGAGGGGCUAGCGGGGGCUCGAAAAAGAACAAGAAAAAAAAAAAAGAACGGAAAGAACAGAGGGAAAGAGAAAGAGGGGGGAAGAGGAAAAGUAUAAGGUAUUAUUUGGUCAGUUUAUGAAAAGAACACGAGCCGAGAAUCUGACAAAAACGUGAAAAAAAAGUGACCCGAUUUUGCAAGAAGCCAAAAUAAGUUGGAUUUUUAUUGCAAGAAGGCCAUAUCUUAUAUUAAACUUUCAUUAUAUAAAAACUAAUUCAUUAAAUAAUAAAUUUAUCACUUUUUAAUUAUUCAAUAUUUUAAAAGUUGAAUUUUAAAAAAUUAUUACCUUUAACAUAAAUUAUUUUUAUCUUACUUAGUAUAACGUUAGUAUGUAGUGCGAUUUUUUUAUUUGUCAAUACUUUCAAAUUGAUGCUAAACUAUAUUAGAAUAUUUUAAAAUAUUAUUAAAUAUAAAAAAUAUUUAAGAAAUAUUAUUUUUUGUAGUGGUAUAAUUAAUUGUGUUCUCUCAAACUUAGCUUAGCUACUGCAUAAAAAAAAAAAAAAAAAAAGAAAAAAAAAAAAAAAAAAAAAAAAAAAAAAAAAAAAAACUGAAGAAUAAUUGAGAGACAGAAUAGAGCUGUGGACAACAAGAGAGAGAGAGAGAGAGAGAGAGAGAGAGAGAGAGAGAGAGUGUGUAAUCAGAGGGGAACAACCAGUAACAUGUGAAAGAGAUGGAGAGAGAGAGAGAGAGAGAGAGAGAGAGAGAGAGAGAAUAUAUGUGGAAUUUACACUACUGGAACACACAGGUGUGGGCAGUGGAUGUGGGCUCGUGCCUCUCUGUGCGUCUGGUUCAUGGUUGGAUUCUACUAAUAUAUAUAUAUAUAAUUAUAUAUAUAUGUACAUACACACACUACGUAGAGAAAUUGUUGGAUGCACCAGGACUAUGCAUAGACCGAAUCUUAGAUAGCUCGAUCCAGCGAAUUUUUUUUUUGCAAGAAAGCCACAAUUUCUUUUUUUUUGAUUAAACAGAUAUGUACCCUAUUUUAAAAUAUAUUAUAAAGGCGCGGGACAAUUUAGUCCAUAACUGAUACUUAGUGUUAAAUAUAAAAAUGUUUAAACACUGUUUUUUAAUAAUUUAAGCUUUUAGAGUACAACAAUUGUUUCACAUGGUAUCAGAUCAGGAGGUCCUGAGUUCGAGUCACGUCUGGCUUCUAGCAUAUUAAUUUCCUCCCAUUUAAUUCAAGCCCACAUCAAGGGCUGAUUAAAAAGUUUCGAGCCCAGACAUGAGGAAAAAUGUUAAAUAUAAAAAUGUUUAAACACCGUUCUCUAAUAACUUAAGUUUUUAGAGUGCAACGGUUGUUUCACACUUAGCUCACUAAAAUAGUGCCAAAAAAACACGCAAAUAAACAGCGAAUAAGAAUUUAAAAAGCGUUGUGAGCAAAGAACAGUCUCAACUUCCUAGGACAUACUUUCGUAGCCCCAUUAUGCAAAGAACUCUUUUUUCCAAAUUUUUUGCUUUGGCUUAGAUGAUUGUUGAAAAUUCUCAUAUUCUGCUCAUUCUAUAGCUCCCAGCAAGCCGCUGUAAAAUAGAAAUCAAAAGUAGUUUUAGAUUGCCAUGAUAAUAUCAUCCUUACUCGAGUUGCUAUCUGUAUUUUAAUUUUGGCUAAAUUACAUAAAACCCUCCCGUCAAAAUCUGAAUUUUCACUUUUUCCCCUGUGAUUUAAAAACCUACACUUUGCCUCCUUGUAAAAUAAAAAAUGUUCAUAGAGGGUUACGAUAUGAACUGUGAUGAUAAAAUGACUAUUUUGCCCCUCACCAUGAUCACAGAAGAAAAAGUUGAGGACUUUAUAAACGGAAUCCUAAUGGAUUACUAAUGGCAGGGGGCGAAUUGAACAUUUUUCAUUUUACAAUGAGACAAAGUGUAGGGUUUUAAAUGAUAGGAGGGAAAGUGAAAAAUCGGAUUUUGACUGGGGGUUUAUGUAAUUUAGCCUUUAAUUUUAAGUUAGAAUUAAUAAUUUCGUUUUAAAAGAUUUGAAGUGGUAGUUCACAAUAGUUCAACAAUUAUUAGAAAAUUAUUAUCUCAGCACUUGAUUACAGAAUGCGCAUCCUUAAUCUUAUCAAAAUAAUAUUAAUAAGACUAAGGAGUAAAAGAUUAUCUCUAGCUACUAACCUUACUCCUAAAUAUAUACCAUUCUAAAUGAUAAACCAAUUACUCAGAUUGAUUUAUAAAACUAUUUAGAAUUUUUUAGUUUAAUGUCAUAUAGUGUAGCUAAAAAUAUAUAGUGCUGACAAUAUUAUAACAGUUAUAACUAUAUAUAUGUAUCUUGCUUGGUUGGAUAUGGUAGAAAAUACUAUAAUUAUAAAUAAUUUAUUUUAUUGCAUGCAAUUGAAUACUAUAUUUAUAAAUUUUAUUCCUUUAUAUUCCGGGCGGUGAGAUUACCCGUACGAUAGAAGAAAAAUAUUAUUUAAAGUAGAUCAUUUAGUUUACCUUAUGUUUAUAAUUUAAUCACUCUAUUCAUGCAGGUGUUGUGGUUUAGGCGUUUAUUAUAAUUAAUUUUUUUUGUACAGUUCCAACAUUAUAGCAGCUAGAUUUAAAUUUAUCAAAUUAAAUAGCAUAUAUGAAUUUACAUACAAUUAAAUCUGUAAGAUAGUUGUAAUUGAAUGUAACCAAAUGGCUUUUUAAUUUAUUAUUUUUACCUUUAUCUUAUUCUCACAUAAUAAAUUUUAAAUAUUAGUUAUCUAGAAUCUUUUAGACUAGAUGAACUUUUCUUUCUUUUCAUUUUAAGAUCUCUAAUUUGGAGUUCUAUAAAUACUAAUAUAUCCUAUCGGAUCGUAUAUAUUAACUAUUAACUCCAAAAUUUUAAACUGUCAGAAAUAUACAACCAAUUCACUUAUAAGCGUACAUAUACAACUCCCACAGCCCAACCAACCUCACGCCACUUCAAAUAUGACUCGAUCUAAUUCGAUCUUCCGUUGCUGGUCAGAAUGCUGGCCUUUGUAAGCCAACAUAUCUUAUUAAAAAAAUAUAAAAAAAGAAAAAAAAAAUGGUCUAUAUGUAGACUUGUUCCAUGCAAUAUAUAAUUUCUCAUACUACAAACCUUAAUAACAUGUAUACUCUUCUUUCUCUCUCUAAAAAAACUCUCCCCACUCAGACUCUCUUUCUCUCUCUUCUAUGAUCUUUGUGUCUCACUCUGACAAGACUUCCUGGCCCCUGCUGUUCCUCAUGCUGUUCUGUAUAACUUGGGGAAACGAGGGAUUAAUUAAUUAAUAAUUAAAUUAUUAUCAUACUCAAAAAAUAUAUAUAUAAUAUAUAUAAAAAAGAAGAUCAUUCCCUAGACGAAAUAUUCCAUAGCACGAUCGAUAUGCAUGCUUACGACAUCUAAUCCUGGCUUUUCCAAAUCUCUUCUUAUUAGUUUAUUAAUUAGAUGUGUUCUACGGACUUUUAGUAACAUUAUUAUUACUAUGUGUUUACUUCAUUAUUGUGAUUCAGAUGUUACAUAGUACAUUAGCCACCUUUUAAGUGUACUAAUUAUAGGAGAACUUUUACUAAUUAUAAUAAUUAUUAUUAUAGCAAAAGGUUGUACAUAUGUAGUUAUAUAUUGUCUAUCUAAAGUGGUUAGGAUACAAAUAGAUGAAUAUGAUAAGUGUCCCUUCAAAAAGUGUAAGCUCCAUACAAAUAUUUUUAAAAACAAAUUAAAGAGUAAGCUCCACAUGCAAGAUGAAGGGCCCAACAACUUGUUUUAGACAAUUCGGUUAGAAAUAUGAUAGUUUAGUUAACCUUUAAUUUUAGUAAAAUAUAAGACACACGCUAAUAAUUUGUUCAAAUAAACUGUUCAUCUGCGCAAUGAAAAAAUUAUUAACUUUCAUUUUUAAUGAAUGAUAGCAAGCUAAGCAACUAAAGACAUUUUAAUUCUACUUUUUUUUUUAAUAUAGGAAACUUUUGUUUAACUUUUUUCUUUUGGACAACCCCAGGAUUACUAGAAUACACUUUUAAGUUCCUGAAACUUAAAAACUAGAUGAUUUUUUGUUUUAGAGUAAUUCUAUAUGUAUUUCUAUAAAGUUUAAUUUAUUAAGAACAGGUUUAUUCCUCCAAAGUUUUCUAAUUAACUACAAUAUAUAUUCGUUUGAAACUUUGCAAUGUGUAAGUUUAUGGCUAUAGUUUGGGCAUUAGUUGACUGUUAAAUUUUAGUAUUUAGAAUUAUUAUGUCCUAGGAAAAAGAUAGUUUUCAUAAAAAGGUUUUGUGGUAGAAAAUAAUAUUUGAUAUUAAUUAAAUAUGAUUAAAAAGUACUUUUUAAGCGUGAAAUGAAUAUUUUGUCGAAUAAAAUUUAAUUUUAAUCAGUCAAUUAAGAGAGAAAUAUAUAUUUGCAAGUCUAGGUAACUUUAAGAAAAUAUUGACUACUUAAAUUCUAUAAAAAUUAAUAUAUAAUUUUAUUGAAGUGCAUGUAUAAUUGCCCCAUUUUUCAAAAAGAAAUGUUAUUGACAUACACCAAAGUGGAGUGUACAUUUUACACAUUUUUUAUUUUAGGAUCAUUAUUUUUUUCUUGUCACAUUAAUUAAUUUUUAUUUUUAUUAAAAAUUAUUUAGAUUUUUGUAAAUUCUAAAAUAAAAGAUGUAAGAUCUAUAGCUCUCACUUUGGAUGUAGAAGUAGGAUUUUCCUUUUUCAAAAAAAUAUAUAAUAAAAUUAUUUUUUUAAAAAUUAUAAUAAAAUUAAAUUUUUUUAAAAUAAUUUAAUUGGUUCAAAAUAUUAUUAUACUAAUAAUAUGACACUCAUAUUCCACAAUAUUUUGACGCUGUCAAACUACUAUUGGCCAGGGCUUGCUUGGUAUUAUGUUUUUUUUUUUUGGGUAUUCAAUUAAAUUAAAAAGGUUAAAUACACAUAGGGUGGUGUGAGUAAUUAAUGAGAUGGGAAAUAUGCUUGAUGGGGAGUCUAAUAAGUGUUGGGGAAUAAAGUUGCAAUGCUCAUCAUGAUGGGGAAGAACUAAAGUAUACUACGUUUUGAUGUGACACUUUGUCGAUAUUAGCAUUUUUUUAUAAUAAUUAAUUAGGUGAAUCUGAGAUCAAUCUACUCAGGCCAUUUAAAAUGUUUUUGUAAAACAAUAAAUUUGUAAUUGAGAUCUAAUUUCCACUAGAUUAUAAUAGGUUCGGGGAGUAAUUAAUUUCUAGAUUUAGCAAUUUUUAGAACCAACUGUUACCAUGUAUAUUAUAUACAAUACAUAUAUUAUUGGAAAAACUUCAAAAAUCCCAUGUGGUUUCGUAUUUUUUUAUUUUAGUACCCUAUGAUUUAAAGUGUAUCAAGUUAGUACCCCGUGGUUUCUCACUUUAUCACUUUAGUAUCCUGUGGUUUAAAGUGUAUCAAGUUAGUACUCUGUGGUUUAUUUCUGUAUCAAGUUAAUACUCUGUGGUUUUAUUUUUGUAUCAAGUUAGUAUCCUGUGGUUUUUAAACCACAGGAUGCUAAAGUGAUAAAGUGCGAAACCACAUGGUACUUACUUGAUACACUUUAAACCAUAGGGUAUUAAAGUGAAAAAGUGCAAAACCACAGAGUACUAACUUGAUACACUUUAAACCACAGGGUACUAAAGCGAGAAAAAGUAAAACCACAUGGGGGGUAUUUGAAGUUUCCUAUUUUAUAUAUAGAGUCUGACUACUAUACUUUUAUGAGUACGAUCACCCUCAUACUCAUAAGUUAUUUUCUAUGAUAGAGCUUCCGAAUCGACGAUUCAUACUGUUAAAUAUUAUCUAGAACAUUUAAAAUUUAUAGAAAUCAAAUUUUAUAAUUUAGCGAUAUCAUUUAUCUUACGAUCAAGAGUUCACAAAAUUAAUAAUUUUUAACGGCCGGUAUGGGAUACUUACUAGUUUAACGGUGUAAAAGAAUUGGAAUAAAUUGAAUUUUUAAUAGAAAAUUCUAUUCACUAACUAGAUAAAGAUCAAUAACUCCGAUCUUAAAUUGAAGGAUCCAAUCAUCCAGUUUUAGGAUGUCGUUCAAUUUUGACCAUUUAUUUUAUGCCCGCUUGAUAGACUUUAUUAUGAUUUCGAAAAAUUACGAAAUUUAUUUUCUAGAAAUUUCAAAUACUCUAAAUCAUAUUUAACGGAGUGGAUCGUUGAUUCGAUAAUUCUAUCAUCGAAAACAACUCAUGAGUACGAAGGACCCUACACUCAUAAGAGUAUAUAAUUACUUUCAUAUAUAUAUAUAUAUAUAUAUCAAUAUAAUAUAUAAUAUAUAUGAGUAUAUAUAUACUAGUAUGAUAUUAUAUAUAUUAUAUUUCUACUAUAUCUAUAAUAGUCGAAUAACCUUGGUAAAUUGAGUUUUCGGCCGUUGGAUGAAAAGAUGUGGCGGUUAGGAUGAUAGUGGUCCUGGUUAAAUUGAUAGUGUCCCCUAGGGUUGAUUGGGUGGUUGGUUUAAUAGUAUAAUCUAACGGGUGGAAUGAUCAAAGAGAGAUCUAACGGUGGAAAACUCAAUAGUACCAAGGGCUUGGUACUAUUGAUAGUAUAAUAGCCGGACUCUAUAUAUAAUAUAUAUAUAGUAUAAAUGAGCUCCUAUACUUUUAAAAGUACCAAGUCAUUGUGCCUUAGUUAAGUUUUUAGCCCUUGGAUAAUAGAUGUGACAGGUGUAUGGAUGAUGUGGGUCCCCUAGGAUUGAGUGGGUGGUUGGUUGAAUAGUAUAAUCUAACGGGUGAAAAUAAUCAAAGGCAUAGAUCUAACGGUAAAAAAUUCACAAGCACCAAGUGCUUGGUACUUUUACAAGCACCAUAGCCGGAUUCUAUAUAUAUAUAUAUUACCAUGUAUAUUUUAUGUUACUAUAUAUAUUACUUCUUUUGUUAGAAUUGUCAUAUUUCUAUACAUUUUUUAUUAUUUCUUUAUAUAACAAGAUAUAAUUAUGUUUUUCCAUAUAAAACCUUUUUCUCUCUUUCUAUAUAAGAGAAUGGAUUUAGAUGAAUAAAAAAUAUAGAAAAUUUCUCAUUCUCUUGUUCAUGGUAUUAGAGACCUUUUAGGAUUUUAUUUUCUUUUGUCGAUAAUAUUACUCCUCUCUUCAGACGGUGAAUUGUCCGUCAAAGAUCUGCACCACGUCGCACCACGCUUGAGGACAACAUGAUCCAGUUCAAGUGAUUAACUGGGGCCACGAUCAUCCUCAUCACGUUUGUGUGGCCGCGCAUCGUACCAGGACGUGUGUCUAAUCGAGCUGCUAGGAGUCAUCUGCACACGCCUAAGCCAAUUCAACCCUUUGGCUCGGCGAGCUUACUCUCUAGUAAACCACUUCUUCAAAUUUGUAUUCUAUUUUUUUUCUUUAUUUGUUUAGUUAUGAUAUUUUCUACCUAUCAAUUUUCACAACUAGUUGACAAAUUAUCUGGUUCUAAUUACUGAGAGUGGUCGAUGUCUGUACAACUUUUAUUUGAUGCUCUAGAUUUAACAUAUCAUAUUAUUGGCACUAAUUAAUCCUUCUUCUGAUGAGAAGAAACUCAAAAAGUGGAGUAUUGUUGACAGACAUACUCGUAAAUUACAUCCACGUCUGUGGAAAUUUACAUCAGAAUACAGUUGAUAAGUUUCUCUACGGCUCAACAAAUGUGGGCACAUCUUAAAAAACUGUAUGAGCAGUCUAGCCAUGUUCACUUAUAUGCUGAAUUUCAAAAGCUGACAUCGGUCCCUCAAGGUGAACACUCCAUUCAGGAGUUCUAUAACUUUAUGCACAGUGGCACCAACUAUUCAUUAAGGAAGAGUCACUGUCCCAGACUUGUUUGGCUUGGACUUAUGCUACCAAACAAACGCAAGUUCGUAAUCAAUAACGCCUUUUCCAAUUUAUUAUGUGUCUACGGCCGGAGUUCGAGGCCUUACGAUGUCAACUUCUUCGUUGAUCUUUACUACCCACCAUUGAUGCAGCAUUUGCAGAGCUUAUUGUAGAGAAAAGUCGUCUUUGAGUAUUGCACUCCUCCAGUCCUUUAACACCAACUGUACUUGCUACUUCCAAUUAAGUCCCUCCUACUCCAGUUGUUCCGUCAUUCGAGUCCUUGAAUUCUAUUGAUUUGUUUGGCCUUCGGAAGAACAAAUGCAAUAUUUUCAAAGCAAAUAUCACCAAUUCUGGUGACAUUCUAUUCAAAAUUGUAGGAAAAAAAAAAAAGUGGGCUGAUCAGCAUCGAAACUCUCCAUGUGGUUAUCUUGCAGCUGCUUCUACUUUGCAGUUUGAACUCUGCUAUUUGUUUAGUAAAAAAUAAAUGAAGCAAAAUUUGGGUGCGUGAGAAAGGAAGUAAUGUUUUUUUUUUCUCGCCUUUUUUUUUUUCAUAAUAUAUUGACUUUGGUCUAGGCUGGCUAGAAGUCAAUUACUUUAUUUUAGAGAGUGAGAUUCAACUGAAGGCAAAAUUAUGAGCCAAAUAAUAAAAGUGAAUAUUUAAUUACAGUCAAAAAUAACUUCACCCUUAAUUCUCCACUUUUGGCAAAACGAACACACCUGCUCCUAAAGAAAAAUUCUAAAAUGCAUUCGUUAUAUUAAUGACGUGACAUCUCCAAUCAAUCAAAUAAAUUCUUUUGCAUUUACCUAUCACAUCACGAUUAUAAAAAUAAUAUUUUUAUUAUACUUUUUUUCAAAAGAAAAGAUGUGAUAGACUUGUUAUUGCAGAUGUGAUACAAGUAUAACACAGUAGACUUCCUCCCUUCCAAAUUAACUUUCAUAAUUGCUUUAAUGCAGUCAUCAUAAUAAAAUUUGUUAGCUGCGCCAAGUUCAUCUACAUGUCCUCACUCCUUGAAUCCAUCAUAUCCCCCAACAAUUAUCCACCUGAAUUAUAAUUUUAAUUCAGCGUUCUGAUUUUUAAAUAUUUCCAACGUAAAAAACAUUGAAACUCAAUAGCUGAGAUGAUUAAAAUAUGAAAAAAGAUUAGCUCUACAUUGCAUGAACGUAUAGAUGCACCGGUGUAGAUUAGUAUAUGGUGUUGUAGUGUAUAACCACAGUAACAACAUUUACGCACCAUGCGUAGAUAAUAAUUUAAAGAGUUUUAAGUCUCUAACAUCAAAGCUUACAAGUUGGACGUAAAUAAAAUUAACUUGACCAAAACUAAGUUCAAGAACUAGCCAUGCAUUUUACACCAAAACAAAAACAAUUUAACGAGUUACAUAUAUGGAGUGAUAUACAUGCAAUUAAUGGCCACAUCUAACGUAGAAUUUAAACCAUGCAAACUACAUUAUAAAUAUACUCAAACAACUCAUCAGCUGAAAAGCUGAUGAACCUCACACACCAUUGAAAAAGACCAAUCACUUAGCCCAUAACACACUCCUAUUUAAUCUCGCGCUUACGCGGGCAUAUAUACAUGCAACUAGUACAUAUAUAUCUCAUACUUGUUUCCCACAAUCAUCAUAUAGAAGCUAAUAUUUACAGAUCAAUUACUGAUUCGUAAUCGACAAAGCUUUAAAAUAUGAUAAGUAGUACCUAUAAUAUAUUCACUACUUUUGGAGCAGCAUAAUCAAUAUAUAAGAUAAAGUUGCUCUGCACCUAUCAAAAAUUGUCGCUAUAUCUGAAUAUCAGCGCCUUCAUCGAUUGAUCGUAUACCCAGUUUGUUUCCAAGACACAGUAGUUUCUUAAAUAUGUAGUCAAAAAGCACAACCUGGGACACUAGAUAGUCUCAGUCCAUUAACAAUAUGGUGUUAGCAACUAUCUAAGUAUCUAAAGCUUAUGCAAGUAUACAAAUAAACUAUAUGAAAAGCUUAGUGAGAACAUCAAAACGGCACGCUAUAUGGAACUGAAAUACACUUAACACCAUAACAUAAAGACCCAAAAGUAGAAUUACAUGACCUCGAAAAGCCAUGCAACGGUAUGUAGAGCUUCAGCGCUUCUUGGUCACAUCUAUCGCCUGCGCGUUGCUCAUGAAAUGGCCGUGCAUGUAGAAUUCCGCUUGCAGGUGGUAAUUAUUACCGUCCCACGCGAUGAACUGCAUCUCCUCCAACGGCUUCCAAUGGCGCUUCCUCUGAUUAAUAAACCAGUUGUUGAUCUGCUUCUGAUCGAGGCCGGUCGACUGCGCUAGAGCCGCCUUCUCCAUUUCCUGUUAAAUCUUAUAUGAUGAGGUGUGAGUAACCAAGCAAUAUUCGUGCAAAUGAGAGAGCCCAUGAAAUAGAGGAUGUGAUGUUAAAGAAUCAGGUUUGUAAUUCCAAGCCAAGAGGUGGAGAUCAAGGGCCAAAGGAUGCCUCACAAGAAAACUAGGGAGUCGUAUGGGAACUAGAGCAUAUCAAGAGUUGGGUAGUUUAAAGGUUAUAACUUAAAAAAACAAAAUUAACCUUCGGAACUGGUUUGAAUCUGCAUGUAGUUACAACUGCAGUGCAGUUACAAUUACAUGUAGAUUCAAAUCCGUUAUUUUGUUUGAUAUAUUUAAAUCCAAUUGUUACAGUUGAAACUAUGCGAGGAGGCUCAAUUGCAGCAGUUUGAGGAACUUUUAACAAAAUAUAACCAUACCUCUAAUCACCUUUUAAGCAACAAAUAUUUUUCUAAAUUCUACAUUAAAGGUAAUUUUACCACCACUUAUAUAAAGUGAUGAAUUUUUGAAAAUGGACUUCUUAACUGCAAAAAACCAAACAAAUAAUUUAUAGUUACAACGUUUUCUACUACAUCCAACCAAACAAAAUGCAUAUAGCUGUAAAUAUUGUAUUUUCAAUUGCAUACAUAUCUAAACUAUACUGCAUUUCUAAUUACAUCCAACCAAACGGCCUCUUUGCACACGGUAGAUUUUUUUUUUUUUUUUGUAUAGAAUGCACAAGUUAUUGUCCACAUUACUAGAAAUCUCAGUAAUCUCAUUACUACAAAUAAAAUUUCUCUUGAUCUUUCAAUUCCUAGAAAUCUUAUACAACACGAUUCAAACGCUCCCGUAUUCAAAUGGUGAGUCGGCCCUCUAAGAUUUCAUCAUAAGACCUCUUACUGUGGAAACAUACCACAUGAAGCAACCGAUUUCACCAAGAUCUGAAGAUCCCGAGAUUCAUAGGUGCAUCUCUAACCACACUAGAUUAUGUUCAGCACUUCCCGCCACUUAAUGUGUAGUUAACCUUCAAAAUGUAUAUCUUUUCAAGAGGUAUAUGCCUACUACAACAUGUACUUUUGUUUGUGCAUUAUAGGGUGGAAAUGGUCAGGAUAAACUCCGAUCAAACCCGACACCGGAUUCUAUAGGAUGCGAAUAUGGUCGUCAAACUUUCGCAUUCGACACAUAUCCGUAUCCGGAAAAGAAAAAAAGGAUGCGGAUAUGAUUUUUUACAAAAUCUGACCGUAUUCGACCGUUUUCACCUCUAAGAGAUAAAGGGACGUUAAUAUAUAUUGUAUACGGGAAAAGUCAUUUUUCUAUUGUGUUUUUCAUUUAUUUUACUAUGAAUUUUAAAUAUAGGUAUACGAAGUUUGAACACGAAUGUGAACCUUCAACUGCAUUGUAUAUUUUAUUUGUGCUAUUUUUAGUUCAUAUUUAUAUAUGCAUAUUAGUAUAUAUUAUUAUCCGAAUAAUAUCUAAAUACAAAUCCGACUUAUAUCUGAAUCCGAAUCCGUUUUAAAAGGAUAGGAUAAUGAAAAUUUAGCAUCGGACAUAUAUUCGCAUCCGAAAAAAAAUAUGGAUGCGAGUAUGAUUUUGUCAAAAAUUCGACUGUAUUCGAUUGUUUUCACCCCUAGUGCUAUAUGUUAAUAUUGCUGCAGUUAGUGGAGAAUAGGGGUGGCAAUCCAGCUUGCUGUUUGCGAGCCGGCUCGUGUUUGGCUCGAAAUGAGCUCGAUAUUGAAUCGCUCGUUUAGUAAACGAGUCGAACACGAGCUGAAUUUUUCAGAGGUCAGCUCGCUUGUAUUCGGCUUGAUAACAGCUCGAAUACAUAUAUUUUAUAUUUAUAUAAUUUAUUUAAUUUAUAUUUAUAUAUAUAAAUAAAUAAUUAUAUAUAUAUAAUAUAUUUUUAUUAUUUAUAGCAAAAUAAAAAUAUAUAGGCGAGCUCAAUUAUAAAAAGACUCAUUUAUAUGUAAAGUUUUAACUAUUAAAUUAAAGUCUAAUGGAUAAGAUUUUAUAAAUUUAUUUUUUAUAUAUAUUCGAUCUAAUCCUUUUAACUUAUUAUUCGUUGGUCAGCUCGUGAGCCGGCUCAUGAACACGAGCUGAAUUUUUUAGCUCGAUACUUUAACGAGCCAGCUUGUGUUCGGUUCGUUUAUUAAACGAGCCGAACACGAGCCCGCUCUAGCUCGCUCGUGUUCAGCUCGUUUACACCCCUAGGGGAGAAGUAGGUGGAGAAUGAAAAUGCGGCACGUACAGAAGGAUAUGGCCAUGUGGAGUGAAUCUCCCACCAAGUUAGGAGCUUCUGGCGAGCUUCUUUCGGAAGCUUCCCUUUCUUCUUCUUCUUCGACAGCUCCUGCCGAAGGCUACUCAAGUACCCGCCGUACUUCUUAAGAAGAUGGCUUCUUAGCUCUCUAUCUUCGGCACGCGGGUCGAUCUCAGGAGCUCCCGUAUCAAUGCUGUUGCUUCUUUCUUCACCAUCAUCUUCAGAAGACAAAUAGAAAGAUAGUUAAUUUGAUAGGACAAAGCAUGCAUGGAUUUAGAGCAGCCCAGUAAUUUAAGUGCUUCGGCUUUGAAGCCUAAGGGUAUACGGGCAUAGAUAGAUUUGUCGGAUUGUUGGUCCUAUCCAUUAAUCCAAAAAACUCGAGCCGUUAAAAAUACACAACCAGUUCAUCUAAAGUGUACAGACACAACGCUCACGGAUUUCGACUGUGACUUAGUCCAACCAGCCUAACGCCACUUUAAACAUGACUCGGCUUAACCUAGCCUCACACAAUUUUGAACGUGACUCAGCUUAAUCUAGCCUCUCGCCAUAGCAUUUUAUCUCACUUUCUCACGCAAUGAAAGAUUUCCAAAGAAAAGUUGAAGCAGUAUAGCUUUUGGACAAAACCAAGGGCUCUUUCUAACCCAAAUUGUUUGAACUCUAAUAGAUACAUUUAAUUUCUAGACGCAGAGAUCAAUAUCAAUACCCUUGCUUAUAAACUCAAGUAUCUCCAACGAUCAAAGCAAUCAUGCAAUAGUAUACAUGCUAGUUCUCUUAGCAUCUUCGAUCCAUUUUGCAGUCAUUUAAUAUGAUUCAUACGAAGAUUAUAGAUUCAACAAUAUUUUAUUUACAAAAAAAAAUUUAAAAUGGUAGAUUUUAGUGGCUCAGAUCAUCGAAACAUGAGAUUCAUUGUUAUUUAAUUGGCAAUACUAAAGUACAAUGCAGCAAUUUCUUAGUAUUUAAUUUUUGAGUAGGUGAGGCUACAUAUAUAUAAAAAAGAAAUCAGCUUUUCCCAGUUUAAAUUAAUGAGCAAGCUAUAUUAAAGGGACAUUUUAGUAACCUAGUCUUUUUUAAAAACUUUAUUUUAAAAUUAGAUAUGUAAAAAUUUUAUUUGUAAAUAUAGUCUCCGUUGUAUUUGUAAGUGAUAAAAACGGUAAAUGGUUCACGGCAUUCAUCAAAUUUUUUUAUGAAGAGAGAAAGCGGUGAGUGAUUAGCCGAUUUUAAAAAGAAUAUACAAAGAAAGAAUGAGAGAGAAUGAAAGGAAAAAAAUAAUAAAAGCGGUAAAUGAUUCACCGCAUUUAAAAUAACUUUUAGUUUUAAGUAGAGUUAUGAAAGCGGUGAAUGAUUCACUGCAUUUAUAAAUCUAUUUUUAUAAUUAUUUUUUUUCAGAAGACUAUUUUUAUAAUUAUAAAUAUUGAUAGGAUUAUAUAUAAAAAAAAUUCAUAUUAAAGUCUAAAUUAAUGGAGCACUUUCUUAGUCUUUUGCAGUUGAAGGCUACAUAAAAAACUAAUGAGCCUUUGCCACGUUAAAUAAGCUAGCUAAAUCCAUUUCAUUUUUUCAGUAAAGGCCAAAUAAAAAAAAAUUUAAUCAUCUACAAAAUCAACCACUCAAAGUGCAUUAACAAAAAGGAGGUUGGUCUCAACUCUCAAAUCUCAACUUUUGGAUAUUGUUAGAUAUAUUUCGAAUUCUUGAACCAUAUGGUUUCGUAACUCUACUCUAUUUUGGUCAACUCAUUAAGUUAAAGUUUGAAUUAUACCUAGUCUUAUUGAGAUUCUUCCAGUUUUAUUGAAUUUUAGUUACUAAUAUAAAUAUAUUCUUUAUUUUUUUAAUUUGGUGUGACAGAUGAGAUAGAGUAGAGGAGUAUUUUGGGAGGAUUUUGUGAGAAAGGCAUUCUUUUGUAUUCCAUUAAUUUUAGUUAUAAUUAAAGUCUUCGUGCCGUCUUCACCCGUAGGCAUAGGCUAAUGACCGACUCACGUAAAUAUUUGUGUAUUUUAUUUUUUUCUCUCUUUUUCGAUUCUCUUUUGGUAUUUUCACAUCCGACAAACUAAAUCUUUUUUGCUUUUAUUGUAAGAGAUAUAAAUAUUUAAACCACUAUUCUCUAAUAGCUAAAGAUUUUGGAGAACAAUAACUGUAUUAUAUUAAUUAUUAAACUAGAUAUUAGAGCAUGAGGUCCUGAAUUUAAAUUUCAUCAGAUUUCUAGUCUCAUUUUAUUUCCUCCCAUUUAAAUUAAACCUAUGUCUUGGUAUAUAAAAAGUCUCAAUCUCAAACAUAAAAAAAAAAACAUUGAAUAUAUAUAUUAAAAACAUAAUUUUUUAAUAGAUUAAACUUUUGAAAAACAAUAAUUGUACUGCAUUAUUGAACUUCAACUAAUUAAGAGAUUGAGCUCACACCUCAUAAAUAAAAAAAUGGAUGGGAAUGGUUGUUGUAAAGCAAAAAAAACGCAGAUAAGACAAUUAUUUACUAAAAAUUAGUACAUAUUGUAAAUGGCCUGAUGUAACAUCACAUGCAUUGAUCUAUCACAGCUUGAAAAAGACCUCUUCCACUUUCUAGAACACUUAAAUUCGCAGUACCAUCAUAUUAUGAACCUCAAUAAGAUUAUUAGUCGAUAAUAAUGCAGUAAUAAAAUGCGAACAAGAGCAACUACAAAUAGUGCAGUAGAAUGCAUGUAUAUAUAUAUAUAUAUAUAUAUAUGGUAUAAUGUGUUAAGUUACCUGCGGAGAAUGAGCGAACGGGUUCAUCGGUGAGUGAGUUGAGCUGUGACUCGGCCCUUCUUAGGAACUCAGUUGCCUCGUUGAGUGGUCUGGUGAACUCUUCCUUAUAGUUCACAAGCAGUUGGUAAUACGCCUCCUAUAUACAUUCAUAUAUAUAUAUAUAUAUAUAUAUAUAUCACAAUCCCAAAACACACUUUACAAUCACUACUAUAUAUGUAAUGAGACAUUAUAAAUAGGUUUCAUUAGUUAAUUAAUUGCGUGCACCAUGAAUUGAUCAAGCUCUGGGUCUACGGGCGGCGGCGGCGACGGGGGUGGCGCAUCUGGAUGGCUCAGCAUAGCCCAAUGCCUCGCCGCAACAUCUCCGGCAGCGGCCGUGAGCUGCUCCACCGCUUCUGGCGGACAACCCACCUGUGAUCACAUUAAUAUAUAUAAUACAUAUUAUUGCGAGAAAAUUAACUCUACAUGCAAUAAACUAUGCAUCUAGUAUUUAUGUAGUGAUGAUAGGAUUUUUAUUUUUUAUUUUUUACAUUUAGUCUCCUCAAAAAUUCUUUUUUCACAAAUGGUCUCUGCAAGAUUAUAAUUGCAGGAACGAUCCUCUUCUUGUCCACGUAAGCGCCACACCGAACAGAAAGGGCUAGAGAGAUAUUGUAAGUUGAACACAGUAAUUUGUUUACCGUAUUCUACAACACGGCAAUCGAAUUACCGUAUAUAUGAUCUCUUUGCUAAGCCACAUAGAUUUUUGUCAAUGUUUUCAAAUUUUUGAGUCAAAGAGAACACGUAAGAGAAUUUAAUUACCGUAUUAUACAACAUAGAGUCUACUAUAUAGCAGUCACAACACAUCAUCUAUAUCUAGCCAAUCACAUCUCUCAUUUUAAGAGAAAAGUAUAAUACAAAUAUUUUUCUAAAAAUUAUGAUAGAAUAGGUGAAUUCCAGAGAAGCAAUUUAAUUGGUCGGGGACACAGCAUCAGUAAUAUGACUACUGUAUUCUAGACUUUUUCCCUCUAUACAGCGUGGCACUCGUAGCAUGCAUGGCACUCGCAUGGAUUAAGAAGAGACAAUAUCUACAAUUAUAAUUGAGUAAUGUUAUUUAUACACCCCAAAAAAACUUGUACAUUGUUCAUCCUAAUAAUUCAAUGAAUGAGAAUUUUUUUAACAUGUCAAUUUGUCAUACGAUAUGACUAGUAAAAUAAUCUCAUGCAUUGAAUGGAUAGGUGUAGGGUGUAUGAGUAGCGUUUCCCAUGCAGUAAACACAUACAUAAACUUCAAUAAAAGAAAAUCUAAUUUUACUACCUGAUUUAAGAAGAAAAAUAAUUCUAUUGAACUUAUUAAUUUUGUUAAAAAAAUAUAUAUACAUAUAUUUAUAGAAUAUUUUAUCAAACAAAAUAAAUACUUUGUUAUGUUACAAAUUAAAUACCCUGUCAAAAAGAAGCUAUAUAUGCCAUUAUUUCUGAUCGGAAACACCUGAGUCAAAAAUACCAUAACCUUCAUUUUAUAGCAGAUCAAAUAUCUAAUUCAAACUACAACAAAGUUAAAGUUCCUUUUUCUUUUUCUUUUUUUUGGUGAGAAAAAAAAAACAAAAAGUUUACCUUUAUUUUUUUUUUAGUAUAAACGGCCCGGAGGAUCGAAAUAGACAUUCCCCCCAAAAAUAGAAUAAGUAAAACAAUAUAGAACUUGUAAAAGAGCUCAAAAGUAGAUUAAUUACUGCCCCACCAUAAUUCAUAUACAUAUAUAAUACUAUACAAUAAUAGAAUAAAAUAUACAUAAGUAUAAUAUGAACAAGGCUAGCUAGGUACUAUAUAUAUAUAUAUAUAUAGUAUCUAUAAUACGAAGCACACCGAUAUUAUAGUCUCGUUUUCGAUCAUAAGUUGUUCAAAUUAACAAUCUGUACCGCUAAAUAUGAUUUAGGGUACUACAUGAAGUUUUUAGGAAUAAAAUUUUAAUUUUUUUCUAUAUCGUUUGCUUAAUAACUAAAUUAUGUUUAAACAGUAAAAUUUGAACAAUUUUUAAAAUUUGAGAAAAAAAAACUUUUGCAUUCAAGAUCAAGGAUUCUGAUCUUGAUCUAGAUAGUUUAAAGUAUUUUUUAUCAAAAUUUGAAUAAAUUUAGAUUCUUCUACACCGUUAAACUACAUACUUGCUAUUAUAGGUAGUCAUUAAAAAUUGAUAAUUUUAAAAUGGUUUGAUCAUAAAAUAUACCAUGUCGAAAAAAUAUAAAAUUCUAUUCUUAUAAACUUAAAAUACCUUAAAUCAGUUUUAACGGAACGGAUCGUUGAUUUGAACACUCUAAGAUUGAAAUUAAAACUAUAGUAGAGAUAUAGUAGCUGGACUCAGUAUAAUAUAACAAUAAACAAUAACAAGAGCAGCAGCAACAAGUAAUAACAAGGGAGGAGGAGGAGGAGGAGGAGGGAGGUGUUGUACGUGCCUUUUUGCAAUCUAAGUACGCAGCAACGAGAUUUGUAUACUGGGGGUGGGAGAUGAUCCUGGCCUUGAGAGAAUCGCCAUUAAUGGAGGAUUGAGACAAGUGCUUGGUGCUUUGGUGGUUGAGGAAGGGGUGGGCAUAGAGAGAGGAGGAGUGACUGGUAGUAAUAGUAGGGGAGGGUGGUGCAACUAACACAAGUGAACUUGUUAUACAUGUGUUUGAUGAUCUUGGGUGCAGGCCUUCUCCUCUAACUUGGUAAAGUUGCUCAUCCAUUUUAUGUUACAAGAGAUUUGUGGGUUAAUAAAGGUAGGGUUUUGGGAAAGGGAAAGAGGAGAAGAGGAGUAGAAGAUGAAGAAGAAGAUGAAGAUGAGUGGGAAGUGUAAUAAUUCAUUGUUGUUGUUGUUGUUGUUGUUGUUGUUGUUGUUGAUGAUGAUGAUGAUGAUGAUGUUAAUGAUGGAGUUGGUGAGAGAAGGAAAGAUGAGAUGAGACUAUAGCAAUUCUAUACCACUAAAAUCAACAAAAAGGAAACCACACCCGAAAUCUACUUAUCACACUUGUCACACUUACACGAUAUUAUUAAUAAUAAGUCAAUCAUAUUUUUUUCGCUCAGAAAAACAACAAUAGAAUUAUUUUCUAUAAUCAUGAUAGGAUAAAUAAAUUCAAAAAAUUUAUUUAAUUAGUUGGGAAUACCACGUCAUUAAUUUAACUGAUACAUUCUAAAAUUUUUCAUCUCAGGAAGAGAGAGAGAGAGAGAGAGAAAGGGAGGAGAAAGUAGGGAUGUUGGUGGAUACAGAUAUUCAAAAUUUUAUCUGAAUUCGAAUCCGGACGGAGUGAUUUUAUCCGAUGCUAAAUGGAUGGAAUUUUGGAUAUGAAUAUCAGGAUGAAAACCCGACAGAUUUAGAUUCAGAUACGAAUUUUGAUUGUACUGACUCGAACCCGAUCCAAACUCAAAUGUUUUUUUUUUUUUAAUUAGAUUUAAUAUUUUUAUAUUAUAAAAUAUUGUAAAGAAAAAUAAUUGUUUCAAGUUCGAGUUCUGGCUUGGAUUUUGAAUUUUUGGUCGGGUUCGAAUUUUAAUAUAAAAUUUUUAGGGUUAAUUUCAUUCAGGUUCCUACAAAUAUAGUGAACAACAAAUAUAUAUCUAAAAAGUUUAAUUUUUAUAUAUUGUCUCUACAAAAGUUCUAAUGUUUUCAAAUAUAAUUUUCUGAUUUGUUACUAUUAGAGAAUUGUUAGAGAACUGUUUAUAUUUUCAAUUUUGUCAUUACAAAUAUGUCCCUAAAACAAACAUAACAAUAUAACAUAAGAAGAUAAAAAUAUCAAAAACUAAUCGGAAUAAAAUAUUUAACCUAUGGUUGAUUAAAAUUUUUCUAACGAAUUCUAACGACAGGAAAAUAUUUAAAAAUAUCAGAAUUUUUAUAGUAACAACAUAUGACAGUUGAACUUUGUAUGAAUAUUUUUGUCAUUUACUAUAUUUAUAGAGAUCUGUAUAAAAUUAAUCCAAUUUUUUCAAUUUGUCGGACUCAAAUUCGAAUUCGGAUUUCGAAUUUGGUAGUGGGUUCGAAUUCGAAUUUUUGCAAAUCCGUCUAGAAUCCGAGCCGUCGACAUCACGAGGAGAAAGGAGUUUGGUGGCCAUCUUUUCGAACGUCAAAUCGAGUAAAUUAGAGGAGAGCAGCAUGUGGGUGUAGUGGUGGUCUCGUGGAGGAACUGUACAUGCAACUCCAAAGCCAACAACAACUUUAUAUGCUUUUGUAUUGUUCACAAACUAGAGAUCUUUGUUUAGAAUGAGUAAUCCUGUUUGUACUGGAGAUGUCAAGAGUAUAUAUAUAUAUAGAGUCCGAUUACUAUGCUAUUAAUAGCACGAAGCACUUGGUGCUAUCAAGUUUUUCGCCGUUAGAUCUACCCUUUUGAUCAUUUUCAUCCGUUAGAUCAUACUAUUCAACCAACCAUCCACUCAACCCUAGAGGGCCCACAUCAUUCUAACCGCACAUCUCUCAAUCCAAUGGCCAAAAACUUGAUAGCACCAAUGACUUAGUGUUAUUAAUAGCAUAGUAGCCUAGUUCUAUAUAUAGAGCCCGGCUACUAUGCUAUUAAUAGUACGAAGCACUUGGUGCUACCAAAUUUUCCGCCGUUAGAUCUACCAUUUUGAUUAUUUUCAUCCGUUAGAUCAUUUUCAUAUAUAUAUACAAAAUUUUAUCCGAAUUCGAAUCUGAAUAGAGAGAAUUUUGUCAAUGCUAAGAAUCCGUCUGUUCAAUGUAAAAUCAUAGAAUAAUUUUUUGUAUAUUUUAUAGUAUUUAGUUUGUAGGGAAAAAAAAUAAGUUUCAUCAAUUUGUUUGGUUGAAAAGAAAAAGAUUAUAUUUACUUAAUUCGGUAAAAAAAAAAUGAAUAAAAAAAGUUUCACACAACUUAAGUUUUCGUUUUCAGCCGAAAACCGGCAGAAAACGAAAAGUUUUUUUUUUUAUUUUUCAAAUCUGUUAAAAAUAUUUUUAUGUUAAACCAAACUAAUGGAAAAAUAUUUUUCAUAUCGAAAAUAAUUUUUCGAUUUGUUUUACACCUAUAGUGAUGCUCGCAGUGGCCAUGUUCCCCCUCAACUUUUAUAAAUUUUAAUUUUAGGUUGUGGGAUAUGGGGGGAUGGUGUUGAUUUUUUUUAAUAAAACUUGUGUUCAAAUUUUUUUCCGGACCCUCGGUCUUUUUCCUUCAGCUCUUAUAGUCUUGCUCUUUUUUAAACAUAUUAUCGUUACUGUUACUAGCAAUAAAUAUAUAAUAAGUCUGACAAAUUCUUUUCCUUACUAUCCGAGAUUGAAUUUUUUUCUGCUAAAAACCUAAUCUUGCCCCCUCAUGAAUAUUAAUUUCUGGCUUCAUCCUUGGCUCGAACCAAACGCUAACUAAUGCUAUUUGCACUGAGGAUGUCGAUGGGUAUACAAAUCCAAUAUUUUAUUCGAAUUCGAAUUUGAGUUAUGAUGCUAUACAGAUAUAGUUUUGAAUAUGAAUAUCUCAUCAGUACCUGUAUACUAAAGGGCACCUGUGGAUGCCAGUUGGCACCCUUUGGGUGCUUUUUCUUUUUCCUUUUACUUUUUCUGCCUUAUUUAUUCUUUUAUUCUUUUUCCUUUUAUAUAUUACUUUAUAUAUUUUUUCUUUUUCCUUAAUUACUGUGAUUUAAUAAAAUAUUUUUUAUUAAUAAGACUAUACAUAUAUCAAACUAAUAAAUUUAAUAUAACAAUUUAUAUUUAACAAGAACUGCCUUAAUAUGAUGUGAUAAUCAAAUCUUUAGAUACAACUAACUUGAUAUGAUACGAUAACUCAAUAUUUAAUAAUAAUUGAUUUGAAAUGACAACUCCAUAUUAAGGCAGUUCUUGUUAAAUAUAAAUUGUUAUAUUAAAUUUAUUAGUUUGAUAUAUGUAUAGUCUUAUUAAUAAAAAAUAUUUUAUUAAANUGAUAUCUUCAACUAAUUAUAUUUGGCCAUAGAUUUCAUUAUUUUGUUAUGAUUUUGAGAAAAAUAUUUUUAUUGUAUUUUUCUUUCAAAAGAGAGAAAUGUGAUUGGGCUGCACAUAAAUGAUGUAGUGUAGCUAUCGACAUAUUAUAUUUCCUCUAAUAGAUAAGGCUAUUAGUACAUUUUGCCUAUCAUUAUUAUUAAUAAUUUUUAAUAUAUCAAUAAAUUAGAUAUGACAAUUAAGUAUGUAAUUUCAACCGACCCAAAAUAAUAAAUUGCACGUAUAAAUCUUACACCUUAGAUCUAAGAAUUUACAAAAUUUUAUUAGUUUUUUGGUAAAAUAUUAGUAAGUUAAUCCUUUGUUUGCAACACCAUUUUUGUUCCCUUAAAAAAACUUUUUAUAAGAAAUGGUUUGUCAUAAAUGAAAAUACUGAUUUUUUUUAAUAAAAUCUUAAAAACAUCAGAAAAAAAUAAGUUUAUUUAGAAACCAAACGAGCGAAAAUUAGUUUUUCAAUCAGAAAACUAUUUUAUGUGAUAUUUUUAGAUACCAAAUAUUUUAUAACUAAAUUUUAUUGAAAGUUUAGAGUCUUUAACCUGGAAAUAAAAUAUUUGGGAAUCAAAUUAAAAUAGAUUUGACUUAGAAAGAUAGGGAACUUUCAGUGCAAUUUGUCCAAUUUAGAUGGGGAACCUACUUUAUAUUAAUAUUCUGUUAAAUAAAAAUAUCUCUAAUUUGAGAAGAAAAAAUAUUAUUUCAUUUAUAUUAAGGAUAAUUAUCUAUAUACCAUUUAAAACUUCUAUAUUAUCUUAUAUAUUCCUACAAUUUUUCCCUUCAAAUAUAUUUCUCGUUUAUAUCUCCGUUAUUCAAAUAUAAUUUCGCUGUUAGUACCCGUUAAGUUAUAUCAGGUUAAAUCCGAAUUAAAUUUCUGCAAAAAAAGUCAAAAUAUCUCUUUUGUCCCUAACUUAAAAAGUAAAUAAAAAAAAGUUGAUGAUUAUAAAAGUAUAUAUUUGAAAAGGCGGAAAGUAAAUUCUUGUUUUGUUCCUAACUUAAGUAUAAAUAAAAAAGUUGAUAACAGUAGAAUACUACUAUAUUUUAAAAAAAAUUUCACAUAAGUAAUUGUGACGCCCCAACUUCCCAGGGGGUCACCCAUCCUAGGACUACUCCCGUCCUAGCACGCUUAACUCUCUUAACCUCUUGGGACUUGCCACCACCCAAAAUGCUUAAGCCGGGUUAAGAGUUUAGCCCUAUUAUAUCUCAUAUAUAGGACUAUCUGGGGUCUCACAGUAAUAGUUAUUUCUAGCAGUUCACUAACAAAAUCUAAUUUUAGAAGUAUAUUUGAAAAACUUUGAAAUGUUAAUUUCUUUUUUAUAUAUUAGCUUUCUAAGCUAGCAAGUAAAUAAAAAGUCUUAGUUUUUCAAAAGCAUACAAUUAAUUGUCCCAUUACAUUAAAUUUUUAAUUUUUUAUAAAGUAUAAUUGUUUUGUAUAAUUUUUAUACAUUUAUACAGAUCUAAACUUUUUAAUUUGAAAAACAGUUAUUAUUUUCUAUAAUUUUACACACAUUCAAAUCAACCUGAAUUUCUAAAUUUUGAAAAAGUCAAGAAUAUACCAGUUAAUUAUAUACUAUUUACGUAGCAUCCUAACGAAUAGAAUUGUCUCUCUUGAAUUCAUCGGUCCCAUCGUAAUUGAUAAAAAUAUGAUUAAUUUGUUACUGACUAGGUAUCACGGCCAAUGACACGGGACACGAUACCACUCGGACAUUGCGAUUCAAUAGCUUUUUAAAAAUUAGAAUAUGAACACAGUAUGAACACUACUAAUAAAAUAUAAUAUUAUUAAUAUAAUAAUAUAUUUUUAUUAUAUAUAAAAUAUUAAUUUUAAUAAAAUAUUAUUUUAUUUUUCACGAAUGAAAGUUAGUAAAAUUUCAUUGAUAAUACAUAUAUUUUAGGAAAUAAAAUUUUCUAUCAUACAUAAUUUAUUUAUGGAAAAAUUUCAAAUACUAUCCCUGUGGUUUCACAUUUCUCACUUUAGUACCAUGUGGUUUAAAGUGUAUCAAUUUAAUUAGUGUCAUGUGGUUUACUUUUUAUCUUUUUAUUAUUGAUUCCCUUAAUAUUUUUCAUUAAAUUAGUGGCAAAGUUAAAGUUAAAGCUAAGGUUGUUAAAGUAAAUAUUCGAUAAACUUAGGUGAGGCGUCUGAAAUUUUUUGUAUAUAAUUUAAUAAAAUAUUAAUGAAAAAGCUGGCGAAAAGAUAAAAAUAAAAUCACAUGACACUAACUUUGAUACACUUUAAACCACAAGGUAUUAAAGUGAGAAAGUACGAAACCACAGUGGUGGUAUUUGAAGUUUACCCUUUAUUUAUAUUGGUAAAAAAAAUUAUAUACAUUCAUAAAAAAACUAAAAUAUUUAUCAUCUUACAUUAUAUAUACAUAAAAAAAGUAAAAUAAAAAUAUGUAUAAUUUUUUUUUAAUUGUAUGCGCUAUGAAUCGACAUUAAACGCACAUUCAAGAAGUGUUCAUAUUUUUUUAGAAAAAAAGAUAGAUAGCAUGCUACCCGCUUUGUUUAUUUAAUUUAGAAAUAAACUUAACUAGAAAUGUAAAUCAACUAGAAUUCGAACUUGAAACCUUAGAUACCAACGACCAAAUCCUUUGCCACUUGCGCUAGGGAUGGUCGAUAAGUAUCCAUAUUGAAUAUGUAUUCGACAUAGACACGAACGUGUCUCACAUAAUUAAACACAUGGUACUUAUAAAAAUAAGGUUAAUUGCAUACACGUUCCUGCAAACAUAGUGAAUUACAGAUAUAUUUCUGCAAAGCUCAAUUUGUAUAAGUUAUCCCUUCAAAAGCCCUAAUGUUUUCAGAUAUGUCCUUACCGCUUGUUUCCGUUAGAAAAAUUUUGUUAACUACAGUUAAAAUACUUAACCAUGAUUAAUUAAUAAGUGAAAUGAUAAUUUUACCCUCUUCUUCUUCUCUCCCUCUUUCUCUUCCCUCUUCUUCGUCACCGGCGAGGGAGGAGAUAUGGCGGCGGCGGCAAACCCUUUUCCCUCUCCUCUUCCUCUUCCCUCUUCCUCUCCCCCAUCUUCUUCCUCUCUCUCUUCCUCUUCCCUCUUCUUCGUCGUCGGCGAGGGAGACGAUAAGGUGGCAGCGGCGAACCCUCUCCUCUCUCCCUCUCCCUCUCCGGCCCUCUCCUUCUUCCUUUUUCCCCUUCUUCUUCCUCUUCCUCUUUCUCUUCCAUCUUCUUCGUCGCCGGCGAACCCGACCCCGACCUCGCCGAAGCGCCGCCGCUGCCGUCCGCUCCCGCGGCCCGAAGAUGAAGAGAAAAAGAAAAUGGGAGUACUUUUGGAGAGACAAUUUGUGAGGGUAAAAAAGUUAUUUUACGAGUAUACUUUUAAAAAAUUAACAGUUCUCUAAUAGAUUCUAACCAGAGGAAUAUAUUUGAAUACAUUAGGACUUUUGCAGAUGCAAAUUAUGAAAGUUGAGCUUUGCAGAAAUAUAUCUGUAAUUCACCAUAUUUACAGAAACAUGUAUACAAUUAAUCUAUAAAAAUAUUUAUAAUAUACAAAUUACUGAUAAUGUGAUGUAAAUACGGCACAACAGAUUUUUUUUUUUUUUUUUCCUAUAUUUCACGAAGACAAAAUAUUAAAGGCGCGGAAGAUGGGACUUAACGUCACGCACGGCUUGCUCUCAUGAAAACAAAUUUAAUGCCACGUCAAAAGUGAGCAAAAUUGCUUCUUCCUCAAGCUUUUCUCCGGACUUUUUAUUCUUCCUUGUGCAUCCUCCUUCACAUCAGUUACAUUGUUUGAUUGAACAUAACAGCUUGUUUUGUUUCUCUCUUUUCUCUUUCGCCCUCCUCGCCCUCCUCCUCCUCUGUCGAUAUUUGUUUCAGCAUGAAAAUCAUAAAAUUAUUCGAAUUUUAACUCAGUAUGGUGAUUAUUAUUUUGAUUUUAGUAGAAUGAAGAGCAAAACUAAAUAUUAAAGAAGUUGAUCUGACGAUAGAAAGCUUGAUAGCAUCAUAUGCUUUGUGUUAUCGGUAAUAUUGUACUAUAUAGAACUAGGCUAUAAUACUAUUAAUAGCACAAAGCCAUUGGUGCUAUUAAGUUUUUGGUCCUUAGAUGAAACGAUGUGCGGUUAGGACGAUAGUGGUCUCCUAGAAUUGAGUAGGCAGUUGGUUGAAUAGUAUGAUAUAACGGAUGAAAAAGAUUAAAGGGAUUGAUUUGAUGGUAAAAAAUUUGAUAGUACCAAAUGCUUAGUGCUAUCGAUAGCAUUAUAGCCGUACUCUCUCUCUCUCUAUAUAUAUAUAUAAAAUCUUAAAGAAUUAUUUUGUUGUAAAAUUAUUAUUUUAUUGCUAUUUAGAUACUCUCUAUUUUACAUGACCUCAUGUGAUUGGUUGGGGGUUAUAUUGUAGAUAGUCCAACUAGCAUAAUAAUAAAUUGGUUCUCCAUUAUAGCUAUUUUGAAAUUGAUGCCUCAAUUAUAUUUAUUUAUUUUUUUAAGUUAAUGUCAAAUUACAAGUAUCUAAAAAUUAAGAUAGUGUCAAUGAAAUUUAACCUUAUAUUUGAAUUUGUAUUUAAAAAAUUAGGCAGUGUUUGGUUAGAGGAUAGGGAUAGGGAUAGGAAUAGGAAUAGGUCCUUAUCCCCUUUAUAUCUAAACGUUAAUUUUUUAUCCGAGAAUAGUAGUUUUCAGUUAUCUAUAAUAACGCGGUAUAAUUAUCCCCACCAACACCUUCAUUUUCUAUAUAAAACUAUCAAAUAUUUUUCUUAUUCCAUAUUAUCUAUCCAAACGCUAUUUUUUUUAAUCCCCGAGAACAACCUAAUUUUAAUCCAAACGCUAUUUUUCUUAUCCCCAUACUUAUACCUAUCCCUGUAAUAGCUAGUUCUUAUUUAUACCCGAACUAAACGGUACCUAAGGUUUAAUGUAAUAUAUUUUGAAAUAUGAUAAAGAGAAAUAAUUAUUUCCGUUCGGAUUUUGAUUUUGCAAUCUGGUUGAGGUUCCAAUUUUUAAAAAUUCGCCCAGAAUCCGACCAUUGACAUUCCCGUUCCCACGCUUAGUUUAUCCACACGUGCAUGCCCCAUAAAUUCAUCCUUCAUUUAUUUCGUACUUUUACUUUAAGUUGGUUAGUGCAGGUACAAUGCACGCUCACAUGAAAGAUAAAAAGUAAAAUGGUAUGUUUGUCCAAUUUGGUUCGAAAAUAAAGCAGAAAUAACAAAAAUUAUUCUCGCUAUCCUACUAAACGAGAUAAUUAUAUAGACCAAUAAAUUAUAUAUUAAAAUAUAUUAUUUUGAUUAUAAAAUUAUUAAUUUUAUUUGAGAAAAAGGUAGCAUGCCAUAAGAUUUGUUUAUAAAUAUGAAUCAACUAGAAUUCGAACUUGAGACUCGAGUACCAACUAUCAAACCCUUUACCACUUGCACCAAGAAUAGUCAGUUAUAAAAUUAUUAAUUGUACUAUUAAUUUAUUACUGCAAUAAAUAUUUAAUUAGCUAUUUAAGUAAUUAAUUUAUUAUUUUAAUUAAUUUGCUAAUUAAAUAAUUAAUUAUUUAUUAGUGUAUUUAUUUAAUAACUAAUAUUUAUACUGAUUAAUUAAUUAAUGUUUUGACUAAUUUAGUUAUCUCACAAUUAUUAACUAAUUUAUUUAUUUAUUAAUUAUUUAUUUAUUACAUUACUUGUGAUUAAUUAAAUUAUUAAUUACUAAUUAAUUUAUAAAUUAACAUUUAGGGUUAUUUAGCAAUAUUCAUGAUUAAUUAGUAAAUUAAAUAAGUUGAAUUAUUAUUUAAUAAAUAUUUUCUUUUAAUUAAUUAGAUAAUAUUAUUAUAUUAAAAGUAUAAUUAUUUUUAUCCUUACUAUUCCAAUCUAGCCAUCCAAAUACUAUUUUAUUUUUUUUCGAGAAAAACUCAGUAUUCAUCCAAACACAAAAUUAAUUUUGUUCCUACUUAUCCCAAGAAUUCUAUCUAUUUAAGAAAUAGCCUAAAAUAACUUAUUCCUGAACCAAAUUAACGAUACCUAAGUUGUUAGGCUAAUAACUUAUUAGUUAUUAGCCUAAAAUAACUUAUUCAAAAAUCUUUCAAAUUUGUAAGAGCAAAAUGAUAACUUUAUGCACUCAGUGAUGAAAAGCUAAAAGUGGAUCAGAUGAUAGGAACAAAUAUGAACGUACGAGGACAUUUAGAGAAAUAUAUUUAUAAUUGCCGACUGUCUCUAGUACAAGUGGCAAAGAACUUGGUGGUUUGUACUCGAGAUUUCAAGUUCAAAUCCUAAUUAAUUUACAUUUCCAACUAAAUUUAUCUCUAAAAAAAUAAAUGAAACGAGUUGCAAGCUAGCUUACUUUCAAAAAAAAAAUAAAUUUAUAACUAACUAUAAGUUUUUUGGAGAAACAAAUUUAAUCACUUAUAAAUUCUAUAGGAAUUUAUUUACAAUUCAACAUCUUUAUAGACAGCCAUAUAAAAUCAACCCUUAAUAUAAUAUAUUUUAAAAUAUGAGAAAAAAAAAUGAUUAUUUCAAACUCAUUCAAACUUUUAGUUUUAGUUCCGUUUUCAAUAUAAAAUUUCAAAACCCAUCAAGUUCAGAUCCGAUCGUAGGAUUCGUGCUCUAGUUUCGACUUCGGUUGUCAAAUUCAAGUUCAGAUUUUUUUAAAAUCAACCUCAAAUGAUGUUUGAAUUUAGGAAUUAUUUUUUUAAAAGAAAUUAAACUUUUUUCCAAAAUUUAAAAAUUUGUAAAAAAUGUGGCUGCUGGGAUUCGAACCCAGGUCUCCACGGCCACAAUGAAGAAUUAUUAACUAACUAUAAGUUUUUUAAAAAAUAAAUUUUAACGUAUAAUUACUUAAACUUUAUAAGAAUUUAUCUAGGAUCAACAUCUUAAUUUGCAAACAAUCGUAUAAAAUCAAGGCUAAAUUACAAAAAAAUCCUCCUGUAAUUAACCGCUUUUUCACUUUCCUCCGACAUUUAAAAAUCUACACUUUGCCCCAUUGUAAAAUAAAAAAUGUUCACAGGGGGGUUACGGUGUGUAAAAUGAUCAUUUUGCCUAUCGCUAUUUUCAUCUUCUUCCUUAUCUUCCUCAGCCGCCCCUUCGAUCGGCCGCGAUUCUCACCUCAAUCGGCCGCGAUUUCUUUCCAUUUCCUUCUCCACCUACUCCCUUUCUUCUUCUGCACUCUUGCCGUCCCUCGAUUUCGACGAUAGUAGGAAGGAAAUCGAGGUGGGUGUUGAUGGAGAGGUAAGCAAGGGCAACGAGAGCGAAAGCGAGGCGGCGGAGGAGGGCGAAGAGGAUGUGGGCGAGGGUGAGGCAGUGGAGGACAGCGAGGCGGCGAGACGGCGAGCCGAGGGAGGCGAAGCAACAAGGAAGAGGGCGGAGGGAUAUUUUCGGCAUAAAAUAAUAUUUUAUAACGGAACCCUAACGGUAAGGGAUGAAGUGCACAUUUUUUAUUUUAUAAGGGGGCAAAAUGUAGGUUUUUAAAUAUCAGAGAGGAAAAGUGAAAAAGCGGGUUAUUACUGGAGAGUUUUCUAUAUAAUUUAGCCUAAAAUCAACCCUUAAUAUAAUAUAUCUUAAAAUAUGAUUAAAAAAAUGAUUGUUUUGAAUUCGAGUUCAAGUUUUAGACUUUUACUUUUGUGAAUAUAAAUUUUCAAAACCCAUCAAAUGGAUUGUGAGAUGCGUACGUCCUCAUUCAGAUUUUUAAAAUCAACUUCGAAUAAAAUUUUGAAUUUACGAAUUUUUUUUCAAAAUUUAUUUUUUUUUCAAAAUGUAAUAAAAAUUUGUACGACAAAACACUUUUUUCAAAAUUUAACUUUUUUUUCCAAAGUUUAAAUUCAAAAAUUUAAUGCAAAAAGAUAAUGUGGCUGCUGGGAUUCGAGCCCAGGUCUCUACGGCCACAACGUAGAAUUCUUACCACUAAACUACAGCCACUAAUUUUACUUAAAAAACAUUAUUCUUUAUAAAUUACGAGAACAUUUCCAACAGCAGUGGGGCCCACACGCCACGUGGGCAUCGGGCUUAGGGUGACGCGACGGGUCGGGUCGAACAGUCAAGCGGGUCGCGUCGCUCGCCGCUUCCCCAUGCACGAGCGCGGGUCCCACCAACCAAUUUGCACCCUUUUCUCUCCCGCAAAUUCCUGUCCGUGCAAUUAUUGCCCGGGCGCCAAGAAAAUCCUUGGGAAAACUUCAAAAAAAGAAAAAAAUUUCUGUAAUUUCGUACUUUUUUUUUAUUUUAGUAGUUUAAAGGAUAUCAAGUUAGUGCUUUAUGGUUUCGUAUUUUUUCACUUUAGUACUCUAUGGUUUAAAUUGAGAGAGAGGACAUGAAUUGAGAAGGCAAAAAGAAAGGAAAUGAAGAGAGUGAAAAAAAAAGGAAGAGAGGAAAAAAAAGAAAAAAAAAGAACGCUGCUCUCCUCUCCCUAGGCUGGGCCCCCUGCACUGGACCCAGCGCGAGCCCCCGCGCCUUUUGCGCCCGCGCCCGCAGCCACAUAUAUAGAAACUGAGGAUUCAUAUGUGUAUGUAUAUAGAUACAGAUAUAGAUGAAUGCAUGUCUGCGAAAAUAUAGUGAAUAACAAAUAUAUAAUUUUAUAAAGUUCAAUUUUAAUAUAUUAUUAUUAUAAAAGUCAUGAUAUUUUCAAAUAUAUCCCUGUCGGUAGUAUCAAUUAGAAAAUUUUAAUUAAUCAUGGCUAGUUUUUUUUUUAUCUUUUUAUUCUUCUUAUAUCGUACUGUUAUAAUUUUCGGAGGGACAUAUUUGUGAUGGCAAAAUUGAAAAAUAUAAACAGUUUUCUAACGAUAAUAAAUAAGAGGGACAUAUUUGGUAAUAUUAGAACUUUUGUAAAGACAACAUAUAAAAGUUGAACUUUAUAGGAAUAUAUUUGUCAUUUAUUAUAUUUGCAGGGACAUGUAUAAUUUUUUUUUUUUCUAAAAGGAGAUAUGUGAUUGACUUAGUAUUGUUUUUUUUUUUUUUUUUUUUUNUUUAUUGAGAGAUAGGUAGCAUGCUACCCGCUUCGUUUAUUUCAUUUAGAAAUAAGUUUAGCUGGAAAUGUAAAUCAACUAGGAUUCGAACUUGGGUCGCGGGUACCAACCACCAAGCCCUUUGCCACUUGCUCUAGGGACAGUCGGUUUGACUUCGUAUUGUUGAUGUGGUGCAAGUGCGAUACAAUAAACUUUCUCUGAAAGUGCAUGGUAUGUAGGGAUGUAAAUUGUUAUGAAUAUCUGAAAUUUUAUUAACCUGUAUUUAAAUAGAGCGAGUUCCUAUAAUAAAUAUAUAUAAUUUCGAAUACAGAUCGAAAGAACGAGAAUUUGAAGGAUUUGGAUUCGGAUAUGAAUUUGUCUGUGUUCGACCCGUAUCCGAACUCGAACCUAAGCAGAAUUGAUUUUACAUUAUAUAAUAUCACUAUAACAAAAACGGUAUAUAACGAUAUUUUUAAAUGUCGGUAAGAGUUAAAAAAGUGCUACUGACUAAAUUACUGACACUUUUGAAAAGUGUUGCUAUAUGUGGGGUCGCUAGGUAUAUAGUGACAGUUAAAUAGUAUUGGUAUAAUCUAAAAAGAGUGCUGCUAAUUUAUCAACACUUAUUUAAACAUUUAGCAACUGCCGGAACUCUAUCUCGUUGACUGCGGUAGCAAAGGAGGAGGAGAGGAAAGGGCUCUUCGUCUAGAAUUUCAAUAGAUUGAGUGAAAGGAGAAGGGGAGAUGAUAAUCGAUUUUUUUUUUUUUUUUUUUUUUUUUUUUUUUUUUGUAAUCGGGCCGAAUGAGCUGGGUUGGAUGGAUUGAGUAAAGUAACAUUUUAUUUUUGAUUGGAUUGUGUUUUAUAUUUAGGCAUUAAUAUAUUUUUAAAAAAAAUUUGGCAUAAAUGGAACACUUAUAUAAAAGUGUUCAAAACAUAUAUCCUUAUAACUUAAUUCUGUUGUAGUGUAUAUAAAUAUUUGAUAUUAUAUUUAAAUUUAUACUUCAAAAUUUUAGAUUUAGUGUAAUAUGUUUUGAAACAGGAUAAAGAAAAAUGAUUGCUUAUGAGUUCGGAUUUUAGAUAUUUGGUUAGGUUUUUAAAAUUCGUUGGAUUCGGAUUUAGGUUUGAGUUUGAGUUUCAUGUUUGAUAAUCGGAUUCGGGUUUUUGAAAUUCGCCCCAUAUUCGGCCGUUGACAUAACUAAAUAGUAUACAUAGACCGUAAAAAUAUAAAGCUCAAUUUUUUAAAAUUGUGCUUUAUAUUAGUUCCUAAACAAGCUUUUUUUUAUUUCUGAAAUAUAUAUAACUUUUUGGAUAAAUAGGAACUAAAUUAAUUUUAUAUUUGCACGAGGAUCAAUUUAUUCUGAAGAAUAAAAAAAAUAAUAUUUGGUUAAUUAGGUUGGAAUAGUAGGAAUAAGAAUAAUUAUGGUUGAAAAUAAAAAUAAUAUAUCUGUGUAAUAAGCAUCUAAAUAUUAAUAAAAUAAUAUUUAAUAACUUAACAAAUUAAUUAAUUAGGAAUAAUAUAUGAGAUGAUGAAGAAUGACGUUAAUGGUGAGUAACUAUAAAAAUAAGUCAAUAUUAAUAUUAAUUAAUUAUUUAAUCAAAUAUUUUUCAUUAAUACAUUAAGCAAACAAAUAUUUAAUUAUUUAAAUAAUGUAAAUAUUAGUUAAUGAUUGAAUAAGCAAAUGAAAUGAUUAAUUAUUUAAUUAGCUAAUUAAUUAUAAAUAAUAAAAUAAUUAUUAUUUAAAUAUUUAUUAAUUUAAUAAAUCAAAUAAUUAAUGAGUUAAUUAUUAAAAAUAAUUGUAUUAAUUAAUAAUAAUUUAUAAUUAUUUAUAACUUAAUUAGUAGAGGAAGAAGUAUGUAUUGUAAAUGAGAAAUGCUUUGAGUUUGUCACUUUGUGGUAUCCAACUAUGUAUAUUAUUAAUAUGUUGGCCGACACCUAUGAAUGGGUUAGAAUUUAGAAUUUAUAGUAAAAUAAAAUGAUGGUGCUUAGGAUUUAAUAUUAAUGUUUGAGAUUUAGUAGUUAAUGUUUAGGGUAUAAUAAUAAUAAUAUUUAUGAAUAAUUUUAUACAGCUUCAUGUAAAUAUAUCGAAUAUCGGAUAUAUGCUGACAAAGUUUAACUUUUUAUAUUUAUUUUUGCAAAAGUCAUAAUAUUUUUAAAUAUACUUUUGCGGUUAGAAUUCGUUGAAAAAUUAUAGUUAAUCAUAGAUAAAAUACUUAACUCUGGUUAGUGAAUAAGAUAAAUUAAUUUUUUUUUACCCAGGAUUAUUAUGACAAAAAUGACAUUUCAAUUAAAAAGGAAGAAGAUGACCGUUGGUUUGGUAGGACAUUCCUACACAAUUCUAGUAGGUGGGGUUUUUGAAGAGACAUAUUUAUGAUGACAAAAAUAUUUUUUCACUUAUCUUCUGUUAAAUAAUAAAUAGUGAUUUAACAGUAACAAAUCAGAGAGAUAAAUAUGAAUGCCAUUGAACUUUUGCAGGGAUAAAUAUUGAAAAAUUAAACUUUGUAGCGAUAUAUUUGUGAUUUGAUAUAUUUACUGGAAGCUAUAUGAAAUUAAUCCUAAUAUAAAAUCACUUUUCUAUCCGACUCAGCCAAACGCUCAAUAGCUUUUACCAGAAAUUUAUUUUUCCAAAUCAAAAUCAAUUAUAUAGAAAUCACUUUUUCAGAAUCUAGAUCAAACGGGCCCUAAGUGUGAUCAGUAAGAUCUGUGAACCCGAUCCAUGCAAUAAAUUCCCCAAAGCAAAAAAAAAAAAAAAAAAAAAAAAAAAAAAAAAAAAAGCAAAAACGUUUCGACCACGUGGCCUGUCGUCUGACAUGUGGGACCCACAGAUGCAGGGAGAUCUCGCCGUAGUCUUCUCCGGUCGGCGCGAACCGCGCGGGGUUUGUCGGUUCACCCCGCCCAAAAAAAAAGAAAAAAAAACCGGACGAGUCUCCGGUCCGAGGAGAAAUUUCGAACCGGUUCUGACAAAAAACCCCCCCUUUUUUCGUUUCAAUUAUUUUUUUUAUUAAAUUAGGGAUAAUAUCUAGACCCGACAAUCUCUAUCGGUACCCACAAAUUAUCCAUAAAUUUGCGGAUAUAAAUACUAAUUUUUUUACUCAAAAAAUUAUGGAUAACAAAGUGGUGAGUAUUUUGCGCAACCUGCGGGUACUCACGGGUACCCAUAUAUAUAUUUUUUAAACUAAAAAAUAUGUAAUUUUUUUAAUAUUGUCUCUAUAAUGAUAAAAAUUUUAUUAAUUUUGUAUUAUGAAAAUUUGGGAUGGUAAAAUACUUUUAUAUUAUGUAAUUUAUGUAUAUUUAAGAUUUUAUAUUGUUUAUUAUAUUUUAUGAUAUUUCAAAUAAGGAAUUAUGUUAUGUUUUAAAAAAUUUUAUAUAUGUGUUUUGUAUUUGAAAAGUAUAGGAGUAAAAAAAAAAAGAAAAUUCGCAGGUAACCCACGUAUCGACCUGCCUGCAUGGAGGGUAUGGAUAAAGAUAUUGAUUAUUCAAAAAUUUAAAAGUGAAUUUUACCCACGGGUAGCUCAACUCAUCCUUUUGUCAAAUCUAACAAUAUCUAAUUACCUUCCAAAACCUCAAAAAUAUCUAAUAGAUCCCUGUUUUACCAAACUGUCCUUAUUUAUUUUCAAAAUUUUCUUCAAAAUAUUUCCAAAUCUCUAGGAUUUAGUAAUGAAAAUUAGGGUUUAGAAGGAUAAAUAAAUUAAAGAAAUAUUGAAUAAUAGUCGGAGGUAAAACAGGGAUCUAUUCAAUAAAUUAUAUAUAUAUUUUAAAACUAUAAGGGGGAUGACAUUUUGACUAAAUUUGUACGUCGCGAAUGUGAAAGUAAUGUAACAGUAUUGUAAUUGAUGGCGUAUGUGACAAUAUUUAAAAUUUCACAUUACUUUUNUAAAUAAGUAAAAUCUCCAAUAAAUUAUAUAUAUAUUUUAAAACUAUAAGGGGGAUGACAUUUUGGUCCUUAAAUUUUAGUAUAUUAUAGCUCUUAACUUAUCCUUUUUGAAUUGGUACUAUAUAUUAAGUCUCACAAACAAUCUAAUUUGUUUGACUAAAUUUGUACGUCGCGAAUGUGAAAGUAAUGUAACAGUAUUGUAAUUGAUGGCGUAUGUGACAAUAUUUAAAAUUUCACAUUACUUUUAUAUCAACGAUAGGUUAAUAUUUAGUUAAUUAAAUUAGGUUGUGAGAUUUAACUGUAAUAAUUUAUAAAGCUUGAGAACUGAGAACCACAUUUAUAUUUUUGUUUCUUAAACUAUGAGACGCGUGAUGCUGCGAUUCGCAUUUAUAUUUUUGUUUCUUAAACUAUGGGAUGUGUGAUGCUCUAGUACGCAAACUUUAAUUCGCAUAAAAAUUUUAGCUUAAUCUUUGUAGAUAUUCGCAAUAAGAUACUACAAUUUAAUUAAAUUAAUUGAACUAUGAUGUAUUAUUGAUGUAUAGUAACGUGACAUUUUAGUCAUUAUUAUAUUAUUAAUGACUAGUGAAAGGACCCACGCUGCUUUACAGCGGGUAGAAACUAUAGGUGUAAUUAAUAAUAAGAAAGUAUCAAAUAUUUUCUUGUUUACCUUACUUGCCACACCCACUAAAGGUUCCUCAGUAUUGGCGACGGGGAUGGGCCUAACAACGCCUUCUUUAGCGAGGGUGAUAGUGAUAGCGACGCUGAUCCCUUUAGCCACGACGAAAGGGGGAAACAUUAGUGAUAGAGAGGGAGGGAGAGACGGAGGGAGGCGACGGUGUACAAGAAAAAUAUGAGGAAGUGAAAAUUGAUGAAUUAAUCAGAGAUGAAGAGGUGGGGAUUGUAAAUAGCAACGAAUCCGUUUGGAUACAUUAAUUGAAAGUCUAGUGGAGGAAAAAGGGAGGAUCAUAAUGAAUUAAUUAAAAAUAAAGAAAUAAGGAUUGUAGGUGCCGGUGAGACCAUUUAAAUUCAUUAAUCGGAAGUUUGAUAGUAGAGCCAUUUAGAUGCAUGAAUAUAUGCAUUUAAUUGAAAGUUUGGUGGUAGGAAGGAGAAGAAUCAUAUGGAAGUAAAGGGUGAAGGAGAACUUGUCACGUAGUAAAAAAUAUUAAGAAAUUUAUAUAGGUUAAUAGAUCAUACUGUCAUAAUGUGAUCACCAAAAGUGUAAUUUACCUUUUUAUUUUUUAAAAUCAACUUUGUUUUUUAUCCAUUUUUUUUAAUCAAUCAUAAUUUUUUUCUUAGAGAUAGAUAGCAUGCUGCCCGCUUCGUUUAUUUCAUUUAGAAAUAAACCUAGCUACAAAUGUGAAUCAACUAGGAUUCGAACUUGGGACCUUGGGUACCAACCUCCUAACCGGCCCUUUGCCACUUGCGCUAGGGACGGUCGGUUUUAAUCAAUCAUAAUGUGAGGACAAAAGUGUAAUUUGCACUCGGGCUCCAUUUUACCUACAAACAAAAUUGACUUUUCGCAGCAAUUGUUUUGGAAAUUUGCGGUAGUUGUAACUGUUGUUAAUUCAAUUACAUGCAAUAAGUAAUCACUGUUAAUUCAAUUACCUGUAGUAACUCAUUAUUCUUGAUUAAAAUAUCAGAAAAUAUUUUCUAACAAAAUUUGAACUUAUUUAAAUCAUUCUUGGCCAUGAAACAGAAAACUACAUCCAAUCAACCGCUGAAACACUCAAAUUUUUCGAUGGCUUGAUAAAUGAGUAUAAUUAGACUUGUAAUGGAUUGAUAAUAUACAUAAAUUUGAUUAGUUUUAAUUUGUUUGGAACUAUCAAUGAUGAGAUAUUGAUCUCUAAGUUAUUCUUUUAACGAGCUUAGACUUUUAUAUUUUCGCUAAUUUUUCGUACGAAUAACAAUGAAUUGUCCAAUAUAACAGGUUAUCUGAUCAUAAUAUAGUCUCCAUGAAGGAUGACUUAAUAUCUUGCUAUAUACAUGCAUUACUUAUUAGCAACAAAUUGUUUGGACAUUGUUUGGAUUGAUGAAAUAUUGAUUCUUUAACUCAUUCUUUUAAUGAGCUUGUCACCUCCUAACAUGUUUGAAUUUACAUUCAUUUCUAGCCCAAUAGUAUUGCAAAGAACAGAUGAUUACAGAAGUGAGUAAGAGAAACUAGGGGAACAAAUGAAAGAUUAUCUGCAGAUAAAAUCAUUCACAUAGUAUUGAAGAGUCUUUUGCUUAGGUUCGCUAUCGAAUACCUGUUAAUCUUUGCUAGUGAUCUCUCCGGAUGCUUCGCCGUUCGUCGAGAUGUCGCUGCAAAAGUUAGAAGUGGCUUUCAUAGGAGAGAACUGGCAGUAGGCGGUGAGUAGUUGCUGGUGAAUUUCCUCCAUUUUCCCGGACUGCUCAUCUUCUCUGUCCAUAUCAAUGAGAUCCUAGAGGCAACAACUUCUCAUUUCAGUACAAAAACAUUUUCAGUUUAUGGACAAAUAAAGUGAUAUCUGUGUUAUUAUAUGCCAUUCUUGUAUAAAGCAUCAAAUUCUUAGUAAUGCCAUGUCUGGCUUAUGGUAAUGUUGCAUGAUCUGCUUGAAUAGAUCGGUUGAAAAAUAAAUCACUUUCUAGAUUAGUGAUAGCCCAUCCAGCAACUGCUUUCUACAGUAGUCAAAGUGGAAGUUUCAAAUUUAAGUUUCAGAUUUUAGAUUGCAGUAUCUUUCUACCCAAAAGAGGGGGUUUGGAUUUAUGUAAUUGCGAUUGGCCGUAAGCCAGGUUCGGUCCCAACGUGAUGCACAAUCUAGUCUAGACAUGGGUUUUAGAAGCUGUUCCAGAAGGCAAGCCAACAAGCCACUAGGCCAGAACAGAUAGUUUGAUUCAUAGGAUAAUGGCUGGUGCCACAGCUCAACCAUAGCAAUUAUCUUUUAACCUACCAGGAUUAGUUCAAGGAAAGAGCAUAACACACAAAAAGAAAAUUUAAGAAAGAAAGGAAACCUGUGCAGAGAAGCUCCUGAAUAUGGGAUAAAAGCGUUGCCUACAGUACUCGCUGAAAAGGAUUGUAAAGAUCAGUAGAAGAAUGGUGAAAGCCAAAGCUACUGAGGAAUGCUUUAUGCCGAAAACCCCGAUGGCUAUGAUCUGGGUAAGCAGUAGAGAGAACACAGUGGUGUUAUGCACUAUGGGCCAUAUUCUUCCCACUGUCUCGUAUUUGGAGCAGUAGACAUUCAGAAUCUGCUAAUUUUAAAUGUAAAAUCAUAAGAUUAGUGUAUGUUGGAAAUCACUGUUUUGACGAGGAGUAGCUAGGAACAAGUGUUUGCAAUGCACAUUAAUGUAUGCACAUAAGAUCUUAUCAUCUACAUUCAAUUAAGAGCUGUCAAAUAAGUCCAAAUGUUACGACGUGCAUAAACUUAGAAGCCCGUGUUCAAAUGUACAUUGCAGAAGACAAUAAAGAUAGAGUUAAUUGCAUACAGCUCCCUGUAAACGUAUCGAAUAGCAAAUAUAUCCUUACAAUGUUCAACUUUUCAUUUUUAUUCCUGCAAAAGUCUAGUGAUUUUCAUAUUUGCCUCUCUGGUUUGUUACUGUUAGAGCACUAUUUAUUUUUUUAACAGCGCAUAAGUGAAAUGACAUUUAUGCCCUUAUAAAUAUAUCUCUCCAAAAGUCCCAAUUGGUAGAAUUAUAUAGAAAUGUCCUCCAAAAAAAUUAUUUUACCCAAUAAUAUAAGAGAGAUAAAAAGGUCAAUUUAACUCAUUCAUUAACCAGAGUUAAGUAUUUUAUUUAUGUCUAAACUAUAUUUUUCUGACGGAUCCUAACAAUAAGGAUAUAUUUCGAAACGUCAGGACUUUUGUAGGGAUAAAAAUAAAAAGUUGAACUUUGUAGGGAUAUAUCUGCAAUUCGAUAUGUUUACAGGGAGCUGUAGCAAUUAACCCAUAAUUGUAACUUGUGGCAGAAUAAGACUGCAAAUGUUAAUCUUGCAUAAACUAACAUACUUGGUCAUGAAACCUUUAGCCAGCAUCAUGUCCUAAGGCAUCUCAUGUCUCAUUAUUAACUCUUAGAGCUAUCCUUGGAAUUCAGUUGAGCUAUUCAAUUAAAUGCUCAGAGUCUUACUUAGAAUUUCAUAAAUACCAAUUAAAUCCUCCUUAGAUUACCAUCUGAGAAACAUCAGUAUCAUUAUUAGAUUUUGCUGACAUGGCAUUUUUUUUUUAGUUUGGUCCUGCUUGAUGAUGAUGUUGAUAUUAAUUUCGUUUAGAUUGUAGACUAGUUGACGACAUAUUUGUAUCAUGGGAUAAAUUUCAUGGACUAAAUUGUUAAAGACACCAAUCAAAGGACUUAUCACCAAUCAAAGGACUUUUAUCAGUGAUAUUUUAUAAUCAUGCUGCAAACUAAAUCGUCAGCAAUAGCAAGUGGCAAAAUUAACCAAGUUAAUCUACGUAGUCCAUGCUGCAGUUAGAAUAUUAAAUCAAUGAUUUUUUUCCCAAAAAUAUACACAGAUUGAAGUAAAUAUUGUCUGAAUGUAACAAUAGAGUGAAAAGACAUAGAAGCACAAACUGAUAAAAAACCAUCACCUGGUUGCGAUACACCACAUAACCAAGACAGAAGUAUAUGAGCAGAAAAGGGAGUAUCAGAGGUGCCAAUAUGGAACAGGUGAAACCAAGCAAACCAAACAAGAGAACCUUUGGAACUUCAGUGUGAUAUGGAAAGGAUGGAAUUGAGUCUGGAUCAUCCUUACAUCGAAGUAUAUAUUUUGUCACAAAGUUAUAGGUUAGUGAAAAGACUUGCAUAAUCUCAGAACAUAAACUUGCCCAGCCAGACGUUAGAACGUAAGUAAUGAAAAAUGUUGCCUGUAUUCACGAACAGAAUGAGCAUUAGCUGAUAAAUCAAAUGUUUUCUAUCAAUAUGCUCACAAGGAGCUGCUGUGCCAACUAAUACUGCAUGAAAGACAACGCAUACAGUAUGAGUUGAUGAAAACCUAUAUUACAGAGGAGUUACAAAACGAUCCAGUCCUAGAAGUUUAAUCCAUAUUUCAAUUGUGUCGUACACCUUCAAUUUAAACUAUCUAGUUGUGAAGUUUGUUAUAGGUCACAAUUUAGUCCUUUUGAUAGUCUACCAUCUAAAAUACUGCCAUAUCAGCUUCAUGUUUUGUGUGGUCUUUUAUUUGACAGUAGACUUAGGACUUCAUAGUUACACCCAACAAAAUUCAGGGGCUAAAUUCAAAUUUGGGUCAACUUUAUAAGACACUGUUUAAUCUGCAGAAAACAUGGCCAAGAUUUUACACACUCCAAAUUUGCAAGAGCUAUUAACUCAGCAAAUGAAUGUUAUUUUGUGCAAAGAUAUCUAAUGUUCAGGAUAUGCACCAUAUGGAAGAAAAGCGAAUAUUGUUUUGUGCAGUGAAAUAUAAUGAUAUCAAGAUGUUCACCAUCAUGGAAGAAAUCUAAGCACCUGCUUGGGUACAGCUUCAGCAAGCUGGGAGGGUAUGUCUUUGGGUCUGGAGAUGGCAUUCAGCUGGUUAAUGACAGAACCAGAUAAGACAUUUACGAAAAAGACAUUCCAAAUGGUGAAGUAUAAUACUUUGCAGCACGCGCUCUUUUUCCUCCCACUGUGAGAAAUAGGUCCUUCCACAGCAGAAAAUAGCAUCAUCAUCGGAGGAACGGUGUAGAAAAAUAAGAGCAAAAUGACACUUGGUAGAUAGCCUGACACAACCUUGAUAACCAAAGGCCUGUACAUUGGCAUUCGAACAUUAAUUAUUAAGCUUCUAACCCUUCCACGAGGACACUUGCAUUUUAGAGAAACUCUAUUUGAAAAAUAAUAAUGUCUCAUUCAACAUUAAAUGAAAAUAUUCAUGGCUGUACAUUGCAGAAGAACAAGCAGGACACAUGCCAGGCGAUUACAAUACAUUAGAAACCACCAUUCUGCAUAAUGAUGUACUUGCGAGAAGUGAUGUCAACCCACUACCUAUAUUUAACAACAUUCACACUAGAUUACAUUUGUAUAAAACUGUAAUAUGCAACAGUUCAUAUUCUGAAAACCAAGAAGCUAAUUCAUAUGCAUGUCUAUUUCUUUGAUAUAGAUUUAGACAGGACAAUUAAUCUUAAAAAAAUAUUUCCUUUUUUUUUUUUUUUGGUACCUCUUUGUUAUCCUUCUAUCCUCCAAAAUAAACAUGAACAGAGUCAGCUAACAUCAGGAGAAAAUGGUAACGAUGAGGAAUAACUAGUUUGGUAUAUCGGGGAUAAAGGUAGGGUCAAAACUAUUCUGGAGGAAGAGCUGAAAUGUUGUUCCCAAAUUAUUAUAGAAUAACCGAGUUAAAAAAUAAACAACUGAUCCCCUCUGAAAGUUUGUCUAAGAUGAGAAUAGCUCGGGUUAUCCCUCCGCUGGCCCUAAAAAAAUUGCUGCCUAAUACAACUAUUAGAAUCAUACCUUUCUAAUUAUCAGUCAGUCAAAUGAUCUACUUAAGCAUAGGCGAUUGUAGGAAGUUUGCUAAGAAAGCCCAAAGCCACUUGUUGGGGUUCUUAUCAAAAUCUCAAAUGCUUAUUAGUUGAUUGCAAAAGCUACAAACAAAGAGGCAGAAAUGAAAUGAGAAAAAUUCAAAAAACAUGGAAGAACAGAUACGCUAACUAAUAGAGAAAUUACAAACUAUUUCUCUCCUUCUACAGAGUAGCUUCAACACUAAACCCUCCUUUUAUUUUAUUUUAUUUUAUUCAAUCUCUCUUCUUAUCUCUCUACAAGGUUAUUGCUCAAACCCGCCCUGAAAGCACCUCUUCUGACACCUCUUUCACCAAUAGAAUCUGUCACCUCCAAUAGAUUAGCCUAAUUAAUGCUAAUAACAGGUGCUAUUACCAGAGCACCAAAAGAUGAAAAAUAACAGACAAAUAAUUUCAUCAUGUAAUGCUGUCAGACAAACAGACUUUCAGUUGGCUUUGGUUAAUAACUUGAAUUAGGAAAAAAAAAAAACAAAAGAAAUUGAUGAAUGAAAAACCAAAACGGUGCCUCGAAAAAAAAAGCUAAUAGAAUACUUACUUCUUGAAUAUACCUUUAAAAAAUGGGAAGAGUUGCUGCAAUUGGUCCAGAUGGGUUAGACCUUGCACAAAUGUGACGGGAAUAAGAAACACAAACAUGAAAACGACACUGGCUACGAGAGUUAAUAUACGACGGAUCCAAAGCUGUCUGUACGGAAUCCAAAGGUUUGACCAAUAGACAUCAUUCGGCUCUGGUGCCAAAUUCGUCACCCAUAACAUGGGAUUCGAUGAUUGAAGAACUUGUGAAGCAACGAUUGCUGCAUAGCGUGUCUUGAAGAAUACAAAAGCAGCUGAACAGUCCUGUUUAGGAAAUAUUACGAAUCAAUAUUGCUUUUCUACCGCAUGGCUUAAUUAAAACUACUUGCCAUACCUCAAAAUUAGUAAUACAUUCUACAUACAAUUCAACUAACUCUAUCAUCAAACUGAAAGAGAACAUAGUAACUAAUGCUUUGGUUAGAGAUUUUCCAGUUCAAGAACAUAGUGCAGGGCGUAGUUAUGCAAUGUAGCUUUUUUAAGUAGCUUAUUGAUGCAAGAUUCAUAACAAGUUGCAAGAUGAAAAUGAAGAAAAGAAUUUCUAACAUUGAAGUAAAAUAAGAAAAAGUCCCCAACAACAAUCAAGUUCAAAAGAAAGAAACAAACAGAAUAGAUGCAUGAUUGAGAGCGAAAAUUGAAGUUGUCAUAAGCAGCUAUCAAAUGACAUGGGGCUAAAUCCAGAUACUAGACAGGAAAUUCCAAGAGUCAACUUUAAUGUUCCUCUUCCCCUGAUUUAGACACAUAUGUUUGGAUAAAACAAUAGAAGUUUACAUGGACAGCUUGUUGUUAAGGAUAUAUCUAGUCAUCAGUUUCAUCUUGUGACUGCUGCAAUUUAGAAUGCGAAGAAAAGUACUUACUCAACUUUUUACUCUUUUCCAAAGGAAUUUGAUGAAUUUGGCAAAUAAGGCUAAAUAGAAUCUGAGAUCCUUGUGGACAAUAGCCAAUAAUUUGUACUAGCCCCGAGAGUGUUAUUAAUCAUGGUGAUAUUGCAAAUCAUCAAGAGCUAAUACCUCUUCCUUCCAGCCGAACUAGCUCUUACUUCUCUAUAAGAUUCAUCUGCCUAUUAUUAUUGACUAUCCCACCAGAAAUUUUGUCAGGAAGGUAUCUGAGAAUAAUAUGAUGGAUGGGUAUUCUAAGGCAAUUGAAAUUAAGCUUUUAUACCUUUAGAUUAACUAUUCUGAGAAAGCAAGGUGCACCCAAUAAAAUCAAUGAUUAGUGACUUUCCAUCUUGUAUGGCAUACCUUUCCUCCUAACACUUUUGCAUUGUCACACUUUUGUCAUCCUUGGGUUCUUUGAUUCUCCUUGCCCUUGUUGGACAUAAGGGACUUUAAAGCCCAAACCUACGAAGCAGAUUCGAGAUGAUAUAGUAGACUAAAUCUGCAUAACAUGCUUUGUGGCAUGGUUGAAUCAUUUGUAAAGAGUAGAAACAGUUGAUUGCAUUUUUAAUAAAACAAUAGUACCAAUUCAGAGUCCUAUUUUUGCAGCUAGUGAAAUUUAUUCUAAGCCAGACUAAAUAGUUAUUAACCCUCUCAACAUAUGGCUUUUUUAUUUAGUGAUCAAAGUACACAAAGCAAACAAUACAAUAACACCAGAUACAGCAGCAAGAAAGUUCAGAAUAGAUCUGCAUACGAGUCAAAGGUAGAAUAGAAAAUACAACAGAAAUGCAGUAGUAAAAGAUGUUACAAAAAUAAAAAAAACCUUUUGCUCACUGAUUAUAUCUGAGCUGGUACAGUCUGUCUUUUUAGAGUCAAACUCAAAUUCGUUACGGUAGAGGUGAAAAUUAUUAGGUUUUCCUCCACAAAGUCCACAUCUAUAUAUGCUGGGUUUGCCAUUCUGAUCAAAAGCAGUGAGCUUUAGGCGUACAAACUUCUUAUAAACCUUCUCUGCAUUAGACUGCAAGUAGAAAAGUUCGAUCAAAAGUUAAUUAUCCCAUAAUAACCAAAUUAAGGUAAGCUUAUCAGUUAUGAAUUUUUCCGCACUAUAUUGACCGAGUAUUAAACUCUCACCAUAAUUAACUGAACUUUCCCACUUCGGUAUAUCAUUUGGUGCGACAAGUAACUCGAUCCAUGAUAAUUAACAAAGAAGUUUCUGAUAAUAUCUCCAAACUGUUCAUUUUUCGACUUUGGGAUGGCACGAACCAGAACUGAAAAAUGGCUAGGAUUCGGAGGAGAUUUAGUUAUGUGAGCAAGCCUCAUUCUGGAAAUUCUUUUGUACUCCUAAACAUCAUAAAUAGAAAUUAGCUGUAAACUUGUCAUGAAGGUACUUAGGGCACAAACUAGAAGGAUUCUCAAUGACAUGGACCCAUCUAAAACAAAUUCUUACGUAGUAAAGAAGAAUACAUGCUGAGCAAGUUAUUAUGUACAGUGCAAGGCAAUGAACCCAAAGCCUGCAAAACAAAAUGGAGAUCCCCAUUAGUAGCUGCUCUAAUCCAGAAUUACUUUAUCCUGGCCAAUGAUUUCUGCAACAAAUUACAGCAAAUUCUAGUAGAAAACUACAUGAAAGUUUAGUGAAGAGAAAAUUUGAAAGUUUAGCACACUUUACAGUUAGAUUAUCACAUUUUAGUGAGAGAGAACAAAACUUCAAGCUGAAUAAAAUUAACUACAAAUAUGCAAAAGACAACAAUAGGAUAUAAAUUUAUAUAUAAAACUAGGCUACUAUACUAUCUAUAGUACCAGGGUUCUGGUAUUAAAGUCUUGUUUUCGAUCUUAAAGUGCUCAAAUUAAUGAUCCACAAUAUUAAAUAUGAUCUAGGGUGUAUGAAAUUCUUAGGUAUAAAAUUUAUAUUUUUCUCGACGUUGUUUACUUAGCAAAUAAUGUCAAAAUGAAUGGUAAAAAUUGAAUAAUCUUUAAAAAAAAAAGAAGGAUAUGAAUUUUAAAUUCAAGAUCAAGGAUGUCUACCUUGAUCUAGAUAGUUCAAAAUAUUUUCUAUCAAAAUUUGAAUUAAUUUAAAUUCUUCUACACCGUUAAACUACAAACUCGUCAUAGUAGCCAUUAAAAAUUGGCAAUUUUGAAAUAAUUUCAUCAUAAAAUAAACGAUGCCGAAAAAAUAUGAAAUUUUAUUUCUUAAAACUUCAAUUACCCUAUAUUAUAUUUAAUAGUGUGGAUCGUUGAUUUGAACAUCCUAAGGUUGAAAACGAGACUAGUAGUGCGUCGGUACUCUAGAUAGUAUAGUAACUGUGUGUGUGUGUGUGUUUAUUUCUUAUAGGCUUGCGAUUCAAUAAGAAAAACAAUUUUUCUACACUCUAGCAAUAAUCGCACUAAGCUUGCAUAACCACCAGCUUUCAUGAAUGAAUCUCUGCUUUACUAACUGAUACAUGAGGAUAACUUGAAUCCUUACCAUCUUGACCCAUCUUUGACAUUUGCGAUGGUAAAUACAUCCAAUGGUUCUGAAGGAAUAUGUUUGUGACGCAUUUCUUGUCCAAAAUAAUUAACAGGAAGUACCCCAAACGCACAAACGAAAGCAGCUAUAGAGAAGAUACGUAUGCUGCAUGAAUAAAAGAAACAACCAAAUCUCAGUAUAAUCAGAUAUCAAGGGAAUAAUUACAAUCUUAACCAGUUUCACAAAUGAUAAAUUAGGGGAUUCAGCACAAUCUCACUGUUGGGCACCAAGCAGAAGCAAACACAAUCAGAUUAGGUUGCCUAUUCGUCCAUGUUUAAGGGUACUGGCGUUAGAACUGGUGGGCCAGGUGGAUUAGGGAUUGACUAGAAAACAUAGAAUUAACCCAAUUUAGAGCUAUACUAUCUUAAAAAGAAUCUUGUUUUGAUAAUUCAUCAUAGUAGAACUUUUAAAGUAAAAUUUUUUAAAAAAUCCGCACAAGCCUACUAGAUAAGAGUGAGUUGGAUGGCUUCGACUCUUCCAAUUAAAUUUCUGUACUGGUUGCUUUCUUCCGGUGAAUUUCAUGUUUGUGUGUGUUUUCCUUUGAUUUGAUUCGCAAAAGUUGUGCAGAGUUUGCAAGCGUAUUGUUCCAUUUCUUGUGUUUACUUAAUUGGACUCUUUCAAAGACAGGAGUUGUCUCAUCUGAGACUGCUACAAGAAAGCGAACAUGGUAUAGUUUAAAAUAAAUGCCAAAUCACUGACAAAACAAACCUCAAAGAGUAGCAGAAUUAAAACUAAAUAAACAUAGCACUGCUUACACUACAGGACAUGAUCAAAAAAGCAUAAAUCACUGUUAUCUUGAGUACGUUGGCUCCAGUACUCACCUAAAAACGAGUAUCCGGAGGAACACCACAGCGUCCAAACCAGCAGCCUGGAGGAUCUCAUCUUCCGUGAACUGCCAUGCUUUUACUAUCCAGGUCGGCGAAGGCACUAAUCGCUCCAAGGUGAACGGGUCCUGGAGCCUGCUAUGCUCUUGGGCGAGUCUCCGCCCAAAGUACACAUUCACAUUCCCCGGCUGCUUCCGCAAGACCGAGUACAGCGACAAGAAUAGCAAGCACAGGCCGAUGUUUAUGCCGGCGGACGUAAGCAGAGCAGAGAUUUCCAUCUCCGUCUCUUCCUAUCCAUCAACAAGUCCGACCAUUUGCCGCGUAAACGACAGCGCAAUGCAGUUUCUUACCAAUCCCCUGAAGAACGAAUCGCCAGCGAUUUACGCAAAAAAUGAGUUAUCUUGCUCAUUAAAACUAUAUCGGCCUUCGCAGGUUAAAAAAUCACACUUUGCAGCUUAAUUUACGUUCAAAUAGUCCAAAAAAUCUAUGCUUUUGAAAGAUAAAGAUCACACAUUUCAUCGAGUACUACAAGGGCAUUACUCCACAGAGUUAAGAUUCUGGAAAAAUGAGUAUUAUCAAUCGAUCUCAAACCAAACUAUAAUAAAAUUCCAGAUCAAAAUAAUCGCCCUCAUAUAUAAAAAAACUAGAAGAUGUUUCUCUAAUUGCUAUGUGAUUGGUAUCGGAGGAGAUACAAAACCCUAAUAAGAAGAACACAGAGCGAUUUGAAUUGGGGAAUUAAUAGAUAAAAUUGAGAGAUCGAUGUAGGAAAUGCGACGUAAUUACCCGAUUAAUCGACGAAAUCUACGCCUCGAUGCGGCGAAAUUGGGGCCUAAUUCGUGCGAACGCGAUGUGAUUUUGGGGGCGAUGUGAUCGAAUUAGGGAUUUGAGGAGAGAGAGAGAGAGAGAGAGAGAGAGAGAGAGGAGGAGAACGUCGAAGGGGGGCGAUUUGAGUUGGCCUCGGCGGGAGCGCGACGCGUGUCGGUUUCUUAUUGGCCGAGGAAGUGGCGAGGAGAAUCUGCGCGGCGUCCGCAUGGCGAUUGUCGUGCGAGAAUCGGUAUCAGCCGUUGAGUCUUGCUUUGAGAUUCGUGUAGUCGCGAUUGGUGGGGGGAGCAGAGAGCGAUUUGGUGCGGGAGCGGGGAUGGACGUUUGCGGUGGGUACUCAACUGCUUAUAACCGUCGGAACGUGGGUCCCGCCACAUUUCUUUACAUUAUUAUUAUUAUUGUUAGGAUAAAUUGUUCCAACGGUUCUCAAAGUAUCAUUCCGGUGACAUUUUAGUUCUCAAAUUUUAAUUUAUUAUAAUUUUUUAAAAUUUUUAAAAUUAUUACAAUCAAGUCCAAUAAUUCAAUUUAGUUGACUAAAUAUUUUUAGCGCAUCACAAAUUACAAUACUGUUACAUUACUUUUAUAUUAGUGGUACAUCUAUUUAAUCAACUAAAUUAGAUUAUUAGACCUGAUUAUAGCAAUUCUCAAAAUUCAUGCUAGAAAUUAUACAAAAUUAUAGAACUUGUUUAAUAGUAUUAUUAUUAUUAUUAGACGGUGAACGUUCUCAUUUUUGUCCAACAUGACAUUGAGUUGGUGAGAAGAGAAUUAGUUGGCCAAAUAAAAUUUUGAAAGAGUCAUUUGGCCAAUUAGAAAAUUUAUAAAGAUUAUAUAUAAAAUAGAGUCCUAACAAAACCUACAAAUGCAUCUUUCAACCGCGAGCAACAACACAAAAAAGUUCGUAAUCGCAUAUCUUUUAAGUAAAUAGCACUAAACUAGUUAGAUGAAUUAUAAUUGUUGCAUCUCUUAUUGCAUAUAUCUCUAAUUAUGCUGUAUUUGUAAUUAUACUGAACCAAAUGCCUGUGAGGAAGGUAAUGCUAAAAUAUGAACACCAAGAGGGACUUAAUAUUUCUCUUGGUAUAUUUUUUUUAGAAGAGGUUUGAUUUACCUUAUAUCACUACAACAAAAAUGGUCUAUAGCGACACUUUUAAAUGUCGCUACAGGUCAAAAAAAAGUGCUGCUGACUAAAUUACCGACACUUUUAAAAAGUGUUGUUAUAUGUGGAGUCGCUAGAUAUAUAGUGACAGUUAAAGAGUGUCGCUAUAACAUAAAAAGAGUGCUGCUAAUUUACUAAUACUCAUUUAAGCAUUUAGCAACCGCCGGAACACUACCUCGUUGGCUGCGGUGGCGGAGGAAGAGGAGAGGGAAGGGCUCUUCGUCUAGGAUUUUAGUGGAUUGAGCGAGGGGAGAAGGGGAGAUGACAAUCGAUUUUUUUUUUUUUCUUUUCUGUUUGUAAUCGGGUUGAAUGGGCUGGGUGGGGUUGGUUGAGUAGAAUAACAUUUUAUUUUUUGUUGGACUGGGCUUUAUACUUAAGCAUUAGUAGAUUUUUUUUUUAGUUUUGGUAUAAAUGGAAUACUUACACAAAAGUGUCUCAAACAUGUGUCGCUAUAACCUAAUUCUGUUGUACUGUAUAAAGCAAAAGUAUGUAAAGACAUGUUUCACCAACCAAGUGCAAUCAAAAUGAAGUAUUACGAUAUACCAUAUUUUGUUUACCAUAUUUGUUUUACUUUAUAUUAUGAGAAUGCUUAAUGUUUUUGAUCUUAUUGAAUUUGUAAUUGUGUGACAGAGAUCUAACUUUAUUGUGGUGGUUGAUGAUAUGAUAAUGACUAAAUGUUAUAUUAUUAUUACAUCAGUAACACAUUAUUACUCAGACAGUAACUAAAUUACAUUGUAGGACUUGAUCAUAACAAAUUAAAAAUUAUGAACCAAGGACCAUGUACAAGUAUAAGUUAUUAUAAUUAUUAUUAUUAUUUUGAGAGAGAGAUAGCAUGCUAUCUAAUUUAUUCAAAAAAUAAACUUAGGGGAUAUUAUAUUUGUCGAAAAAGCGUGGAAAAAGAAUUUCAGAAAAAAAAAGUUUUUCAUAAAGAAACUCAAUUUCAGUUUUUUGUCUAUUUGUCUUUAAGAAAAACUAGCUUUUCUGAAAAUUUAUUUUCCAAAUUUCACGGUAAAUUAAUGUUGUUUCCCAAAUUUUUUUAGGAAAACGAAAAUACAAGUUUUCAUAAAAUUUGAAAAAAAAAAGUUUUCCAAAAAACUUAGUUUUUCUUGGAGCAAAAAAGAUGAAAAACUUAAAUAGAGAUUUUCUAUGGAAAGCUUUCUUUUCGAAAAAUUUUUGUUCACAUUUUUUUGACUAACUAAACAUCCGUUAGCUGAAAAUAUAAAGCAACUAGUCUUCUUUUAAUUAAUAUUUAUUAGGGUUGGAAAGGGCUUCGAUCGUGAUCAAGUCACCCAAACCUGAGCCCAAACCGAAAAUUAUGACUAUAUCUAGACGAGACACUGUCCUAGUAAGUUUGAACAAAUUGAUGUACAACCCUACCGCCCAACACUAGAUCAGAAUCCUAAGCAGCUAAGCCUAAACCCUAGGCAUCCAAUGGUCAAAAAAUUGAUAGUAAAUACAAUUUUCAUAUUAUUAAUAACAUUCUAGUUCCUCUCUCUCUCUCUCUCUCUCUCUUUCUCUCUCUCUCUCUCUCUCUCUCUCUAUAUAUAUAUAUAUAUAGAAUUCAGCCGCUGUCCUUUUAGGAGGAUAGGGACCUUCGUCCUAUCAAAUUGCUUUUGAUAAUAGAGAUCCCGAAUAGAUGAUCGAAACCGUUGAAGUUGAUCUAGUGUAUUUAAAUUAUUUAGAAACUAAAUUUUAUAAAUUUUAAAAUUUAUUUACAUAGUGAUCAAAAGAUUGCAAAAUUGANCUUUCUUUUCGAAAAAAUUUUUUUCACAUUUUUUUGACUAACUAAACAUCCGUUAGCUGAAAAUAUAAAGCAACUAGUCUUCUUUUAAUUAAUAUUUAUUAGGGUUGGAAAGGGCUUCGAUCGUGAUCAAGUCACCCAAACCUGAGCCCAAACCGAAAAUUAUGACUAUAUCUAGACGGGACACUGUCCUAGUAAGUUUGGACAAAUUGAUGUACAACCCUACCUCCCAACACUAGAUCAGAAUCCUAAGCAUCUAAGCCUAAACCCUAGGCAUCCAAUGGUCAAAAAAUUGAUAGCAAAUACAAUUUUCAUAUUAUUAAUAACAUUCUAGUUCCACUCUCUCUCUCUCUCUCUCUCUCUCUCUCUCUCUAUAUAUAUAUAUAUAUAUAUAUAUAUAUAUAUAUAUAGAAUUCAGCUACUAUCUUUUUAGGACGACAGAGGUUUUCGCCUUCCUAAAUCGUUUUAGAUGAUAGAAAUUUCGAAUUGAUGAUUGAAACCAUUAAAGUUGAUCUAGAGUAGGGAUGUCAAUGGGUAUGGAUAUCAUAUAUAUAUAUAUAUCCCGAACCCGAAUGAAACGGAUAUAUUCGAUACUAAAUGAAUAUAGAUUUGGAUAUGGAUAUCAAAUAGAAACCCGACGGAUAUGGAUUCGAAUAUGAAUUUUGAUUGUACUCGACCUGAACCUGAACCCGACCCGAACCCGAAUUUAUUUUGUAUUUUAAAAAUUUAGAUUUAAUAUAAUGCAUUUUGAAAUAUUGGAAAAAGAAAUAAUUGUUUCGGGUUCAAAUUUUCGGGUUCGGGUUUCAGAUUUUUGAUCGGGUUCGGGUUUGGAUAUGGAUUUUAAAAAUCCAUUGGGUUCAGAUUCGGGUCUCGUUGGGUUCGGGUUUGGGUUUUUGAAAAUCGGCCCGAAUCCGACCCGUUGACAUAUCUAAUCUAGAGUAUUUAAAGCUAAAUUUUAGAAAUUUUAAAAAUUGUUAUCAAGUCCAUCGAAAAGUCAAAAAAUAAACGAUAAAAAAUAAAUAAUCUUGUGAAAAUAGAUGUUAGACUUUUUCAAUUCAUGAUCAUAGUUAUCGAAUGUUAUCUAAAUAGUAUCAAAAAUUUUUUACUAAAAAUUCAAACGGUUUGAACUGCUCUACAGGAUUAAACAAAUAAACGGCUUAUCUAUUCCAUAAAAAACUAUCGACUUUAUGAUACUUUAAUUACUAUGUAAAUAAUUUAUAAAAUUUAGUUUCUAGAUGCUUUAAAUAUUCGAGAUCAAUUUUAAUAAUUCCGAUUAUCUAUUCAGAAUAUCAUUUAAAACAAUUUAGGAGGACAAAUGCUGGAUAUAUAUAUAUAGAGAGAGAAAGAGAAAGCGAGAGAGAGAGAGAGAGAAAGAGAGAGAGAGAGAGAGGAGAGAGAGAGUCCGGCUACUAUACUGUCGAUAGUACUAAGCGCUUGGUACUAUCGAGUUUUCUAUCGUUAGAUCUACCAUUUGAUCAUUUCAUCCGUUAGAUUAUACUAUUCAACCAACCACCUACUCAAUUCUAGAGGACCACUAUCAUCUUAAUCGCACAUCUUUUCAUCCAACGGCCGAAAACUCGAUAGCACUAAGCAUUUGGUACUAUUUAUAGUAUAGUAGCAUAAUUUUCUCUCUCUAUAUAUAGCAGGGCUAUUGUGCUAUUAGGAGUACUGCAGCGCCGGUGUGCUCCUAACUUUCCAGCAUCCAUCAAUUUUGAUGGGUGGUUAGGGUGAGAGAGAAAAAAAAAAUUGAAGAGAAAUUGGGUUUCUCAAUUUCUCUUUUUCCUUGAAUUUCUUUUCAAUUUCUCUUCUCUCUCUAAUCCGAACCACCGAUCAAAAUUGAUGGAUGGUUAGAGUAAGAGAGAGAAGAGAAAUUGGAAAAAAAUUCAGGUAACAAUUAUUUUAGUAACAAUCUCAAAUUAAUAUAAAUUGUGCUCUCUCUCUUUCUCUUUGUAUAUAGUAGUUGAGUAUACGAGCAAAUGCACGUAAGAAUUAUUUUAGUAACUAUCUCAAAUUAAUGUAAAUUUCUACAUCAUAUUUAUUCAAAAGUNGUAUUAUAUAUAAUAUAUAUAUAUAUAUUUGAUGUUAUAUUUAAAUUUGUAUUUUAAAAAUUUAGAUUUAAUAUAAUGCAUUUCGAAAUAUUGAAAAAAGAAAUAAUUGUUUCGGGUUCAAAUUUUCAGGUUCGGGUUUCAGAUUUUUGGUCGGGUUCGGGUUUGGAUAUGGAUUUUAAAAGUCCAUUGGGUUCAGAUUCGGGUCUUGUUGGGUUCGGGUUCGGGUUUUUGAAAAUCGGCCCGAAUCCGACCCGUUGACAAAUCAAUCUAAUCUAGAGUAUUUAAAUCUAAAUUUUAGAAAUUUUAAAAAUUGUUAUCAAGUCCAUCGAAAAGUCAAAAAAUAAACGAUAAAAAAUAAGUAAUCUUGUGAAAAUAGAUAUUAGACUUUUUCAAUUCAUGAUCAGAGUUAUCGAAUGUUAUCUAAAUAGUAUCAAAAAUUUUUUACUAAAAAUUCAAACGGUUUGGACUGCUCUACAGGAUUAAACAAAUAAACGGCUUAUCUGUUCCAUAAAAAACUAUCGACUUUGUGAUACUUUAAUCACUAUGUAAAUAAUUUAUAAAAUUUAGUUUCUAGAUGCUUUAAAUAUUCAAGAUCAAUUUUAAUAAUUCCGAUUAUCUAUUCAGAAUAUCAUUUAAAACAAUUUAGGAGGACAAAUGCUGGAUAUAUAUAUAUAUAGAGAGAGAGAGAAAGAGAGAGAGAGAGAGGAGAGAGAGAGAGUCCGGCUACUAUACUAUCGAUAGUACCAAGCGCUUUGUACUAUCGAGUUUUCUGUCGUUAGAUCUACCAUUUGACCAUUUUCAUCCGUUAGAUUAUACUAUUCAACCAACCACCUACUCAAUUCUAGAGAACCACUAUCAUCUUAAUUGCACAUCUUUUCAUCCAACGGCCGAAAACUCGAUAGCACUAAGCAUUUGGUACUAUUUAUAGUAUAGUAGCAUAAUUCUCUCUCUCUAUAUAUUGCAGGGCUAUUGUGCUAUUAGAAGUACUGCAGCGCCAGUGUGCUCCUAACUUUCUAACAUCCAUCAAUUUUGAUGGGUGAUUAGGGUGAGAGAGAAAAAAAAAAAUUGAAGAGAAAUUGGGUUUCUCAAUUUCUCUUUUUCCUUGAAUUUCUUUUCAAUUUCUCUUCUCUCUCUAAUCCUAACCACCGAUCAAAAUUGAUGGAUGGUUAGAGUAAGAGAGAGAAGAGUAGUUGGAAAAAAAUUCAGGUAACAAUUAUUUUAGUAACAAUCUCAAAUUAAUAUAAAUUGUGCUCUCUCUCUUUCUCUGUGUAUAUAGUAGUUGAGUAUACGAGCAAAUGCACGUAAGAAUUAUUUUAGUAACUAUAUCAAAUUAAUAUAAAUUUCUACAUCAUAUUUAUUCAAAAGUUUAUAAUACAAAAUUUAAAUUUUAAAAAAUAAAUUUAUUUAUUAUACACUAUUAAAAAAAUAUGUACCUCAAAUUUAAAUUAUUAUUGCUGACAAUAAUUAUACACCUCUAUUUUUUUUAAUAAAAUUUACAUAUAGUGUAGAUAUAGAUUAGAUUGAAUAUUUUUCUAUAUUCUUGAAUUACGACGAAUCCAAAAUUUAAAUAUAUGUUUUAAACUAAUAAAAGUAUUAAAAUUUUAAUUCACUUUUUAUUUAAAAUUUAAAAUUUAAUUUUGAUCUAGUUUAAUAAAAAAAAAUUAAUUAUUAAUUCAAAUUUAAGAUCAAAAAUAAAUUUAUUUUAUAUCUACUUGAUGGACUUUAUUACUUUAAAACAUAUAUUUCUUUUAGAAUGGCAACCUAGCUAGAUAACAACCUUUUUUUUUCACUUAUUUUAAGAAAUUGUAUGCACCUUAUUUUAAGAAUCCACUUAAUUUCCUGAGAAUGACAAUCUCGAUAACAGCUCCUAGGCUGGCUAGUGAUUGCUAAUUUAAAAAUGACUGAGUGGUUCAUCUUAUUUGUCACUUUUAGGGCCUGUUUAGCCUAAAUUCUAAAAAAAUAAUUUUUGCAAAAUUAAUUUUAAUUUAAAGAAUUGGUUUUGAUUAAAAACAACAAAAUAUUUGGUUGAGUUUAGAUAAAAUGUAAUUCUUUUAAGUUAUUUUAUAAAGCUGUUUAGGAAAAAAAAUUAAUAUUUGCAAAUAAUAAAUUUAAUUUAAAAUUUAAAUUUAAAUUUAAAAUUUGAAAUUUAAUUUUAAAUCAAAUUCCAAAUUUUAAAUUUAAAUUUUACUUUGCAAAAAAAUUUAAAAAUUUGAUAUUUUAAUUUAAAUAUAAAUUUGAAAUUUGAAGUUUUAAAAUUUAAAAAUUAAAAUUUAAAAUUUAAAAUUUAGAAUGGCAAUUUUAAAUCUAAAUUUAAAAUUUUAAUUUCAAAUUUCAAAUUUAAAUUCAAAAUUCAAAAUUUGAAGUUCAAAAUUAAAAAUUUGAAUAUUAUUUUUUAAAACUUAAAAUUUAAAUUUUAAUCUCAAAUUAAAAUUUUAUUUUGUAUAUUUAAAAUUUAAAAAUUAAAACUCAAAACUAAAAUAUAAAACUUUAAAUUUUUAAUUUUAAAUAAUUAAAAUUUGUAAUUUGAAAAUUAAAACUUAAAAUUUUAAAUUUUAAAUUUUAAAAUUUUUAAAUCAAAAUUUAAAUUCUAAAUUUAAAAAUUUUAAAUUUAAUUUAAAUUUUAAUUUAAUUUUUAAAAUUUAAAUACUAAACUUUGAAUUUUAAAAUUAAAAGAUUUGAAAUUUAUAUUUGAAAUUUGAAAUUUAANAACUUAAAUCUAGAAUAGAAAUAAAAAUUUAAAUUUGAGUCUAAAAUUAGAAUCAGAUUUCAAGAAGUAGGUUUUAGUCGUUUCUGAUUUUGGACUUCCAAAAUCAUAAAACUAAUUCUGAAAAUCAUAAUUUAAUUUUCGAAACAAAGUUGCCAAACACUCUAUUGAGCUAAAAAUCGCUUCAAGUAAUUUCGUAAUCUCUAGAUCAUAAACCCUAAACCCUAAACCCUAUACGCUAUUUGCUGUGGGGGUGUGGGGUGGGGGUGGGGGUGGGCUAAUAAUUAUAUGCGUGAUCUUUAUUCUAAGAACCCCGCUUUUCUUUGGCAGACGACCUAAAUAACAAUCCUUAGGCUGUCUAUUUAGAAAUUAUUAAGUUGGUUCAUCAUAUUUGUCGCAUUUACAUUCCAUAAAUCUUCAAGUAAUUUCAAAUCUCACAAUUGUAAUAAUUAUAUAGGAGGCCUUAUUCGAAGAACCUCACUCUUUUUAGAGUGGGGGUGGUGGGGGUGCUUAAUAAUUAUAUGCAUAGGCCUUAUUUGAAGAAUCCCAUUUUUUUUUAGAAUGACAACUUGGAUAACAACCUCAAGACUGACUAGUGAUUAUCAGUUUAAAAAUGAUUAAAUUAGUUCAUUAUAUUUGUCACUUUUACAUUCUAUUAAUUUACAAGUAAUUUAAAAAUCUCACAUUAAUAUAUCAAACAUAUUAUAACUAGUAGCUAAGUCUAAAAUUUCUAGCUUUGACCUAGACUAUAGGUCGUGCUUAUUUUUGCAUGAUUCUGUUGCCACUACAACAGAAUUAGGUUAUAGGGACACAUGUUUGAGACACUUUUGAGUAAGUGUCCCAUUUAUGCUAAAACUUAAAAAAAUAUCUACUAAUGCCUAAAUAUAAAGCCCAAUCCAACCAAAAAUAAAAGAUUACUCUACUCAACCUACCACAUCCAGUCCAUUUGGCCCGAUUACAAACAGAAAAGAAAAGAAAAAAGAAAAAUCAUUUACCAUCUUUUCUUCUCUCUUCACUCAAUUCACUAAAAUUCUAGACGAAGAGCCUUUUCUGUCGUCCUCCUCCGCCGUUGUAGCUAACGAGAUAGAGUUUCGGCGAUUGCUAAAUGCUUAAAUAAGUAUUGAUAAAUUAGCAGCACUCUUUUAGGUUAUAGCGACACUUUUAACUGUCACUAUAUACCUAGCGACCCCACAUAUAGCAACACUUUUUAAAAGUGUCGGUAAUUUUAGUUAGCAGCACUUUUUUUACAUGUACCUACAUUUAAAAGUGUCGCUAUAGACCGUUUUUGUUGUAGUGUGCAGGUUUUGGCUCAAACUUUUAAAAGUUUUUUAAAAUUCCGACCAAGUUGAAAAUCUCUUUUCUUUUUUUCUUUUUUUGGUGGAUACAAAAUGGUGUCAUUCAUAAGUAGGAGUUGGGGGGGAGGAGGGGGAGGGAAGAAUCCCACUCUUUUUCGAAUGACAACCUAGAUAACAACCCCUAGGUUGUCUACUGAUUGUCAUUUUAAAAAAUUAUUGAGUUGGUUUAUUAUAUUCGUCACAUUUAUAUUCUAUAAGUGGGGAGUAGGGAGGGGAGGGGGGUGCUGGUGGUGGUGGUGUAAGGGCUAAUAAUUAUAUGUGUGGCCCUUAUUCCAAGAGCCCCACUUUUUUUCAAAUGACAACCUAGAUAAUAACCUUUAGGCUGUUUAGUGAUUGCCAAUUUAAAAAUUAUUGACUUGGUUUAUCAUAUUCGUCACAUUUAUAUUCCAUAAGUGGGAGUAGGGAGGGGAGGGGGGCAGUGGUGGUGGUGGUGGUGGUGGUGGUGCAAGGGCUAAUAAUUAUAUGCGUGGCCUUUAUUCCUGGAGCCCCACUUUUUUUCGAAUGACAACCUAGAUAAUAACCUUUAGGCUAUUUAGUGAUUGCCAAUUUAAAAAUUAUUGAGUUGAUUUAUCAUAUUCGUCACAUUUAUAUUCCAUAAAUCUUGAAGUAAUUUCAAAAUCUCACAAUUGUAAUAAUUGUAUGGGAGGCCUUAUUCGAAGAACCCACCUUUUUUCUAGAAUGGAGAUGGUGGGGGAUGCUUAAUAAUUGUAUGCGUAGGUCUUAUUUCAAGAAUCCCUUUUUUUUUAGAAUCACAACUUGGAUAACAACCUCAAGGAUGGCUAGUGAUUAUCAAUUAUUUGUCACCUUUACAUUCUGUUAAGUUACAAAUAAUUUAAAAACUCACAUUAAUAUAUCUAAUAUAUUAAAACUAGUAACUACAUCUAAAAUUUCUAGCUUGACCUAGCCUAUAGGUAGUGCCUGUUUUUGCAUGAUUUUGUUUGCAGGGUUGGGUUCAAACUAAUAGAAGUUUUGUAAAAUUAAGAUCAAGUUGAAAAUCUCUUUUCUUUUUUUCCCCCUCUUUUUGGGGGAAACAAAAAUAUGUCAUUGAGUGAUUGGCUAAGUCUACAAGACUAGGUACAUCCAAAAAAUAAAGGGUAAACUUCAAAUACCACCUCCAUGGUUUUACACUUUCUCAUUUUAGUACCCUGUGGUUUAAAGUGUAUUAAGUUUGUAUCCUGUAGUUUUAUUUUUCUCUUUUUGUCAACUUCUCUAUUAAUAUUUUAUUAAAUUAUAUACAAAAAAAUUCAGAUACCCUACUUAGGUUUAUCAAAUAUUCACUUUAGUACCCUUUAGUUUUAACUUUAUCAUAGAUUUAACGAAAAAAAAUAGUGAAAUGGAUAAUAAAAAGUAAAAAAUAAAACCACAUAAUACUAAAUUGAUAUACUUUAAAUCUCAAGGUACUCAAAUGAGAAAGUGUGAAACUAUAUGGGUGGUAUUUAAAGUUUUCUGAAAAAUAAAUAAGCAAAUUUCCUCAAACCUUGUCACUAAUAAUUGUUCUCCAUAUAGUAGACAAGCAAAUCCUAGAUAGUACCAUAUGAGGUAAAAAUACCCCAUGCUUAUUUUGCCAUUCAUGUCUAUAAAACAUCUGUACCUAUGACUACAUAAUAGAACACUCCAACACCAAAAGCCCCCCAUUCAUGUGCUCAUGCUACUUCAUCAAGAGACACAAAAUCUAUCAUCUCUUUUGUAAAAUUUCAAAAGCCAAAAUUUGUGAUCUCUGUUUCAUUUGCAAGCAAAUCCAAAUCCUUCUUAGUCCUGGAUGCUAGGGCUAAUAAUUAUAUGCGCGACUCUUAUUUCAAAAACCCUACUUUUCUUAGAAUGAAACAACCCCAAAGCUGUCUAGUAAUUGUCAAUUUAAAAAUAGUUAGUUGAUUCAUUAUAUUCACCUACAUUCCAUAACUCUUCAAGUAAUUUCAAAGUCUCAUAAUUGUAAUAAUUGCAUAGGCCUUAUUCGAAGAACUCCACAUUUUUAGAAUUACAACUUGGAUAACAACCACAAGAUUGGCUAGUGAUUAUUAGUUUAAAGAUGAUUAAGUUAGUUCAUUAUCUUUGUCCCCUUUACAUUCUGUUAAUUUACAAGUAAUUCAAAAGUCUCAUAUUAAUAUAUCUAACAUAUUAUAACUUAUAGCUACAUCUAAAAUUUCUGGCUUGAUCUAGCCUGUAGAUCUUGCUCGUUUUGCAUGAUUCCAUUUGCAGGAUUGGGUUCAAACUGUUAGAAGUUUUGUAAAAUUCAGAUCAAAUUAAAAAUAUCUUUUUUUUUUUCUCUCUUUUUCGAAGAUAUAGAAUUGUGCCAUUGAGCGAUUGGCUAAGUCUAUCGGGCUAUGUACAUCUAGAAAAUAAAUAAACAAUUUUCUUCAAAUUAACCUUGUCACUAAUUGAAGCUUGUUCUCCACAUAGUAUACAAGCAAAUCCAAGGGGGGAGGGGUUAAUAAUUGUAUGCGUAGGCCUUAUUCAAAGAACACACUUUUUUUUUAGAAUGGCUACUUGGUUAACAACCGCAAGGCUGGCUAGUGAUUAUCAAUUUGAAAAAUGAUUAAGUUGGUUCACUAUAUUUGUCAUCGUUACAUUCUAUUAAUUUAUAAGAAAUUUAAAAAUCUCACAUUAAUUAAUAUAUCUAAUAUAUUAUAACUAGUGGCUACAUCUAAAAUUUGUAGCUUGACCUAGCCUGUAGGUCAUGCCUGCUUUUGCAUAAUUUUUGUUUAUAGGGUUGGGUUCAAAUUGUUAGAAAUUUUGUAAAAUCCAGACCAAGUUGAAUUAAAAUCUCUUUCUUUUUCCCUUUUUUUUUUUAACUUUUUGGGGGAAACAAAAGCAUACCAUUGAGUGACUUACUAAAUCUAUCAGACUACAUACAUCCAAAAAAUAAAUAAACAAUUUUCUCAAAUUAACCUUGUAGUAAUGCUUGUUCAUAGUAGACAAGCAAAUCCAAAGGGGGAGGGGUUAAUAAUUGUAUGCGUAGGCCUUAUUGGAAGAAUCCCACCUUUCUUUUGGAAUGACAACUUGGAUGACAGCCUGGAGGCUGGCUAGUGAUUACCGAUUUGAAAAUGAUUAAGUCGGUUUAUUAUAUUUAUCGCCUUUACAUUCUGUCAAUUUACAAAUAAUUUAAAAAUCUCACAUUAAUAUAUCUAACAUUCUCACAUUAAAAGAUCUAAUAUAUUAUAACUAGUACUGACCGUCUCUAGCGCAAGUGGUAAAGGACUUGAUGCCAAGUUCGAAUCCUAGUUGAUUUACAUUUUUAACUAAGUUUAUUUCUAAAAAAAAUACGAAGCGGGUAGCAUGCAUGCUACCUUGCUACAUCUAAAAUUUCUGACGUGACUUAGCUUGUCGGUCGUUUUUGUAUGAUUCUAUUUACAGGGUUGGAUUCAAAUUAUUAGAAGUUUUGUAAAAUUCAGACCAGAUUGAAAAUCUCUUUUCUUUUUUUUUUUUCUUUUUUUUUUGGGGGGGGGAAACAAAAGCAUGUCAUUGAGUGAUUUGCUUAAGUCUAUUAGACCAGAUACACCCAAAAAAUAAAUAAAUAAUUUUCCUCAAGUUAACCUUUUCACUAAUGCUUGUUCACCUCAUAGUAGACAAACAAAUCCAAGGAUAGCACCAUAUAUAGAGGUAAGCAUCCAAUGCUUCUUUUGUUUUUUGUCUCAUGCAUAUCUUUAUUACACAUCUCUAGCUUCCUACGACUAAGUCAUGAGAACACACCAAAACCAAAAGCUCCCCAUGCAUGUGCUCAUGCUACUCCAUCAAGAGACACAAAAUCCAUCAUCUCUUUUGUGAAAUUUCAAAAGCCAAAUUUUGUGAUCUCCAUUUCAUUCAUUUGCAAGCAAAUCCAAAUCGUUCUGAGUCCUUGGCCGUGGUCCGCGCCGGCCCUUUCGGUGACAUUCAAGCCCUUUCGUGGGCUCUCGCUGUUGCCGCCGCCUCUGCCUCCACAAUCAAUUACUCUCUCUCUCUCUCUUUCUCUCUAUAUAAAAGGUUAAUAUAUAUAUUACAACCUAAAAGAUCGAUUUUAUAGGAAACAAGUCCAGAAAUAUAUACUAUAACAUAUAAUAUUACUAUUCGCAUAACAUAUAAAUCUAGUAACUAGGAAACAAGUCUAUGAAUAUAUAUUAUUAACAUUCCAACUCAAAUGCAUGAAAGACACAUGAAAUUUAUUGGUGAGCUAAAAAAUGAGAAUUUAACUAAUUCAUAUAAUGCAAGAAUUUCAUCUGUUAAAUAUUAAAGAUGGAACUGGAUCUGCGACCUCACCAAAAUGAAAGGGUUAAAUUAGUUUAGAUUUAGCUCUCAUAUAUAUAUUUUUAUAUAUAUAUAGAGAGAGAGUAUAUAUAUAUAUAUAUAUAUAUAGAGAGAGAGAGAGAGAGAGAGAGAGAGAGAGUAUAUAUAUAUAUAUAUAUAUAUAGAGAGAGAGAGAGAGAGCGCGCGCUAGACUGGUAUACUAUCGGUAGCACGGAGGCCUUUGUGCUAUCGAGUUGUUUUCAAUGAUGCGACUUCCAAAUCGAUAAUCGGCUCCAUUAGACUUGAUUUACACUAUUAAAAUUAUUUGGAAACUAAAUUUCAUAAUUUUACGACAUCAUUUGGCUAGUGAUCAAAAGGUCUCAAAAUUGAUAAUUUUAAUGGUAGAUGUGACGCAUUUGUGAAUUUAACAGUGUAAAACAAUCCAAAUAUAAUGUAAUUUUUAUAGAAAUUUUUUUUUACUAUUUAGAGUAAGAUCAAUAUCUCUGAUUUUAAAUUCAAGUUUUUUAUCAUCAUUUUUUAUGAGAUUUUUAUUUUCAGCCGUUUAUUUUUAGACUACUCGAUAGGUAAAUGAUGCCGAAAAAUUAUGAAAUUUAGUUUCCAAAUACUUUCAAUAGUGUAGAUCAAGUUUUAGGGAGCUGAUCGUCGAUUUGGAAGCUGCAUCAUUGAAAACAACUUAGUAGCACGUGCUACCGAUAGUAUACCAGUCUAGCUAUAUAUAUAUUUAUAUAUAGUUGAGCUAGAAUACUAUCGAUAGCAAACGGGCUUCGUUGCCACCCAUUUGUUUUCGAUGAUGGAGCCUCCAAAUCGACAAUCGGCACCGUUGAACAUAAUCUAUACCAUUUGAAGUGUUUAGAAAUCAAAUUUCAUACAUUUUCGAUAUUAUUCUCUUAUCAAUUAAGUGGACUCAAAAAUGAACGUCUGAAAAUGAAUAUUCUUUAAAAAAUGAUGAUAGAAGUCUUGUAGUCAAGAUCAAGAGUAUAGAUUUUGUUUUAAAUAGUUUAAAGAAUUUUCUAACAAAAAUUCAAUUGAUUUGGAUAUCUUUAUACUGUUAAACAAGAAAUGGGUGGCAACGAAAUUUGAAAUUUUGAAACCCUUUGAUUAUUAGGCAAAUGAUGUCGAAAAGAUUUGAAAUUUGGUUUCUAAACACUUCAAAUGGUAUAGAUCAUGUUCAAUGGUGUCGAUUGUCGAUUUGGAGGCUCUAUCAUCGAAAACAAAUGGGUGGCGGCUCUUGGAUGAAGGGAUGUACGAUUAGGAUGAUAAUGAUUCUCUAGAAUUGAAUGGGCGGUUGGUUGAACAAUACGAUCUAACAGAUGAAAAUGAUCGAAGAAGUGAAUCUAACGGGAAAAAACUUAUAAACAACAAGCGCUUUGUACUUUUAUAAACAUCAUAACCGAACUCUCUCUAUAUAUAUAAACAACUCUCUCUGUAUGUAUAUAGAUAUGUUUGUCGUUCUCUAUCUAGCUAACUACAUGUGAAAAAAUUUAAUACACUCAGCGAGCUAUUCACAUGGGGCAACAUCCAACAUUGUGGGAAUUGGUAACCCCCCCUCCACAUGGCAGUGUCAAAUACUAAGCAUGGAAUUAGACUACAGGUCACAUUGGGUGUUAGUUUGGUCCCCUAUAUCUUUGAUGAAUCUUGGUUGUCAUUCUCUGUCAUUUUUGUCGACUUUUGUUAACUAUUUUUUGUAUAACAAAAUUUGAUUUAAAUGUUUAAUGUAUCAAAUUAUUUUAGCUUAGGUGGUAAGGCACAACUGUGUGCAGUAUCCCGUGCUCUAUGGCGAGAGGCCAAUUUGGGCUAAGUUACAUUUAGAAUGGUGAGAAAUCUGGGUGGGUCAAGUUAUGUCCAAAGUGCUAGGUGGCUGGUUAAACUGAAUCACAAUCGAGAUUCGUGGAUGUUGUGUCUCUACGUUUUAAGUUCAUUGCAUCUUCCUAAUAGCUCAAACUUUUAAAAUUAAUGGUUAGCAACAAUGUUCCGACAAGUGGCACCAAAGUUAGAGGUUACAGGUUCGCUUCCUAUAUACUCUAAGUUUGUGCAGGUGCUAAGGGGAGGGGAUUAUUAAUUUAAAGGAGCUAGCAUCCUGCCCUCUGGUGGGAGAUUUUGUUGGGGCGAGCCAUGCUCGAAGUGGGGGGAGACUAGUUCAGCCAAGCCACAAUCGAGAUCCGUGAACAUUGUGUACGUAUACUUUAAGUAAAUUGAUUGGAUCUUUCUUGUAGCUUGAGCUUUAAAAUUGAUUGCAUCUUUCUAACAUUUCAAGCUUUUAUUAAAAUUAAUGGUUAGCAGUAACUUUUCCAACACAUAUGAUCCAAGGAUAUACCUCUCUAUUGGAACUCAUUAACUUAAUAGCUUAAGUUAAACCAUUGGUUUUAUUCAAAUAGUUUAAAUCAACUCUUUUCUCCUCUAGUGUAGUUAUCAUAUCAAAUAUUCGCAAUAGUAUGCAUGUAAACCAGUUAACUCCCCAAGAAAUCCAACCCCUUACUAUAUUUCUAGGUAUCUAACAGGAUCAACGAUUGAAUUAGGUUAACUAGAAAAGCAUAGACCCUAUAUAAUUAUAAUCCAUCUAUAAUGUACAUGCAAUGUUGUCACUAAAAAGAGCCAUUUUUUAUUUAUUUAUCAAGUUUAUUAGUUAGAUUUGGACAAAAUCUAGCCAUUCAAUGCUGAUUUGGUUUAUUGUACCUCUCUCUCAGUGCAAAUAGUAAAUGAAUUUAACUAUUUAGUAAUAUUAUUAGUAAUUUGGUACUCUCCAGCUAAAUAAAUAAUAUAUUUAUAACAUUCGUCAACUAUUUAAGCUUUCAAAGAAAGUAAAAAUAUAAUAAACUUAUCUGAACUAUGAACUAUUUUGAGUUGGCUAUUUAGUCUUUCAAAAUUUUGAUUUUACUAUUGAACAUUUUAAUUUAUUUGAUUUUAGUCAGUUAACGUUACUUUCAUUCCAAAAUUUAAAUAUAUAUGUAUUUUAUACAAUUCUCAUAACUAUAAAUUCAUAAAAGUAAGCAAUUAGUUUAAAUUUUAACGUCAAAAUAUUACUAACAGACUCAAAUCAAACAAAAAUUCCAAAAUAGGGCAGUAAAAUCAAAAUUUUGAAACUCUAGGUUAGCAGACUCAAGAUGGUCCACAGUUCGAAUAAGUUCGGUACAUUUUUAACCUUCGGAGAAAUAGGUUAAGAUCACCAGAGGUGUAAAAAAAACUCUGCAAAUUAAGCGAGCAUAGCUCCUUUUUCGGGUAUGGGACUGGGUUGGGUCGCAAGCCAUACCGGCACGACAUAGUCGGCAAAAAUAGUUCUGAUAAAUUCUGUAUGUUUUCACCUUCAGAGAACACUACAACAAAAACGGUCUAUAGCGACACUUUUAAAUAUAGGUACAUGUCAAAAAAAUGCUGCUAGCUAAAAUUACCGACACUUUUAAAAAGUGUUGCUAUAUGUGGGGUCGCUAGGUAUAUAGUGACAGUUAAAGAGUGUCGCUAUAACCUAAAAGAGUGCUGCUAAUUUACCAACACUUAUUUAAGCAUUUAGCAACCGCCGAAACUCUAUCUCGUUGGCUGCGGUGGCAGAGAAGGACGACAGGAAAGGAUCUUCGUCUAGAAUUUCAGUGGAUUGAGUGAAGAGAGAAGAAAAUAUGGUAAUUAAUUUUUAUUUUUAUUUUUUUUCUGUUUGUAAUCGGGCCAAAUGGACUGGGUGUGGUGGGUUGAGUAGAGUAAUCUUUUAUUUUUGGUUGGAUUGGGGUUUAUAUUUAGGCAUUAGUAAAUAUUUUUUUAAGUUUUAGCAUAAAUGGGACACUUACUCAAAAGUGUCCCAAACAUGUGUCCCUAUAACCUAAUUAUGUUGUAGUGGAAAUAGGUUAAGAUCACUAGAGAUGUAAAAAGGACAGUCCGGAGACAGCGGUGUCUUCUUUUCAAGUAUGGGACUGGGUCGCGGGCCGUACCGGCACAACAUAGUCGGCAAAGCGGGUCAUAUCGUGCCGGGCCAUUUUCUUCGAAACCCCAUCCCAGCAUGGCUCCUGCAUGCCCCCUGCUACUCCAUAACCUGGGCCAUUGCCUGUUCCCUUUUAUUUUUAUUUUCUCUUUCCUUUGUUUUUUUUUUUUUUAAGGUUUAUUUCUUAAAUUCUAUAAUUUUAAUAAAUUAUUGUAUAAGAUUAAAAAAAAUUGAAUACCCAUAAUAAUGCAAACUUUAUUUGUGAUGAAACUUUGGAAGAUCACCACAGGCAUACAUAGGUAACAUAUAUAGCCUCAACCAGCAUAUAGGCUUNAAAAAUUGAAUACCCAUAAUCAAAUUUUAUGAACUUUUUUUUAAAAAAAAAAAAAAAAUUGUAUGGAAUCUAUCAAGCCUAUAUGCUGGUUGAGGCUAUAUAUGUUACCUAUGUAUGCCUGUGGUGAUCUUCCAAAGUUUCAUCACAAAUAAAGUUUGCAUUAUUAUGGUUUAAAAUCUUGUUUCUACAUUAAUUCAUGCAACCAUUUAUUAAAUUUUAUUUCUAUUUAAGAAGUGACUUACAAUUGAGUGAGCUUUUUUAUUUUCUUUUAGUUUUGUUUUUCGUUGUUCGUCUCAGUCCAAAUCAUCACAUUAGAUUUAGGUACUGUUUGAAUGUAUAAACAUCUUAUUUUAUAUAUCAUUUUGAUUUACUUAAAAAAAUAUUUAGUAUUCAUUAGAUGAGAAGGUGAUCAAAUAUAUAUCCAUAACGAAUAACAUAUUCAGUCUUUAAGGCAAUAUUUGCACGUCAGAAUUAUUUUUGUGUAUGAAAAUUAUCUUGUAUAAUUGGAAGGCAGAAAAUAAAUUUUUGCUCUUUAUCUAUAAUUUAGUAGUGUAGCAAAUUUCACUUAAGAGAUGUCUACCACCUCUAUAAUUUAGAAUAGUCUUAUUUGAAUUAAGAUAUAUCAUCGUUAAACUUCUUAAUCUGCUAUAUUAGUUUAGUCGGUGGCUACAUCCAAAUGUUAAGAGGGUUAAGUGUGCUAUAGUUAAAGUAGCUCUAUAAUAGGUGACUCCCUGGAAAGCGAGGCAUCACAUUGAUAUCAGAACCAAUAACUGGCCAAAAAAAUAAAAUGAUUCUCAGCUGAGUUUGGGUCAUGCAGCGCGCAGAGCGUGUCUAGUGCGAGUGAGUUUCUUAACCUAGCUAAAGCAUACUGGGUGGCAGUUAAUUAGGCCCAAGAGAUUAAGAUGAUUAAAUGUGCUAAAGCUAAAGUAAUUAUAGGAUAGGUGACGUAUUGGAAAGCAGGGUAUAAUAGUUAGUAGCAGAUCCAAUCACUACCCAGAAAUAUAAAGAGUCUCAAUUGAGCUAGGAUUAUACAGCGGGUAGAGCGUGGUUUUCCGAUUGACGACUAUAUUGGUCGAGUGUGGCUCCUCAUAAGGUUGGCUAAGCCUAGCAAGAUAAAUCUCAUAUCGUUUGUGAGUUUUUUAAACUGGUUAUAGCAUUUGGGAGAUGGUUAGGUAUAAAAGGUUUAGAGGAUUAAGCAAGCUAGGACUAGAGUAGGUUUAAGAUGGACGACCCUUAGAAAGUGGAAUAUCAUAGUUGGUAUCAAAAUCAAUCACUAGUCAGCAAUAUAAGUGAUUCUCAGCCGAGCCAAGGUUAGACAAUAAGUAAAGCAUGGUUCCCCGAUUGGCAACUGUUGUGGAUAGAGUGUAACUCUCCAAAAGUUGGAUUUAGGUUAGCAAGAUAAGUUUUACAUUGCUUGGUGUUUGUGAGUAUACUUGAGUCUGAUGAGAAUAUUCAAGACUUAAAUAAGGGAGAGAAUGUGACAUCUUCAGAAUUUGGAAUAGUCCUAUUCCAAAUAAGAUAUACUAGGGAUAAACUUCCUAAUAUGAUUAUAGCAUUUUAGGCCGUGGCUAUACCCAAGAGGUUAAGAGGAUUAAGCAUGCUAGGGCUAGAGUAAUUAUAUAAUGGGUAACUCUCUAAGAAGUGGGUCAUCAUAGUUGGUAUCAAAGUUAAUCACCAACUUGAAGUGUAAGAUGAGUGUCAAUUAAGUCUGGGUUUUAUAGAAAGCAUAGCACAUCUCCCUUGCUGACGACUGUUGUGGAUGAAACACGGCUUCACACAAGGUCGAAUAAGAGUAGCGAGACAUUUCACAUUGCUUGGUAUUUAUGAGUUUUUUAACCUAGUUAUAGCAUAUUGGGUGGUAUUUAAGUCUAUGAGGUUAAGAGGUGAAGUGUGACAGAGCCAAAGUAGUUCAAGGAUAGGUAAUUCCCUGGGAAGCAUAGCAUCGCAACAUGAUUUAUUUUAUUCUAAAAAACUGACAUAGCGAUCGAAUAUGCUAUCCCAUUCUAGAUCUUUGACCACAUUUAACGCUUCCGAUCACAAUAUGAAUUUUUCAUACUUGACACUGAAUGACUAAAUCACUUCAUAGAUAAAAUAUGAUAUUCUAUCAAAUUAUAAACAUUAAGGUAUUUCAAAGACUAGAAAAUCAUACUCCUAACUAGCUUGCAACAAAACAAAAAAGUAUUUAUGUCAUAUAAGUAGUCAUUGGAUAAUUUUUUCUGACAUGCAAGUAUGAAGCCUAGUUGUUAGCGCACGUGGCAAAGAUUUUGGUGGUUGGUAUCUGAGUUUUCAAAUUCGAAAUGUAAUUACUUCACAUUUUCAGUUAAGUUUAUUUCCAAAAGAAAUAAACAAAACACAAAAAAAAACUUUUUUCCGCAUCCAAGCAAACCUUUAAGAUUUUCGUUCUCUCUAAUUUUUUGUCAUUAUGACACUGGAAGAGAAUGGAUAAUCAUUGAUAGUUGAUGAUCAUACCACUUUUGUUUUUUUUUUUCUUGUUUUCUAAUUAGCAAUUUUGGGUCCAAUUAUAAAUGGCCUCUAAUUAUUAAUCAGCUUAAUUCGCCCAACCAAUAGAGGGACCAACUUUGAUCCUGCUAACUAAUUAUAUACAAUAUUGAAAAAGUUAAUUUAAGAUCUCUUUUUUGAUAGUGUGGGGACAACCCAUUUUAUAAUGAAAAUAAAUAAUUAAUAUUUAAAAGUCCUGAUCAAUCCUGUGGGAUAUUGAGCAAAUACAUAAACAUAUAUAUAAUAUAAUUAAUGUAUCAAUCACAGUACCUCCAAGUUGAUUACUAAAUAAUUAAUACAUAAAAUCAUAAUUAGAAGUGUCUAAAUCAUUUUAGUUUAUGACGGUGUUAGCGAUCGUGCUGCAUAUUUAUGAGGAACAAUAAGUUGUACUUGUACAGAAUUAUAUUUCUUUAUAGAGCAAUAAUAUAAUUGGAUUAAAUAUGAAGGAAAAGGAGAAAGCGCGUUCUCGAGAGUGGAGAUUAAGUGAAGAUCUUAGAAGCUUCAUUAGUCAUUCAUUUCAUCAUUAUCUUAGUGAUCAAGGAGUCGGCGACGAAAAUAAAUGGUUAAGUACUCCAAUGACAACUUUCGUCGGCGGUAAUCUCCGCCGACACGCGGAAAUUUUGCUGUUCGAUAUCCGGCUCCCGCCGCGGCGGCCCACAAAGGAUCUACUUUUAUAAUUUAGAAGAUUAUCAGCUAGGUCUAGUUGCAUGCUUUUUUUGAUUAGUAUAAAUUAAGGUUACUUUCACUCAAAGAGUAUAAUUACAACAAUUCUUUAUAUAUAUAUAUAUAUAUAUAUAUAUAUAAUAUUAUAUAUAUAUAAUAGUUGAGGCUAAUACUGAUCGGAUAGUAACGAGCGUUUUACUUAUUAUUUGUUUUCAUGAUAGAGCUUCCAAUUGAACGAAUCGGUCCGUGAACAUGACUAUACACUUGAAAUGUUUUAGAAUUCAAAUUUCAAAAUCUUUUCGACAUGAUCUAAGGUAGUAAACGAGCCAUAUUUUUACUACAUGAAUAUACUAUAUAUAAUAUAUAUAUAUAUAUAUAUAUAUAAUUUAGUUGACUAAAUAUUGGCUUAUCAUUAAUGUGGAAGUGAUGUAGUAAUAUUGUGAUUAGCGCACAAAUAGAAACGAAAUAUAACAAACGCGAAAAAAGAAAAACCACAAACAGAAAAUAAAAUGAGGCAUAAAGAUUUACGUAGAAAAUCCUUUGUAGAGAAAAAAUUAUAGGCGAAGGAAGAGAGAAUUUCACUACUUAAAAAAAAGAGUACGAAGUUUUGAAUACUAUACUCUGUAUUGCGUCUAGAGCAAAAAGAAGAAAGAGAUUUCUUAACGGGUUCUGGAUCCAAGCCCUCCGUUACCCAUUAUAGACAUCUAGUUUUUUUUCACGAACUCUUUUUCAAAUUUACAACACCGAAAUUGUCAACAAAUCGGAGGCCCAAAAUCUAAGUCGAUAGCUAAAUUUUGAGGCACAUCUAACAAUACAUCAGUUUUAUACAGCGAUGCGUCAAUAUUUAGCCAAUUAAGUUGGGUUGUGAAACUUGAUAGUAAUGAAAGCUCAAGUCAAAAUUGCAACAAAUUAGGUGUAAUUUACCAUGUAUGUAUAUACAAUUGUUAGGUAGGUCUAAUAUAAUUAAUUGUGACAGUAGAUUACACUAAAGUAAUAAAUGAUCAUGGUAAGGGGUCGGUGAUAUGUUUCUCUUAAGGGAGCAAUAACAUAGGCCCCGUUUGGAUCGCGGGAUAAGCGGGGAUAACGAAAGUUAUUCCCGCUAUUCCACCAAACGGGGUGAAAUUUGGCCGGAAUAUUUUAUCCCGGUCAAACCUUGCUAUUCUCGGUUAUCCCGGAAUAGCAAGGAAUUUGCUAUUCCACCAUUUUGGUGGAAUAGUGCUAUUCCAAUGCUUAAUUUCAAACUUAAUUAAACUUAUAAAUUGAAUUAAACUAAAUUAUAUAAAUAUAAUAUGUUAUAUAUUAUAAUACAUUAUUUUUAUUAUAAAAUUAUUAAUUAUACUAUAUUAAUACAUAUUAUUUAUAUUUAAAUAUUAUAAUAAAAUUUAUAAUAAAUUAUAUUUAAAUAUUAUAAUAAAUUCUUUUUAUUAAAUUUAAAUUUAAGUAGAAUUUUUAAAAAAUUUAUAAAUUUAUUAUAAUAAAUUAUUUUUAUUAAUUGUUCCCACCACUAUUCUUAUUUUAAAAUUUUAAAAAUUAAAAAUUUAAAUUUUUAAAAUUUAUAAUUUAUAAUCUCAAAAUUAAAGUUUAAAAUUUAAAUUAUAAAUUAUAAAUUUUAAAUUUAAAUUUUGAUAUUUUAAAUUUUUGAAAUUUAAAAUUUGAUAUUUUAUAUUUUUUAAAUUUAAAUAUGAUCUUAAAUUUAAAGUUUGAAAUUUAAAAUUUAAAAUUUUGAAUUUAAAAUUUGAGAUUUUAAAUUUCAAAGUUAAAAUUUUAAAUUUAGAAAUAUAAAUUUAAAAAUUUAAAAAUUCAAAUUCAAAUAUAAUAAGUGGAUAAUAUCAUUAUUUUUUAUUUACAAAACCCAUUAUCUUUCUUAUUCCAUCUUACCUAACCAAACGCUAUUUUUUUUAUUCCAGGAAUAACCCAAUUUUCAUCCAAACGCAAAAUUGAUCUAAUCCUCGCUUAUACCUCAAUUUAUACCUAUUCCUGGAAUAGCCACUUUUUCCUUAUCCCCGAACCAAACGAUACCUAAAGGUAUAUAUGCUUGAUACCGAGGUCAAAGUCUCUGUUUGGAAUUCCAGAAAGAAUGCAUUACAUGAAUUCGAAAAAAUAGCUUGUUUGCUUCUGUAUGUAAUAUAGUAUUCUAUAUUUUUUAAUGAGUCGAUUGUGAUAUAUUUUUACGAUUUCUACCGAAAAAUACAGAAACACAUCUUUUUAUUUUAUAUAUAUGUAUAUUUCGUAAUGAGUUGAUUACGAUAUAUUUUCGCUAUUCCAGUUGAAAAAUGCAAAAACACAUCCCUUAUUCUACACACACACACACACACACACUAGGUUAGAACAUUAAUUAUUUAUAGAAUCAAGUCAUUGGAUAUUAGGUUUUGGUCUUUGGAUGAAGGGAUGUGCAGCUAGGAUAAUAGUGACCCCUAGGGUUUAGUGAGUGGUAAGUAAAAUAGUAUGAUCUAAAUUGUCAACAAAUCAGAGGUCAAGGGGGUAGAUUUAAUGGCGGAAAACGUGGUAGCAUCAUUUGGCUAGUAAUUAAAAGGUCUCAAAAUUAACAAUUUUAAUGGUCGAUGCGAUGCGUUUGUGAAUUUAACAGUAGUGUAAAAUAAUUCAAAUCUGAUAAAAUUUUUAUAGAAAAUUCUUUUCGCUAUUUAGAGUAAGAUCAGUAUGUCUGAUCUUAAAUUCAAGUAUUUUAUCGUCAUUUUUUAUGAUAUUUUUAUUUUCAGCCGUUCAUUUUUAGAUUAAUCAUUUGAUAGGUAAAUAAUGUCGAAAAAUUACGAAAUUUAAUUUUCAAAUAUUUUUAAUAGGAUAGAUCAAGUCUAACGGAGCUAAUCAUCGAUUUGGAAGCUACAUCAUUGCAAACAAUUUGGUUGCACGGAAGCCUCCGUACUACCGAUAGUAUAUAAGCCUCUCUCUCUCUCUCUCUCUCUCUCUCUCUCUCUCUCUCUCUCUAUAUAUAUAUAUAUAUAUAUGGCUAUGGUGCUUGUAAAAGCACCAAGCAUUUGGUGCUUGUAAAUUUUUUACCGUUAGAUCUAUCUCUUUGAUCAUUUCCAUCCGUUAGAGCAAACUAUUCAAUUAACCACCCACUCAACCCUGGGGUCCCAUAUCAUUCUAACCGCACAUCCCUUAAUCCAAUAACCAAAAAUCUACAAGCACCAAUAAUUUGGCACUUUUAAAAGCAUAGAAGUACAAUUCAUAUAUAUAUAUAGAGUAGGGCUACUAUACUCUUAUGAGUAUAGAGCCCUUCGUACUCAUAAGUUAUUUUUGAUGAUAGAGCUUCUGAAUCGACGAUCCAUUUCGUUAAAUAUAAUUUAAGAGUAUUUGAAACUUCUAAAAAAUAAAUUUUGUAAUUUUUCGAAAUCAUAAUAGAGUCCAUUAAGCUCUGAACUAUGAAUCGUUUUGAUUUUGCUAUCCAAUAUUUCAAAAGUUUGAUUUUAUCAUCAAACCUUUCAAUUUGUUUGAACAGAGUCAGUUAGCAACAUUGUGACUUCAAAAUUUGAAUGUGUUGCUUAUUUUUUUAUAUUUAGUAAUUAGUAUACUUUGUACCAUUCUCCCAACUAUAAAUUCAUUUAAAAAGUAAUUAUCUUUUUUUGACGUUAACAUAUUAUUAAAUGGCUUAAAUCAAAUAAAUUAAAAUUUUGAAUAGUAAAUUCUAAAUAGUUCAUAAUUCAGGUAAUUACUUCUGUAAGUUUUUUAUCAUUCAGAAAUAAUCUUAAUAAAUUAAUGUUUACUGUGUCUCUCUCAGCAAAAAGUCAACCCAGUUAUAAAUGGAUUAGGGCUUUGUGAACUUGUGUUGUGGACUUGUAGUAAAUGACAAAGUAAACAUAUAUACAAAUGGUGAUCACUUCCCCAGUCAUCACCUGGACCACUAAGACUAGUAGUAGUAUAUACAAUAAACAGUGGUGGGGUUGACUCUACCUCAUGCUUUGUUCUCACACAAUCAUGCAUAUAUAUGGUGGAAGUGAUGAUCAUCAAGAUGUUAAUUAACUGUACAUCACUUAAAUCAUAUCUUCUUAUAAUCAAUUAAGUAAUUAAUUAUGGCAAACCUAGUAGAAAACUAACCAUGGCAGUGUUUAAUUAAUUAUAUAUAUAUUAUCUUAUACGUACCAUCUAAUUAAUGAACUGAGUAGAUAAACAUCUAUCUAUAUAUGUAUAUAUUAUUAUAGUUAUGUAAUGUUCACACUUUGUUUUGACUUUGAACAAUGACUUCAACAAUACUCAUUCCAAGUCAUACUUGAGAAAAAUUACAACUGAAACCCUCAGUGAAAGACACAACAGAGAAAAAGAAAAAAAAAAAAAGAAAAAAGCGUCCUUCCUCUCCCACGUACAUGAAAACUUGGGCAUGCACCUCAUCAACAUGCACCAAGUAAAAACAAAAAGAAAAAGAAGUAACAAAAGAGAAAAAUACGUGUUUAACAUCUUUCUUAUAAUAACUAAAAAUUAACACAGCCUAAGUAACAAAGUGUUUUGAGACCUUGCACGUACACAAACUGACCCUAUCUCUCCGAUCGGCGAUCGAACGCCGAUAUUGCGCGCACCCACUUGAUUAGCCUUCUUGGCCCUCUUCCAAUCUUGCCUCGGCCGUCGCUGGAUAAAACGAAGCUCUUCAACCUUUCCAUGGAGAUAUCUAGGGUUUCCUCCGACAUGUUCGCGAAGCAAACCCUAAACCACCCGGGCUCGUUGCAGUGGCACGAAGAGCCCGGAGAAAUGUUUAGUCCCACAUCAUGCACUAUCCUUUUCCACAGCUCCAUCUCUCCUUCAGGUGUCUUAGUCUUAAGUAAGUGCCUCAUGUCCACCCAACAAAACAACCCUGCAUUGCUCUCCAAACAGCUUAUUCCGAUCGUCCGCAGCGCUUCGGUGAGCCGCUUUUGCCGCUCUCUAAGCCGCUUCUUGUUCUCCGCUAUGUAGUUCGCUGUGAACUCCUUGUCGGAGAGCAACAAGGACAAGAAGUACUGAGUUUGAGAGGAGAUGAGCCCAAAGCUCGACAUCUUGGUCGCCGUGGAGACCACCGCCUCAUUUUGGGAGUGUAUCGCACCAACGCGAAAGCCUGGUAGGCCGAGGUCCUUCGAUAAGCUAUACACGAUGUGUACACGGUCCGCCACCUCUUUGCCUCGUUCGGUUAUCGCCUCAGCGACACUUAUGAAGCCCGGAGAGUCGAAGUUGGUGCCAGAGUAUAUCUCAUCGCUGAUCAGAUGGAUGCCCUUGGCCACAAUGAAGUCGAUUAGGGUUUCUAGCUCACGGUGAGCCAAUGUGGUGCCCAAAGGGUUCGAGGGGUUGGUGACCAACACUCCCUUCACUCUUAGCUUCUGCUGCUGAGCUUGAUGAUAAGCCUCUUCGAGCGCGGGCUUGGUGAUCCGAAACCCGUUCGAGCUCGAGCAGUGGAUCGGUAUGAUCUCCGCACCGGUCCGCCAUUUGAGAUCCCUAUCAAACCUGCAAGUUAAACAGCAUAUUUAGUAUACAUGGGAAAAACGUACAAGAAGAGCAUAUUAAUAUAUAUAGGAGUGAAAAUGUAUAGUACUUACCCAGGGUAGUAAGGAGUUGGAACGAGGAACGCGUCGCCAGGUUCGCCGAGGCAGAAAAUGAGAAUCUCAUUUGCGGAAGUAGAGCCCGCAGUGAGUACAAGCUUGCGAGGAUCGAAUGCCACUUUGUUUCCUCUCAGCUCUUCCAUGAACUCCGCCAUAGCCUGCGAUUCAUAUUCGUUAAUACGAUCUUCUUCUUCUUCUUUCAUCACUCUCUCUCUUUGUUUGUUUGUUUUUUUUUUUCGCUAUACAUAUAACCGAGAGGAGAAAUUACAUGUUUGAAAGCGGGCAAGCCGUGAUAGUCCUGGAACAGAGCGAGCUCGCGGAACACAGAAACACCCUCGCUCUUGAACGCGGUGGAGUCGGGGUUCCUCGCAAGCCACGACUCGAUCAGAUCGAACGAGAGCUGCGUGCAUGAAGAACAUUCAAUCAUGAAGAGAUGAAGCAAAUGUAAAUGAGAGCAUUUUACAUCACAUUGGAGAGGCAUUAUCAGUGAACCAAAACUUGAGAGAGAGCGAGAGAGAGUUUAUUGAAACUAGCUAGUCACUCUUCACUAACUAGCUAGUUGUGGUUAGAUUUAAUACAUUUGCUCUGUAAAAUUAAAAAAAGACAGUUUAUUUACUCUUCACCAACUAGUUUUCACUAAAUUUAAUAUGUCUACUCUAUAAUAUGAGAGAGAGAGAGAGAGAGAGAGAGAGAGAGAGAGAGUAUGUUUACUGAAACUAAUCACUCUUCACUAAUUAGACUAUAAUGAGAGAGAGAGAGAGAGAGAGAGAGAGAGAGAAACUAUUGAAACGAGUCAUUCUUCACUAAUUAGUUACCUUUGAUUAGAUUUUAACAUAUCUACUCUAUCCUGUUACUAUUAGUUUUGACUAAAUUUAAUACAUAUGCUUUAUAAUAAACGAGAGAGAGAGAAAAUUAUAACUCUGACUAGAUUUAAUGCAUCUGCUCUGUGACAAAAAAAAUUAAGAAAAGGAACCAAAAAAAAAAAAAAGACCUGGUUCUCAGCAAGACCCAUUUGGAUGAUGCCAUGAGGGUUGGUGAUUGGGUGAUAGGGGUUCUUCUCAUACUCUUGCCACCCCAGAAAGUAUGAGGAGUCCUCUCCGUGGGCGUUGCAUGCAGCUUUCUUGGACAGCAGCAGCUGCUUACAAUUCAUUUUUGAUUUUAAUAAUAUUAUAUCAAAAAAUAUAAUAUAUGUGUAUAUAUUCUAGAGAGAGAGAGAGAGAGGAGGAAUGUAGAGUGAGCAAGAGAGAGAGCUGUGAAUUUGUAUAUGCCUGUGUGUUGCUUGGAGGCCGGAGAAGAUACAUAUAUAUAGAGUAAUAGCAUGGUCUAGAGAGAGAAAAAGAGAGCUGCCAAGAGAGAGAGAGAGAGAGAGAGAGAGAGAGAGAAUUGUACUUAUUUAUUUAUCUGUAUAUUAUACAUUUUUGGGGUGAUCAAUGCAGAUGAGCUGAGAAUUAUUUUUUGGAGAAUAACUAGCACGCUACCUGUUUUAUUCAUUGAAUGAAUAAAUUUGGCUAUAGAGGUGAGGCAACGAAGGCCUCAAGAAAAAACAACAUCAGCUGAGGUUAAAAAAAAAAAAAAAAAAAAAAAAAAAAAACGCUCAAAGUAGAUCUUUCCACAAAGAUAUCAGGAUCUUGAACCAACAGACUGCUAAAAUAGGGUUGAGGGUUUGUUGCCGACAAAAUAUCCUAAUUAAUGGCAGCUCCUGACAUGACAGGAAAUAGGGGGCAAAAAUUGUACGGGCAUAUUGUUUUUUUUUUUUUUUUGAAAGAUAGAUAGCAUGCUAUUUGUUUUGUUUAUUUCAUUUAGAAAUAAAUUUAGCUGAAAAUGUGAAUCAACUAGGAUUUGAGCUUGGGACCUCGGGUAUUAACCACCAAGCUCUUCACCACUUGCUCUAGGGACGGUCGGUGUAUGGACAUAGUGUUUAAAUUAGCAUUUUUGGGGAUUGCUCUCGAUGGGCGCCACGUGACUCGCAGACGUCCAUCCCACCGUCCCUUUUCCUUCCUCUACUUCUUUCUCUCACUAAAAAAAAUCACAUUUUUUAAGACAAAAAAGGGACGGUGAGAUGGGUACCUGCGAGCCACGUGGCGCCUUUCCGGAGCGUCCUCAAAAAUGUUAAUGUGGACACUAUGUCCACACAAAUUUUGCUGGAAAAUAGGCGAAAGAAUUGCUAUAUUAAUAAGAAGGGCCAAAAAAAAAGAAGAAGAAGAAGAAGAAAUCAACUUGGUGGAACCUACUGCACAAAAAUUUUAUGGAAAUAGUAGCUAUUGCUUUCAGUGUCGAUCUUAUUUUGAGAUUCAUGCUUAUUUAUAUGGUGAAAGAUGGAUGGAAUAUUCUAGUUUGAAAAUUAUUUAUAUACUAACCAUCCCUAGAGCAAGUGGUAAAGGACUUGGUGGUUGAUAACCGAGACCCAAAUUCGAAUCCUAGUUGAUUCACAUUUCCAGCUAAGUUUAUUUCUGAAUGAAAUAAACGAAGCGCGUAGCGUGCUACCUAUCUCUCUCAAAAAAAAAAAGAAAAUUAUUUAUAUAUAUAAAAAUUUUGUUCUAAAAAAAAAUUAUAUUAAACGGCAUUGGAUAUUAUAAUUUAUUAUUUUUAAUAAUCAAUUGUUUUACAUUGGUAGCGCGAAGCAAAGAAGUGGAUUUAUGAUGACCAAGUCUAAAUUAAUUGUAUUAUCAAAAACAUUCUUUUUUUAUAUAUCCAAAACAUUAAUUUAAAAAUAUUUUUAAUUAUUUUUUAACUAUUUAAAUUUCAUAAAAUUAUGAUAAAAAUUAAUGGUGGGAGAAGUAUGUAACUGUUUAUCUUUCCUAUAGCAAUUUUACCAUAAUAUUAUAAUAUUGGAGGAAAGAUUAAAUGCACCUGUAAACUUUUAGAGUCAUUUAAAAUAUACAAAAGAUGCUUUUUGAGAUCAUAAUUGACCCAAAUGAGUAUAUAAAUCUCAUUUGCAAGAACAAAAUCUACUGAACCAAUAUAAUUUUAUGAUGAUCAUUACUCCUUUUGAAUUAUCAACAUCAACAUGCCUUAUGAAUAUGCAAUCCAAGAUAAGUGUGGGUUGUUGAAUAUCCCAAAAUCCACCCAUCAUCUUCUUUUUUUCUUUUUUCUUUUUUUUUUUGAGAAAGGUAGUUGCUACUCACUUCAUUCAUAUGGAAAAAUAAAUUCAGCUACAAAAUUGAGGCAACUCGGCCUCAGAUAAGAUACAAACCACCGGACCGAAAAAAGAAAAUAAAAAUAAAUAAUAAAAAAAGCUUAAAAAAAUAAAAAACAAUAAAGAAGGUAAAUAAAUUUUUUUAAAAAAGAGUUCACGUAGAAUUGCAAAACUCAGUCCACUUACUUUUCAAGUACCAAGCUCGUCUAACCACGAUUAGAGAAUCUGAAAAUUGAAUUCUAAAAAUCAUGUUAUAUUUUUUUUUCCCGCUAAAUUAUCCACCAAUAGAUUGUGAUAUUAAUUAGAUCUUUCGCUGUUGUCCUUUGUGAGCGGUUCUUAGAUAGAAACUCAAAUCCAUCAAUUAUCACAUCAAAUCUACAAGACAUGCACAUAAAUUAUCAUGCCAACUAAUUGACCUUUAAACACUUGUUAGUAACUUCUAAAGUACUUUCCCAUACAUUCUAAUUUUAGUUUCCAUUAAUCAUUAUUGUUUACGUAUGUUUAAAGUAAACUCACAGAAUAAGUGAAUUAGAUUGAUUAAUCUUUUGGAUCGUAAUUGUACGGGUACACAAAUUUAUUUGUAGUCAUUAAUGAAUCUCAGAGAAAAUCACCUCUAGUGUUUCUAAUUACGAUAAACAAAAGUGAACAGUUAGGAUGGAUUGAUAAUAGAAGGGUUAAUUUCAUUCAGAUCCCUGUAAAUAUAGUAAAUGACAAAUAUUUUUUUACAAAGUUCAACUUGCAUAUAUUGUCUCUAUAAAAAUCCUAAUAAUUUCAAAUAUGUCCCCACCAUUAUAAUCCGUUAGAAAAAUUUAGUUAAUCAUACGUUAAAUACUUAACCCUGGUUAAUUUUUGACAUUUUUAUCUUUCUUAUAAUAUUAUACUGUAAUAAUUUUUAAAGGAACAUACUUGUGAUCGCAAAAUUGAAAAUAUAAAUAGUUCUCUAACGAUUUUCUAACGGUAAUAAAUUAAAAUGAUAUAUUUGAAAACAUCAGGACUUUUGUAGAAACAAUUUAUGACAAUUGAAUUUUGUAGGGAUAUGUUUGUCAUUCACUAUAUUUGCAGAGACUUGUAUGAAAUUAACCCAAAACUAGUAAAAUGGACGGCAAAAAAUUAUAAAAACCAAUCUGCAAUUUUGGGAUAAUAGGGGGGAGAUUUGUACAUUUUACCCAAUAAUCGGAUAACAAAUCAUAGAGAUAUAUUUGAAAACAUCAGAGAUUUUGUAAGAAGAAUAUAUGAAAGUUGAAUUUUAUAGGGAUAUAUUUGUCAUUCAUUAUAUUUGUAGAGAUCUAUAUGAAAUUAACCUAAAAAAAUAGUAAAAUGCACCUGAAAAUUAUAAGAACCAGUUCGCAAUAUUGGGAUAAUAGGGGGCAGAUUUGUACAUUUUACUCAAUAAUCGAAUCAAAUCAAACCAGGUGAGAUCGCCCGCAGGUUUUCGCAGCACUUCCCUGGUUUUAAUUAAUUUCCACUUAACCAAAGUUUAAAUUUAAUUAUUCUUAAUUUGCUGGGUCAUUGUCACCACCACAUAAGGUGAAACAUUGAUACAUUUUAGGCAACUAAAUGUCAAAAUUACGUAAUUAUUUAAGGGAAAGAACUGUUUAACUUUAAGAAUUAUAUAUUAUGGAUAUAAAACCACGUUUAUUUCUCCGUAACCAAUUUUCAGAUUCAGGGUUAAUAUUUACUUCGGUUAUUUGUUUAAUAAAAUGUUAAUGACUUUGAAAUUAUACUUAUCCUAUCUUUUGUAGUUAUUUUACUAAAAUAAAAAAAAAAAUGAAGUUAAAAAAGAAUUACUCGUAAUUGACUUGUAACCACUUAGAAUUAAGUCAAUUACAAAUUUUAGAAAAAUUAAUUUAUAGAAAAAUUUAAAUAAUAAUGAGAUAAAAACUUAAUUACACUCUGCUACACUCUAUUUUAGUUUUAUUUUUAUUUACUAUAUUAUACUCUUUUUUUUCCCAAAGACACUAGUAUAUUAUUAUUAUAUUUUAUAAAUCUUUACACUGUGUUUUAGAUUUAUAUUUAACUUUCUACUUUGUACUUUUUUUUCUCAUACAUACAACUAAACUACUUCCGUUCUUUACCGACCUCUAUAUUACUAUUAACAAAUUCAUUGUUUUAAACAAAAAAAUCUAAUAAAUUUAUUAAGAAAUGCUGGUUAAAUAAUAUAAUGUUUGGGCGAUAUUUACAUUACUUUCUCUCUUUCUCCUCCUUUCCCUCCGCUUUCUUGUGCUUCUCUGCGCCCAUCUCCUCCUCGCCCUCUACCUCCACCGCAGCAGAUUUAUCACCCACGAAAUCCACUUACGAGAAUCUGUUAGUCUAUACCACUACCGCCAAUGAUGAUGAAGAGGAAGUGCUUCUUAACACCAAGAAACUUGCUGGAAAGGGAGGGGGCACGUGGCACACAACACCCAUUCGGGGCCGGCGACACAUGCAGUGGAGACAUAGGAGAGCAUGACGAUAUUGGAGAAGAGGGCGGCAGAAUUGGAGGCGGUGUCACAGAGGGCGGCGGCGUGUGCGACCUUGGUGGGGUCAGAGGCGAGGAAGGAGGGGUUGGGGGGGUGAGUGGGCGCGGCUGAGAGCGCGUGGGGCAGAGGCGAGGCAGGGCGUCCCAGUAGUCUGAGCGGCUAGUGCAGCCUUGGCGGUGUUGGAGGUGACAAGGGCGGGGGGUGCGCGGGCACGAGCGAGGAUGCACAGAGCAAAGCGAGGCAAAUCGCCUCAGCCUCCGCCUCCGCCGCCCUCUUCGGAGAGGAAAAAAAAGAACGAGAAAAAAAAAAAAAAAGAAGAGAGAGAGAGAGAGAAAGAAGAGAAUACGAGUUUUUUGAUAAGUUUUUUUAAAAUCCGGAUCGAAUCUGUAAAAUUCAAAAUAGUGACAUGCUUUUGCAAAAAAAAAUUAAUUAUAAAAUUAUUCUAUUUUCAAAGCAAUAACAUUAUUUUUAGCAUUUAAUGUUAUAUAGUUGUUUAGAGUUUGAAUAUAAAAAAACCCCUUUAUAAAUACUCGCUUUUUUAUUUUCUCUUUUUAAUUUUCAAAAAUUCAUAUUUUAUCUUCUCAAUAUUUUAAAUUGUUGCAUUUAAAUCAUCUCCAUCAGGUUUCCAUCAUUAUUCCAUUUAUUUCUUAAAAUUUAUACCGAAAAUGCACUUCAAAAUAACAAAAAUAUAUUAAAAAAUUAUUUUUUCUUAUAGAAGAUGUCAGGAUAAUUUGAUUAUUUUAUCCUCCACAUUAACGUCAUACCACGUAAAAAUAUUUCUCAAAUUUAAUGGGACAAUACAGUUUUUUGAAAGUCAUGGAAGGUUAGUAAAAAUAAUAGAUAUUUAUAAGAAAAUUUUUAAUAAUUUAAUCUAGCAAAUACAUAAGUUUGGUAAAAAUGAUGNUUUAUAAUUAAAAUAAUGGUUAAUUUUAUAUAGAUUCCUGUAAAUAUAUUAUUACAAAGUUCAACUUUUAUAUGUUGUCCCUAGCUACAAAAGUCCUGGUGUUUUCAAAUAUAUUCCUACCAUUAGAAUCCGUUAGAAAAUUUUAAUUAAUCAUAGCUUAAAUAAUAAAUAAUUUACCCUGAUUAGUUUUUAAUAUUUUUAUCCCUCUUAUAUUAUAUUAUACUGUUAAGACUUUUGAAGGGUUAAUUUCAUACAAGUCACUGCAAACAUAGUGAAUGACAGAUAUAUAUCCCUAAGUUCAACUUUCAUAUGUUGUCCCUACAAAAGUUCAUGCUUUCAAAUGUAUCCCUCUGAUUUGUUAUCAUUAGAGAACUAUUUAUAUUUUCAGUUUUGCCAUCACAAAUAAGUCCCUCCAAAAGGCAUAACUGUAUAAUAUAAGAGGGGUAAAAAUGUCAAAAAUUAAUCAGGGUUAAGUAUUUAACUAAAUUUUUUUAACGGAUUCUAACGGCAGGGACAUAUUUAAAAAUAAUAGGAUUUUUCUAGGGACAAUAUAUACAAAUUAAGAAAAAAACUUCAAAUAACACCCCGUGGUUUUACACUUUUUCACUUUAAUACCCUACGGUUUAAAGUGUAUCAAUUUAGUGCCCCAUGGUUUCAUUUUUAUUUUUUUAUUAUUGAUUUCGCUAAUUUUUUUCGUUAAAUAAGUGACAAAGUUAAAACUAAUAGGUACUUUAAAGUGAAUAUUCAAUAAAUCCGCGUGGGCUAUCUGAAGUUUUUUUUUGUAUAUAAUUUAACGAAAUAUUAACAGAAAAACUAACGAAAAGAUAAAAAUGAAACNUUAUAAUUAAAAUAAGGGUUAAUUUUAUACAGAUUCCUACAAAUAUAGUGAAUGACAAAUAUAUUACUAUAAAAUUCAACUUUUAUAUGUUGUCCCUAGCUACAAAAGUCAUGGUGUUUUCAAAUAUAUUCCUGCCAUUAGAAUCCGUUAGAAAAUUUUAAUUAAUCAUAGCUUAAAUAAUAAAUACUUUACCUUGGUUAGUUUUUAAUAUGUUUACUCCUCUUAUAUUAUACUGUUAAGACUUUUGAAGGGUUAAUUUCAUACAAGUCACUGCAAACAUAGUAAAUGACAAAUAUAUAUCCCUAAGUUCAACUUUCAUAUAUUGUCCCUACAAAAGUUCAUGCUUUCAAAUGUAUCCCUCCGAUUUGUUAUCGUUAGAGAACUAUUUAUAUUUUCAAUUUUAUCAUCACAAAUAAGUCCCUCCAAAAGGCAUAACUGUAUAAUAUAAGAGGGGUAAAAAUGUCAAAAACUAAUCAGGGUUAAGUAUUUAACUAAAUUUUUUUAACGAAUUCUAACGGCAGGGACAUAUUUAAAAAUAUUAGAAUUUUUGUAGGGACAAUAUAUACAAAUUAAGAAAAAAACUUCAAAUAACACCCCGUGGUUUUACACUUUUUCACUUUAAUACCCUGCGGUUUAAAGUGUAUCAAUUUAGUGCCCCAUGGUUUCAUUUUUAUUUUUUUAUUAUUGAUUCCGCUAAUUUUUUUUGUUAAAUAAGUGACAGAGUUAAAACUAAUAGGUACUUUAAAGUGAAUAUUCGAUAAACCUGGGUGGGGUAUCUGAAGUUUUUUUUGUAUAUAAUUUAACAAAAUAUUAACAGAAAAACUAACGAAAAAAUAAAAAUGAAACCACAGAACACUAAUUUGAUAUACUUUGAACCACAAAAGUGGUAUUUGAAAUUUAUCCGAAAAUUAAAUUUUAUAAAUAUAUAUUUCUCAUUCGUUAUAUUUGUAGGGAUAUGUACGAAAUUAAUCCUAAAAUUAAUUAAUCAGUACUAGCCGUCCAAAAUCUCUUCUUUCACAGGAGUGGGACGUGGGGCCACCCGCGGGCGGUCAAAGANCGGAGCUGAGAUUCGACCGCCCACCGGAAACGGCGAAAGAAGCUGACUUUCAAGUCGUACGGAUUCUCGACUGAAAAACAAAUUAAUUGGAUCCGGGACCCAGGGCUGAGAUGGGCGCCGCGUCGGAGUUUUUUCUUCUUUUUUUUUAAUAUAUAUUUUUUACUAUAAUUAUUUAUUUACUUUUUUAAAAAAAAAUUUAUUUUUUAAGGAUUUUCUUUUUUAUUUUUAGGCUAAAUUACAUAAAACCUUUCUGUCAAAAUCCGAUUUUGUACUUUUCUAAAAAUCUACACUUUGCCCCCUUGUAAAAUAAAAAUUGUUCACUUCGCCCCCUACCGUUAGUAAUCUGUUAGAGUUCCGUUUAUAAUACAUUAUUAUAUAUUUUUUUAUACCAAAAAUGCCCUCAGCCUUCUCUCCUGUGAACAUAGUGAGGGGCAAAAUGGUGAGGGGCGAAGUGGUUAUUUUAUCAUCACAGUUCACACCGUACUCUUCUGUGAAUAUUUUUCAUUUUACAAGAGGGCAUAAUAUAGAUUUUAAAUGACAGAAGGGAAAGUGAAAAAUCGGGUUUUAACAUGAGGGUUUUUUGUAAUUUAGCCUUAUUUUUAAUGAAUUUUUAAAUAAUUAUAACUUAAUUUCAAAUAGUUUAGAUUAUACAGUUUUAUGACUUAAGAGUGAUUUUUAUUUUAUGGGGAGCGAUUUAGUAUCAAAUAAUUUUAAAUAAAGUUAAUUUUGUUUAGGUCCUUUCAAACAUAAUGAAUUGCAAAUAUAUUACUACAAAGUUCAACUUUUGUUUGUUGUCUUAACAAAAGUCCUGAUAUUUUCAAAUAUCCCUGCUGUUAGGAUCCGUUAGAAAAUAUUAGUUAACCAUAAAUAAAUACUUAAUUCUAGUUAGUUAAUGAGAUAAAUUGAUCUUUUUAUCCUUUUCAAUUAACCGUUGAAACUUUUUAGGGACAUAUUUAUGAUGGUAAAAAAAUUAUUUUAGUUAUAAAAUAAACAGUAUUUUAACGGUAACAAAUUAGAGGAACAUAUUUAAAAAUAUUAGAAGUUUUGUAGAGACAACAUAUGAAAGUUGAACUUAAAUUUGUAAGAAUAUAUUUACAAUUUACUAUAUUUGCAGGGACCUGUAUAAAGUUAACUCUUUUAAAUAAUACAAUUUAGAUUUAAACAGUAUAAUUUCGCAACUUUUUAUUCUUAUUCUUUUUUUGUGCAGUAGCGACUGCACAUUAUGGCCUUCCCAUGAAAAUAACAUCAUAUAUUUUUCUUUUUUUUGUCAUUUCGUUUUUCUUCUUUUCCUUUUCCUUUUACACUCUUUGCAUUUUUUUCGCUACCGCACCUUCUCCUCCGCCCUCGGCUAUAGCAGCCACCCUUGCCAGGACGUGCUUUUUCUUUUUGUCGUCCUCAAAUUUUGUGGUACGCUCAUCGCUGUUGUCGUCCACGGCCACGCCUUACGCUGUAGUCUCACCUUAGUGAUCAAUCCGACAUCAAAGCCCGCAUCACCGCCGCCAGCAUCAGGAGAGGUGUGGGUGAGGUAGGAGAAAGGAGAGCAGUGUCGAUGUGAGAGUAGAGAUACCUUGGCCAGUUUACUAAAAAUUCGUAAAAUAAAAAAAAAAAAAAGUCUAUUUUUACAAUAAUACAAAAUUGAUGAACUUUUUAUAGAAAUUGGCCUUCUUUUCGAAGAAAAAAAUACUGUAAAAUGUUGAAGAAAUAAAUAAGUAUAAUUCGAGUAAAUCAAAUGACUAAUUAAUAAUAAUAAUUUUUUUUUAACUUUUAACUCUUUAUUAAAAGAACAAAACAUAUUUGGAAAGGUGUUGGCGCCCCGAUCGAGCAUCAACAAAUAUAUGAGAAUUCUUUAAAAAAAAAAAAAAGAUUUUAGUCACUGACAAAUGAUCAGAUUAUGAGCUCAAACUUAGGAGCUCAGUUUGGUGGUUUUACUUUUGCUGUAUAAGAAAAUUGUUUCAGCAUGUUGUAUAUUUUAAAGAAGUGAUACCGUCAAUUUAGCGUUAAAAUUUUUGAAAAAGCACUGACGGUCCCUAAAGUAAGCGGCAAAGAGCUUGGUGGUUAAUACUCGAUGUCCCAAGUUCGAAUCCUACUUGAUUCACAUUUCUAGCUAAAUUUAUUUCUAAAUGAAAUAAACGAAGCGGAUAAUAUGCUACCUAUAUCUCAAAGAAAAAAAAAUGAAAAAAUGUGACUCAACUAAGCUGGUUUGUAAAUUUUGUUGAGUUCGACAAAUUUUUACAAUCGGCGAAAAAUUUUUAAACAUCAUAGCUUUUCCCUCGAGUGUACAUUUUCAGCAUGCAAUCCUAAUUCGGAAAACACUUUUUCGAGAUUUAAGCCUUCGAGAUCCAAAUUUAAAUGUUUAGGCCUCUAUUUUAUCAUUUUUAGGUUAUUUUUGAAAAAUUUUAUAUUUUUUUAUUUUCCGUCCGGAGACUUGAUUAUUUAUGAUCAGUUUAUAUAUGUUUGGAGAUAAUAUUAAAAUUUCUUAUCUUCAAUAAUAAUAGAAUUCGGGUAUCGGCCCUACAUAUAUACAUGGCGUUCAAUAAAUGUAACUAGUUUUUUUAGAGUUGAUUAAUGACAUUUUUCUCUUAUUGAAAAAUUAUGUUCUUUGUGUAAUCCUCUCUUUUUGUCCUUAUACUUCUUUUCUCUCUACGCGGCUUAGACAUGCGACAAGAAAUGUCACUUAAAAACUAGAAAAAACUUCAAAAACCCCCCUUGUAGUUUCGUAGUUUCUCACUUUGCCCUCCUGUGGUUUAAAAUGUAUCAUAUUGCCCCCCUGUGGUUUCUUUUUUUUUUUUCAGUAACUUUUUCGUUAAUAUUUCAUUAAAUUAUAUACAAAAAACUUCAGAUAUUCAUCUAGAUUUAUCAAAUAUUCACUUUAGUACCCUUUAAUUUUAACUUUAUCACUGAUUUAAGAAAAAAAAAAUAAUGAAAUUGAUAAGAAAAAGAGAAAAAAAAAAACCAGGGGGGGCAAAUUGAUACAUUUUAAACCACAGGGAGACAAAGUGUGAAACUACGAAACCACAGAGGGGGUUUUUGAAUUUUUCCCUAAAAACUACUAUGGAAUAACAUAACACUCAAAAAGACAAAAACCCUAGCCAUUGACCUGAGCUAGCUAGUGUUUAAUAUUGUUUAGUUUGAUGUCCCUUUCACAAUAAGCUAAUAUACAUAAAGAAAUUGAAGAAGAUCAUCUACAGCCUUAAAUCUCUUAAUUAAUAGGCUCUUCUGAUAUACAGGUUGGCAUCUUUGAAUCAAUAAGACUUUUACGAGUAAGAAGAGAUUCAUAUUUAUAAAUUAUUUUCGAUGAUAGAAUUUUUAAAUUGACGACUCGUACUGUUUAAUAUGAUCUAGAAUUAAUAUAUCGAAUAAAAUUAAUUUGAUUCUUAAAAAGUUUAAAUACUUUAUAUUAUGUUUAAUUAUAUGGACCGUAAAAUAGAGAAAUUCUAUCAUUAAAAAUAAUUUAUAAAUACAAAAACGAUCAUAUUUAUAAAAGUAUCGCAGUUGUACUCGUAAUUAAUGUGCCUCCAUUUUAUGGGCCUAAGCUGCUUUAUAAUGUGACCUAAAAUGUUUUAGAGAACUUGAUUUGAAACGUUAGAGAGAGACAGAGCUUGUAAUUUCAAUAUAUAUAUAUAUAUAGUCCGGCUGUAGUGCUUCUAAUAGCAUCAAGCACUUGGUGCUAUCAAAUUUUUCAUUGUUAGAUUUAUUUUUUUGACUAUUUUCAUCUGUUAGAUUAUACUAUUCAACCAACUACUCACUCAACCCAAGGGAACAACUAUCAUCCUAACUGCACAUCCCUUAAUCUAAGGGCCGAAAACCUAAUAGCACUAAUGACUUGAUGCUAUUAAAAACAUUGCAGCCUAAUUCUAUAUAUGUAGAGAGAGAGAGUUGAGCUAGAAUACUAUUAGUAGCAAACGAGCUUCGUUGUCACGCAUUUAUUUUCGAUGAUAGAGCCUCCAAAUUGACGAUCGGCAUUGAACAUGUUCUAUGCCACUUGAAGUAUCUAGAAAUCAAAUUUCAUACUUUUUCGAUAUUGUUCUCUUGUCCAUCAAAUUGACACAAAAAUGAACGGUUGAAAAUAAAUAUUCUUUAAAAACUGAUGAUAAGAGUCUUAUAAUCAAAAUCAAGAGUAUAGAUCUUGUUAUAAAUAGUUUAAAGAAUUUUCUAACUAAAAUUCAAUUGAUUUGAAUAUCUUUUCGUCGUUAAAUAAGAAAAACAUCUCAUAUUGCUAACAUUACAAAUUUUAAAAUUAUUGGAUCAUUAGGCCAGCGUAAAUCAUAUUCAAUGGUGCCGAUCGUCAAUUUGGAGAUUGCACCAUCGAAAAGAAAUGAAUGGCAGUGAAGCCCGUUUGUUGCUUAUAGCAAUUUAGCUUAACUAUCUCUCUCUCUCUAUAUAUAUAUAAAGAAUAAAAAGUGAAAAAAUAUGCAAAAAUAUUUUUUAUUAAGAAUAUAUGCUACUUUAUAUAGAUUGAAGGCUAGUUUCUAAACCAAAAUUCUUGUACUUAAAUUUUAAGCCUUAAUUCUACAUAUGUACUCCAUAAUCAAUUGAUGAAAUGGUACGUAAUAUUGGUUUCAUGCUACUAUUUCUUCAGUUCUUUCAACAUAUAUAGGAGUGUGAAUGCAUGUGCGUAAAAAUUUGUUUACAAUUCACCACCUAAUUAUUUUACCAACCAACAAAAGAACAUGAUGCUAUUUAAUGUUCAAAAAACAUGAGCAACUCAUGUCAUCAAAACCAUGCACAUAGGGGGUCAAAGUGGAGGCAUCUUGUACUGUGAUCACUCAACACAAACACUUUGGGAGGCAACACAGUGUUACCAUUUUCAGGCUACAUGGACUCAUGGAGUCAUGGGGGGCCAUGUACUCUUUCCAAGUUAUGCAUGGACUCACAUCAUGGUCAAGUCCCCACAAGAUACCUCCCCCAAGAACACCUCAUGCAAUUGGAAGAAGCCCUUCGAUCAAAACAUUGUAGCCAAUGUGACAUCUAACAUGGUCUCCAUUGGAACCAUGCAUUCCUUUCUACAUUUAACAAAGCAGUAUUUGGCAAGAACUCAAUAAUAGAGUGCUUGGUGGGGGUGUCUUGUUCUUGCUUGGUUACUUGUGGAGAAAAUCAACUAUUUUGCUUCAAUGUGGGCAUAUAAUUUAUAACUUGGUGAGAGCAAAGAAAGAAAUUAUAUAUUGUAUUUUAAAACCAAGAAGAAAUUAUGUUGUUGGCUCAACUACAGGGGAUUGUGAUCAUCAUAUUGAUGCAUCCUGACAGGUUUUUUAAUUUUUCCAUUUGUUUAUUUGCUUGUUCAUUCUUCUAAGAGCCAAUGAUGUAGCUACUUUUGUAGUUUGUGUGGUGGUGGGUUUUAGUGCUUACAGGUACUUUAGCGAUAUAUUGUUUCAAGACUUUGUCCGUGAAACACUCCAUUUCGUGGUGUUCUGUACUGUUAACUUUUCUUUUCAGUAAAAGUAUCUGUAGGGUUUCUCUCCCAGUUAUUACUUAAAAAAAAAAAACAUUCUAUGCCACAAUCAUCAAGCGAGUAUAUUAAUUUACUAACACGUAGAACCUAUAACAGGCUAAUCAUGCAGCAACAUAUUGGAUUGGCAGUAUCAGAUAUAUCUACGAUCUCUUUAAAGUAAGAAAACAUCUUAAUCGAAAAAGAAAAACUCAUAUUAUAGUAUGUGAUCGACCUGAACAUUACAGUUUACAGAGAGAGUUAUAUAUAUUAAUUGUCUCAUGUUCAUUAUGUAUGUUGAAUUUUUCAAUAUUGCGAUCAUCGUAAUGUAGAAUUCUUCCAUGUCAAUGAAAACAAUGUAUACCCAACUUGAAUUCGACACAAGAUUGAGUUGACUCAACUAAGCUUCAGAUCCUUCCCUGCAUUGUCUCAAAAUGGAAAGUCAAAUAGAGAGAACAUGAGACAAUGAAUAUGAGGUAGUUGAAUUCAAAUCAGCAAGAAAAAAAAUUUCCUCUCUUCCUUACUUAGCUUAGCUGCCAUAUGUGGAAGUUGACUUGUAUAUGUUUUUAAUAAUAAAACCAUCAUCCUCCACAAGCUGCAACUUGGUUGACUUUGACAAUGAGGACCUAUGAUAUUAAAAUUGUCCUCAUCUUUGUCUUUAAGUGCAUAUAUAUUUAGUUUGGGUUUAAUUCUUUGAAGGAUUAGAGAGAAUUCAAGAUGAUUAGAGGAACAUUAAUGAUGAUUUUGGCUUGAUUUAGAGUUGUUCUUGUAUAAGUAAUCUAGAUGUUUGACUAAGUUAUUAGUGUUGCAAAUAAGUGAUUGACUCUACGGUACAAUUCAAAUGUUGAGAGACAAGUGAAAUACAAACUCAAGAAGUUAACUUGUAAUCAAAUUUGAGAAAGGGAAGAAACAAAAGCCUUCAAUGAUAUCAUUUUCACUGUGUUAUCAAUGAUGUCAUUUUCACUGACGUCAAUGGGUAUGGAUACCCGACAUUUUAUCUGAAUCUAAACAUGAAUGUGGUGGAUUUGGGACGCAACAGGUAUAAUUUUUGUUAUACAUAUAAAAAACGAAAAUCUGACGAAUUCGGAUUUAAUUAUAAUUCUAUUUCUACCCAAAUCGAAUCCAAACCUGAACCCAACAUCGAAACCUCACCAGGAUUACAUAUCUAUACUAUGUUAAAUAGCAAAUAUGAUCUUUGGAUCAGUCAUUUUUUAUUCCUGAAAUAAUCUAAAUUAACUUUUUUUAUUUACAAAAUAUUCUAAAUUAAUAUUUGAUUCAUAUUAGUUAAAAUUCUAGAGACUACAAGCCUUGGGCCUGGCCCUUUCUCAUCCAAUAGCACAAAAGAUGGGCUGGGCUAUUUAACCUCGGGCCGGGCUCUUUUCAUCCAAUUUAUUUAAUAUAUAUAUAUAGGAUGAUAUAGAUCCCUUAGGGUUGAGUAAGUUAUUGGUUGAAUAGUAUAAUCUAACGGUGAAAAUAGUCCAAGGAUUAAAUCUAACGGUGGAAAACUCAAUAGCACCAAGCGCUUAGUGCUAUCGAUAGUAUCUCAGCCGAACUCAUAUAUAUAUAUAUAUAUAUAUAUAUAUAUAUAUAUAUAGAGUGAGGCUACUAUGCUAUCGGAAGCACGGAGCCUUCCGUGCUUUCAACUCGUUUUCGAUGUUGCGACUUUCGAAUCGUCGAUCGGCUCCGUUAAACUUGAUCUAGAGUAUUUGAAGUAUCUAGAAAAUAAAUUUUAUAAUUUUACGAUAUCAUUUACCUAGUGAACGAAGGGGCUCAAAAUCAACGGCUGAAAAUAAAAAUCUUACAAAAUGUAAUAAUAUGACAUUAAAAUUUUAAAUCAAAGAUAUUGAUCUUGUUUUAUAUAGUAUAAAGAAUUUUCUAUCAAAAUUUCACGUGAUUUGGAUAUUUCUACACCGUUAAACUUGCAAACGGCUCACUACGGCCAUUGAAAUUUGUUGAUUUUGAGCGCCUAUUCGAUCAGUAGGCAAAUGAUAUCGAAAAAUAAUAAAAUUUAUUUUCUAGGUACUCCAAUACUCUAGAUCAAGUUUAACGGAGCCGAUCGACGAUUCGAAAGUCGCAAUAUCGAAAACGAGCUGGAAGCACGAAAGACUCCGUGCUUCCGAUAGCAUAGUAGCCUCACUCAUAUAUAUAAUAUAUAUAUAUAUAUAUAUAUAAUUAUAUAUAUAUAUAUAUAUAUAUAUAUAAUAUAUAUAGUUGAACUAGAAUACUAUAGGUAGUAAACGAGCCGUUUUACUACCGAUUUGUUUUCGAUGAUAAGCUUCCAAAUGACGACCGCUCCGUUAAAUAAUGAUCUAACCAUUUAAACUACUUAGAAAUCAAUUUCACGCACUCUUCGAUAUUAUUCUUUUAUCCAUCAAGUGAACAGAAAAUGAAAGGCUGAAAAUGAAUACUCUUUAAAAAAUGAUGAUAGGAGUCUUGUAAUCAAGAUCAAGAGUAUAGAUCUUGUUUUAAAUAGUUUAAAGAAUUUUCUAACAAAAAUUCAAUUGAUUUGGAUAUCUUUACGCCGUUAAACGAGAAAACGCUUCUUAUCGAUCAUUAAAAUUACAAAUUUUGAAACCCUUUGAUCAUUAGGCAAAUGAUAUCGAAAAGAUUUGAAAUUUGAUUUCUAAACACUUCAAGUGGUAUAGAUCAUGUUCAACGGAGCCGAUUGUCAAUUUGGAAGCUCUAUCAUCGAAAACAAAUCGGUAGUAAAACGGCUCGUUUAUUACCGAUAGUAUUCUAGCAAAACUCUCUCUCUAUAUAUAUAUAUAUAGAAAGAGAGAGAGAGAGAGAGAGAGAGAGAGAGAAAGAGAGAGUCUGGCUAUGGUGCUUGUAAAUUUUUUACCGUUAGAUCUAUGCCUUUGAUCAUUUUUAUCCAUUAGAUUAUACUAUUCAACCAACCACCCACACAACCCUAGGGGGCCCACAUCAUCCUAACCGCACAUCCCUUAAUCCAAGGGCCAAAACUUUACAAGCACUAAUAACUUGGUACUUUUAAGAGCUCAAUUCAUAUAUAUAUAUAUAUAUAUAUGAGCUAGGCUCGUAUACUAUCGGUAGCACGGAGGCCUCCGUGUUACCAAGUUGUUUUCAAUGAUGCGGCUUUCAAAUCGACGAUCGGCUCCGUUACACUUAAUCUACACUAUUAAAAGUAUUUGAAAACUAAAUUUUAUAAUUUUUCGACAUCAUUUGGCUAGUGAUCAAAAGGUCUCAAAAUUGACAAUUUUAAUGGUCGAUGUGAUGCGUUUGUGAAUUUAACGGUGUAAAACAAUCCAAAUUUGAUGAAAUUUUUAUAAAAAAUUCUUUUCACCAUUUAGAGUAAGAUCAGUACCUCUGGUCUUAAAUUCAAGUCUUUUAUCAUCAUUUUUUAUGAGAUUUUUAUUUUCAGCCGUUCAUUUUUAGACUACUCGUUUGAUUGGUAAUUGAUGUCGAAAAAUUAUGAAAUUUAGUUUCUAAAUACUUUCAAUAGUGUAGAUCAAGUCUAACGGAGCCGAUCGUCGAUUUGAGAGCCACAUCAUUGAAAACAACUUGAUAGCACGGAGGCCUCCGUGCUACCGAUAGUAUACCAACCUAGCUCUCUCUCUCUCUCUUUAUAUAUAUAGGCUGGGGCUACUAUACUCUCAUGAGUAUAGACCCCCUUGUACUCAUAAAUUUUUAACCGUUGAUUGAUGGGAUGUAUGGUUAGGAUGAUGGCGGUCCCCACUUAGAAUAAUAGGGGUCCCCUAGGGUUGAGUGGGUAGUUGGUUGAAUAGUAUGAUCUAACGGGUGGAAAUGAUCAAUAGAAUAAAUCUAGGAACCGAAAAUUUAUAAGUAUAAAGGAGCCAAUACUCAUAAAAGUAUAGUAGCCGGACUACACACACACACACACACACACACACACACACACACACACAAACAUUUGCACUAGUUAUAUAUUAUAAACAAAAGCAUUAAUAAUGUUUAUGACAUAUAAGCUUUUCUUUGUUGGCAAAUGUUUAUAUGUUAUAAACAUUAAUAAACAAAUGCCCGGAAGUGAAAAAUCUCACAUAUUUGUAUAAAAGUAUUUACUCUAGUUUAUAUAUUAUAAAUAUUAAUAAUACACAUGCGAUGCAUGUGAAAAAACUUCUGAAUUGACAAAUCGAAUUCAAGAAAAUCUUUAAGAUGUGGAAAACUCAUUUAAAUUGACACAUCGUAUUGGAUGAUCACUUCUCGCUUCCACCUCCGAAUAACUAGUUUUGUCUGGAAACCCUAUUGUCGGCAAGCUUUUAUUCCCACUCCUCGCUCCCAUCCCUCUCUCCUUAUUAGCCCCACUUUCUUAAGCCCAACACUUAUUUUCCGACAGCUGCUCAUGGUGGGGGAGAAACGAAAGCAUCCAUCGUCAUCGGAAAAGACUGGCGAAUCGUCCGUGUAGAACUCUAAGAGAGCUCGAUCGACAUCGUCGGGAGGUUAUGCACAUGGUAUACAUUUUCAUGAUGACGUGAUAUUCCUGAUAUUCUCCAAUUUACUAUUUAAAAUAUCUACAUGUGUCGGUGUGUCUCGUGCUGAUUCCAAUGCUUCCUGCUAGCCACGUUUCUUCCAACUCUACUGGGCCCGUAGAAACACAGCGCCUUCGCUCGGUAUAUUUCAAACUUCACUUAACUCACCUAGCUCAACUAACUUCGGUUUACCAAAACCAGUAUUCACCCUGCUUGACCCGCAGAAUAUUAUACAUACGCUCUGUCACGACUUCCGCCUCGACCUCAUUUCGACGGGAAGGCUUUUUGUCUACAACGGCCACCUCCGCCGACUCCUCUCAACCACCGUCAAUCUACUGCUACUGCUUCGAGGACACUUGAAUUACUGGUCUACGACCCUCUCUGGUCGAGCUUUUGCAUUCGGCUACCCACCUCGCUCACUACCCAAGCAAGCACAUCAAGGCCUACAGCAUCCUUCUAGAGGUAGAUCCCAUCGGAGACAUUCUGCGUCUUCAUUGAUAUCCAUUCGGAGCUGAUGUUGCUGCAGCUGAGGAUUUUCUGCUCAGGUGAAUAUGGUUGGAGUCCCAACAUGAGUUUCCACAUACACAGUCCCGACCACUACAACAUCAAUCGGUUGCCGGUUCUUUAUGGGGCCUUUAUGUAUCUCCUGAUCCUCCGUGGCGAUGCACUCCGUGUGGACCUGCGGAGUUCACGUCUGUCCUUAUUUCCGCCUUCGAACGUGCAUGCACUGGAAGAUGAGUACGUUUGGGACGCAAAAGACAACGACAUGGGGCUGAUGCACCUUGACGAUGAGGCUCCGAUCUAGUCGGAGCACGCAGGCAUGGAUUUCCGGCCCCUCGUCCAUUCUUAUGUCGUAUAUUUUUUCGAUAUAGCACUACUAGAAAAUUAGUCAUUAGCGACAUUUAUAUAUGCGGCUAAAAGAUCGACAAAUGUUACUAAAACUUUUAGCAGCAUAUAACACCAAAUACUGCCUAUGCCAAUGUUGCUAAAAGUAUUAGUAGCAUAUAUAAUGAAUGCCGCUAACGUGAAUUAAUUAAUGUUAUUAGAAAUAUGCCGCUAAAAGAGCUGUUAAGUAUUAAUCUUAAAUUGUUAACACUGCAUAUGAAUAUAAUGCCGCUAAUAGAAAUAUAUGAUUUUAGGGAUUCAAAUUUUAAAAUUUUAAUUUUAUUUUAAAUUUAAAUUCAAAUUUAAAUUUAUAUUUGAAUUUUUUUUAGAGAAAUGUAGCAUGCUAUCUGUUUCGUUUAUUUCUUUUAGAAAUAAACUUAGCUGUAAAUGAGAGUCAGCGACAUCGGGCUGGCGCACACCGUGGAGCACCUUUGUUACACGUAGGGGUGUAAACGAGCCGAACACGAGCGAGCUCGAUCGGCUCGUGUUCAGCCUCGUUAAUAGACGAGUCGAACACGCGCUGGCUCGUUAAAGUAUCGAGCGAAAAUUCAGCUCAUGUUCGACUCGUUAUUAACGAGCCAAACAUGAGCUGGCUCAGAGCUGGCCCAACGAACAAUAAAUUAAAAAAAAUAGAUUAAAUAUAUAUAAAAAAAUAAAUUUAUAAAUCUUAUCCAUUAAACUUUGAUUCUAAUAGUUGAAACUUUACAUAUAAAUGAAUUUUUUUUAUAAUUAAACUCGCAUUUAUAUUUUAUUUUACUAAAAAUUAAAUAAUAAAAAUAUAUAGUAUAUAUAAUUAUUUAUUUAUAUAUAAAAAUAUAAAUUAAAUAAAUUAUAUAAAUAUAAAAUAUAUGUAUUCGAGCUGUUAUCGAGCGAACACGAGCGAGUUGACCCAAGCUCGUGUUCGGCUCGUUUAUUAAACGAGCUGAAAAAUCCAGCUCGUGUUCGGCUCGUUUAUAACGAGCGAGCCGAUCUCGAGCCUCAUUUCGAGCCGAACCCGAGCCUGCGCUCGCGAACAGCGAGCUGGAUUGCCACCCCUAGUUACACGGCGGUCUACAACCUGAGGCUCUUCCUCUGGACAGCCACCCACCUCGACGACGAGUCUCCAAUCUUGUCAGAGCCCGCAGGUAUGGAUCUCCAGCCCCUCGUCCAUCCUGAUGUCGUACAUUUCUUCGCUACAGAUGUUGCUACUGUAUUUCCCAAUCGGAGCUGUAUUUUGGUAUUUGCCGAGAUCGCCUGCAUGUUUAUCUUGAAGUUGGGCAUGAAGGUAUACUUUUUUAUCUUCCCACUUUUCCAUAUACAUACAAAAACAUUUGUAAUGGUUAUAUGUUAUAAAAUUAAUAAAAUUUAUUAUAUUAUAAAUAUUAUUAAUAUUUAUAACAAAUAAAUAUUAUUCGAUACAGAUGCUGCUCCUAUAUUUCACAAUUGGUGCUAGAUUUUGACAUUUGCCGAAACUGGACGCAUGCUCAUCCUGAAGUUAGGCAUGGAGGUAUACUUUUAUUCUCUUGGCACUUCCCUAUUAUAGCGUUCUCCCGCACAGCCCAUAGUGGCCUAGUACCCUGGAGUGGCUUAUGAAACGAGCAUCAUAUUCUUCAUCAGAUAGGAUGUUACUUUGUUACAUUAUUUCUACUCGAAAAUUUAGGUGCACUUACGUGUUUUUAGCUGUUGAUAUUACUGUUACAUCCAUAAUUAAUUGUCAUUCGACUUAAAUUGUUUGUUUGUUCCCCAAUAUAACUUUUAGUUAUUUUUCAUAUCUUUAUGUCCGUAUUUUAUAUUUUGAUCCUGCAACUUUUUGAAUUCUGGCCUUUUUGAAAAUCAAGGCCUACAGAAUCUUUCUAGAGGUAGACCUAUCGGAGACAUUCUGUGUCUUCGUUGAUAUCCAUUCAAGCGCAUCAAGGCCUACAGCAUCCUUCUAGAAGUAGACCUAUCGGAGACAUUCCGCAUCUUCGUUUAUAUCCAUUAGGGGCCGAUGCUGCUGCAGCUGAGGAUUUUCUACUUCGGUGAAGAUGGUUGGAGCCCAACAUAAGCUUCCACAUACACAAUCCUUACCACUACAACAUCAAUCGGCCACCGGUUCUCUAUGGGCAUUUUCGUAUCUCCCGAUCCUCUAUGGCGAUGCGCUCCGUGUGGACCUGCGGAGUUCUCCUCUGUUCACAUUUUCGCCUCCGAACAUGAAUGCGCUGGGACAUGAGUACGUUUGGGACGUGAAAAACAACGACAUGAGGCUGGCACACACCGGGGAGCACCUUUGUUACACGGCGUCUACAACCUGAGGCUCUUCCUCUGGACAGCCACCCACCUCGACGACGAGGCUCCGAUCUGGUCAGAGCCCGCAGGUGUGGAUCUUCGGCCCCUCGUCCAUCAUGAUGUCGUACAUUUCUUCGAUACAGAUUUUGCUAUUGUAUUUCCCAAUCGGAGCUGUAUUUUGGCAUUUGUUGAGACCGCCUGCGUGCUCAUCUUGAAGUUGGGCAUGAAGAUAUGCUUUUAUACAUACAAAAACAUUUGCAAUGGUUAUAUGUUAUAAACAUUAAUAAUAUUUAUUAUAUUAUAAACAUUAUUAAUAUUUAUAACAAAUAAAUAUUAUUCGAUACAGAUGCUCUUCCUAUAUUUCACAAUUGAUGCUGUAUUUUGAAAUUUGCCGAAACUGGACGCAUGCUCAUCCUGAAGUUAGGCAUGUAGGUAUACUUUUAUCAUCUUGGCACUUCCCUAUUAUAGCGUUCUCCCGCACAGCCUAUAGUGGCCCAGUACCCCGAAGUGGCUUAUGAAACGAGCAUCCUGUUCUUCAUCAGAUAGAAUGUUAUUUUGUUACAUUAUUUCUACUCGAAAAUUUAGGUGCACUUACGUAUUUUUAGCUGUUGAUAUUACUGUUACAUCCAUAGUUGAUUGUCAUUUGACUCAAAUUGUUUGUUUGUUCCCCAAUAUAACUUUUAGUUAUUUUUCAUAUCUUUAUGUCCUUAUUUUAUAUUUUGAUCCUGCAACUUUUUGAAUUCUGGCCUUUUCAAUACCAAGGCUUACAGAAUCUUUCUAGAGGUAGACCCAUCGGAGACAUUCCGUGUCUUUGUUGAUAUCCAUUCAAGCGCAUCAAGGCCUACAGCAUCCUUCUAGAAGUAGACCUAUUUGAGACAUUCUGCGUCUUCGUUGAUAUCCAUUCGGGGCUGAUGCUGCUGCAGCUGAGGAUUUUCUACUCCGGUGAAUAUGGUUGGAGCCCAACAUAAGCUUCCACAUACACAGUACUUACUACUACAACAUCAAUCGGCCAUCGGUUCUCUAUGGGGCCUUUUUGUAUCUCCUGAUCCUUUGUGGUGAUGCGCUCCGUGUGGACCUGUGGAGUUCACGUCUGUUCACAUUUCCGCCUCUGAACGUGCAUGCGCUGGGAGAUGAGUACGUUUGGGACGUGAAAAACAACGACAUGAGGCUUGGGCAUACCGGGGAGCACCUUUGUUACACGGUUGUCUACAACCUGAGGCUCUUCCUCUGGACAGCCACCCACCUCGACGACGAGGCUCCGAUCUGAUCAGAGCCCGCAGGUGUGGAUCUCCGGCCCCUCAUCCAUCCUGAUGUACUCGUCAAUCUUGUUGUCGUACAUUUUUCGAUAAAGAUGUUGCUACUGUAUUUUCCAAUCGGAGCUGUAUUUUGGUAUUUACCGAGACCGCCUGCGUGCUCAUCUUGAAGUUGGGCUUGAAGGUAUACUUUUUUAUUUUCCCACUUUUUCAUAUACAUACAAAAAUAUUUGCAAUAGUUAUAUGUUAUAAACAUUAAUAAUAUUUAUUAUGUUAUAAACAUUAAUAUUUAUAAAAAAUUAGUAUUUAUUCGAUACAGAUGUUGCUCCUAUAUUUCCCAAUCAGUGCUGUAUUUUGGCAUUUGCCGAAACUGCACGCAUGCUCAUCCUCAAGUUAGGCAUGGAGGUAUACUUUUAUCACCUUGACACUUUUCUAUUAUAACAUUCUCCCGCACAGCCCAUAGUGACCCAGUAUCCCGGAGUGGCUUACGACACGAGCAUCCUGUUCUACAUCAGAUAGGAUGUUACUUUGUUACAUUAUUUCUACUCGAAAAUUUAGGUGCACUUACGUGUUUUUAACUGUUGAUAUUACUGUUACAUCCAUUAUUGAUUGUCAUUUGACUCAAAUUGUUUGUUUGUUCCCCAAUAUAACUUUUAGUUAUUUUUCAUAUCUUUAUAUCCUUAUUUUAUAUUUCGAUCCUGCAACUUUUUGAAUUCUGGCCUUUUCAAUAUUAAGGCCUACAGAAUCCUUUUAGAGGUAGACCCAUCGGGGACAUUCCGUGUCUUCGUUGAUAUCCAUUCGAGCGCAUCAAGGCCUACAGCAUCCUUCUAGAGGUAGACCUAUCGGAGACAUUCCGUGUCUUCGUUGAUAUCCAUUCGGGGCUGAUGCUGCUGUAGCUCAGGAUUUUCUACUCCGGUGAAGAUGGUUGGAGCCCAACAUAAGCUUCCACAUACACAGUACUUACUACUACAACAUCAAUCGGUCACCGAUUCUCUAUGGGGCCUUUUUGUAUCUCCUGAUCCUCUGUGGCGAUGCGCUCCGUGUGGACCUACGAAGUUCGCGUCUGUUCACAUUUUCGCCUCCGAACGUGCAUGCGUUGGGAGAUGAGUACGUUUGGGACGUGAAAAACAACGAUAUGAGGCCGGCGCACAUCGGGGAGCACCUUUGUUACACGGCUGUCUACAACCUGAGGCUCUUCCUCUGGACAGCCACCCACCUCGACGACGAGACUCCGAUCUGGUCAGAGCCCGCAGCUGUGGAUCUCCGGCCCCUCGUCCAUCAUGAUGUCGUACAUUUCUUCGAUACAGAUAUUGCUACUGUAUUUCCCAAUCGGAGCUUUAUUUUGGCAUUUGCCGAGACCGCCUGCGUGCUCAUCUUGAAGUUGAGCAUGAAGAUAUUCUUUUUUUAUCUUCCCACUUUUCCAUAUACAUACAAAAAUAUUUGCAAUGCUUAUAUGUUAUAAACAUUAAUAAUAUUUAUUAUGUUAUAAACAUUAUUAAUAUUUAUAAUAAAUAAGUUUUUAUUCAAUAAAUAUUUAUUAAUAUUUAUAAAUAAGCUUUUAUUCGAUAUAAAUUGCAUUGUUACCCCCUGAACUUCUGGCGUAGGUUCACUUUACCUCUCGAACUUCUAAAAUGGACAUCUAACCUCCUAAACUCUAAUAUUUCGUUCAUGUUACCCUUCUGUCAGUUUUCCGUUAAGCUCCGUUAACUGAAAACUGACGGAAGGGGUAAAACGAAUGAAAUAUUAGAGUUUAGGGUGUUAGAUGUCUAUUCUAAGAGUCUGGGGGGUUAAGUGAAACUAGCCAAAAGUUCAGGGGUAACAAUACAAUUUACCCUAAUUUUUACUAUAAAUUAUUUUUAUAUUUUAAAUUAAAAAUUUCUAAUUGGCUGAAAUGAAGUACAAAAAUUUUAUUUAAGUGUAUUUUAUAGAACAAUGCUUCUAAAGAUAAAAUGGACAAACGAGUACUACAGAAAAUUAACUGAGAAUUAAAAUCUCUAUAUCCGAGUAAGGACACCAAUUGUAAAUCAACCAUAUUAGCGAGUACACCAGGAUAGUAGAGUGUUCGAGCAUCGUAGGUAGUUAGUAUCGCUCUUUUUUUAUCUUUAAAUCACUCUAAUUCAUUUCUUUCACUUUUAUUUUAUUACAAUAAAAUGUAGGAUAAAUCAUGGUAUGAUUUAUUUUAGGUUUAAAAAUAUAUAUAAAUUCAAAAUCAAGCAUGAUCACUAACUUGAGGAUUAGUAGUCAAUCCAUAAGUAACAUAUUAUAAUAAAAUAAUUUAUAGUCAAGAGUCCCUUACGGAGUAAAUUGCACUACUACCUUCUGAACUUUUGACGAGUUUCACUUAACCCCCCAAACUCUUAAAAUAGACAUCUAAAAUCCUAAAGUCUAAUAUUUCAUUCGUUUUACCCCUUCCGUCAGUUUCCGGUUAACGGAGUUUGAUAGAAAACUGACAGAAGGGGUAAUAUGAACGAAAUAUUAGAGUUUAGGGGGUUAGAUGUCCAUUUUAGAAGUUCAAGGGGUAAAGUGAAACUUCGCCAAAAGUUCAAGGGGUAAUAGUGCAAUUUACCCUAAAAUUUAAUAUCUGAUGCAUAUCUGAAUCGGAAAAAAAAAUUAUGGGAAUAUGGUUUCGUCGAAUACCUUUUCACGUUUUUUCUGAUCUGUUUCCAUAAAAACUGGAAAAUUUUGAAAUCAGCCUUCAUUUUUUUCAAUUUUUUUUUAUUAUUAUCAUGGUUAAUCCGCAAUCAAGUCCAACUAAAUCAUUUUUUCUCUUCCUCCAAUUACGAUUCACCGUUUUAUUUUGGAAAAAAAAAAAAUAUCUCGAGAUACCUAAAUUUUAGCUUUUUUAUUAACAAAUUAUUUUGGUAAUUUUUUUAAAAAAAUUAUCAAUAUAUCGGAUAGCUAGAUCGUGAUUAUUGAAUCGCCAAAGGACCUAAUUAUCAAUAUGUUGAUAAUUGGACUGAUUUGUAAUUGUUUCAAAUUAGUGGUAUUAAAGUGUAAAUGUUACAAGAGAGGACUUACUAAUAGUUAGUAAAUUAUAAGAGGAUUUAUGUGCAAAUGUUGUAUUAUUAAUUUGAUAUGUUCAAAUUAAUAUAAAGUUUAAGUCGAAUCAAAUUAGGAUUUGAUCGAUCUAACCAAUUAAGGAAAUGAUAAAUUUAAAUCUAGAUUUAUACAUAUCCUUAAUUAUCAUUAUAUUAUUAGGAAUAGGAUUAUAUUCCUAUAUAUAAUAUAGGGGAGUUUUUAGAAAACCCUAGCCGUCAUCUUUCCUCUCCACUCUCUUCCAUAUUCUAGCAAGAAAGACGUCCUUUUGCAAGGGAGCUAGCACCUCGGUGAGGACAUCGAUCAAAUCAACAACCUUGUAUGGAUACCUAUAGAGGCCGGACGCGUGUGUGGCUUCAAGAGAACUGAAUUCCACGAUCAUCAAAUUGAGGUGAAGAUCUGUCCGCGAAAAAGGUAAAGAUUUGAUUUUUCUAUUCUCCUUUAAUCUUAAAGAACAUGAGCGAUCCUAAUUGCGUGAUUUUUGCGAUUGGAUCUCAAGAGUUUUCAAAAUUAAAUUUGUUUGAUUUCUUUUUCCGCUGUGUUUUUACUGUACGCAAUUUUCUAACACUAGUUCCGUUGCGUCUCGCACAUCGGCGGCAUUCCGCGUCUUCGCUGUUAUCCGGUCGGGAUCGAUACUCCUACAGCUGAUGAUCUUCUGCUCCGAUGGAGAUAGCUGGAGCCCAGUAGGAGCUUCUAGAUGCGCAGCCCCAACCAUUACAACAUCAAUCGGCCGCCGAUUCUCUACAGAGGCCUCCUGCAUAUCCUGAUCCUUCAUUGCGACGUACUCUGUGUAGAUAAGUUCUUUCAUUUUAAGACACCAAUUUAUUAAUUUAAAAAAAAUAUUCAUAUUCUCAAUCAAGCACCAUGAGUUAAUAGUCAUAAUUUUAAAAGUCUUAAAAUGAUAUUUGAAUAUCACUUUUAUAAAUGAAUACUUUAAUAUAUAAAAUAUAACUAUAUUAUUAAACUUUAUCAUAAUUCUUACUAAGAAGAGAAAGAAAAUAUGUAUUUAAUGUAGCUCGCUAAUGACUCUUUAUCUUGUAUCUUCUCAUAUGAAACAAAGAAUUUGAGAUGAUUAAAAUCCAAACUCAAUUAUAUAUAUACACACACACACAAAAACAUUUGCACUGGUUAUAUGUUACAAAUAUUAAUAAUAUUUAUUAUAUUAUAAAUAUUAUUAAUGUUUAUAAUAUAUAAGUUUUAUUUAUUGGUAAAUGUUUAUAUGUUAUAAACAUUAAUAAACAAAUGCCAAGAAGUGAAAAAUCUAAUAUAUUUGUAUAGAAGUAUUUACUCUAGUUUAUAUAUUAUAAAUAUUAAUAAUACACAUGCGUCUCACACUAGCUCUGUUUAAAGAUAUCUACUAGUUCCGUUGCGUCUCGCGCUCAUGCCACUACCUAGUGACUAGCCCCGACUUCCUCUCGAAGUACUCGGUCGCCGAAAAAACUCCCGUUUGCUAGGUGUAUUCCAGACCUUACUUAGCUCGCGUGGCUUUGGUCUACUGAAACCAUAUUUCAGCCUGCUUGACUCGGAGAAUGUUAUCUGGGCUUUCCGUCACAACCUCCGCCUCAACCGCAUUCCGUCGGGGAGGAUUUUUGUCUAUAUCCUUGAUCACAGCAAGAGUGAGCACAUCAAGACCUAUAGUAUCAUGCCGAAAGUAGGGACAUCGGCGACAUUCCGCGUCUUCGCUGUUAUCCGGUCGGGAUCGAUACUCCUACAGCUGAUGAUCUUUUGCUCCGAUGGAGAUGGCUGGAGUCUAGCAUGAGCUUCUAGAUACCCAACCAUAUCCUGAUCCUUCAUUGCGACGUACUCUGUGUAGAUAAGUUCUUUCAUUUUAAGACACCAAUUUAUUAAUUUAAAAAAAUAUUCAUAUUAUCAAUCAAGCACCAUGAGUUAAUAGUCAUAAUUUUAAAAGUCUUAAAAUGAUAUUUGAAUAUCACUUUUAUGAAUGAAUACUUUAAUAUAUAAAAUAUAAUUGUAUUAUUAAAAGCUUUAUCAUAAUUCUUAAUAAAAAGAGAAGAAAAAUAUGUAUUUAAUGUAGCUCGCUAAUGACUCAUUAUUUUGCAUCUUCACAUAUGAAACAAAGAAUUUGAGAUGAUUAAAACCCAAACUCAAUUAUAAAUAUACACACACACAAAAACAUUUGCACUUGUUAUAUGUUAUAAAUAUAAAUAAUAUAUAUUAUGUUAUAAGAGUCCGGCUGGGGUACUAUCAAGUUUUCCACCGUUAGAUUUAACCCUUUGAUUAUUUUUACCCGUUAGAUUAUACUAUUCAACCAACCACUCACUAAACCCUAGGGAGCCCACAUCAUCCUAACCACUCAUUUCUCAAUCCAAUGGCUAAAAAAUCAAUAGCACCAAUAGCUUGGUGCUAUUGAUAGUAUUCCAGCCUAGUUCUAUGUUAUAAACAUUAUUAAUAUUUAUAAUAUAUAAGUUUUUAUUUGUUGGUAAAUGUUUAUAUAUUAUAAACAUUAAUAAACAAAUGUCCAAAAGUGAAAAAUCCAAUAUUUUUGUAUAGAAAUAUUUACUCUAGUUUAUAUAUUAUAAAUAUUAAUAAUACACAUGCGUCUCGCACUGUCUCUGUUUAAGGAUAUCUACCAGUUCCGUUGCGUCUCGCGCUCAUGCUACCACCUAGUGACUAGCCCCGACUUUCUCUGGAAGUACUCGGUCGCCGAAAGAACUCACGUUGGCUAGGUGUAGUCCAGACCUUACUUAGCUCGCGUGGCUCCGAUCUACUGAAACCACAUUUCAGCCCGCUUGACUCGGAGAAUGUUAUCUGGGCUCUCCGUCACGACCUCUAUCUCAACCGCAUUCCGCCGGGGAGGAUUUUGGUCUGUGAUGAUGUCACGCCUCAGAUUACACGUUUCCCCGGGCACACCCACAGACCCGCCGUAUACGAAGGAAUUUUUUCUGCAUACGAAGCGAAGGUGUACUGAAACUGUAAUCAAACAACACUACAACCAGUAGUACAGAGCUGCUAGAAAAGAAAAAGAACUGAAGGAAAACCAAGUUUCAUAUAUAUACAUAACAUCUAGGGUACAAACUGUUCGCACUGGCGAGUUAAACAUCUGUAUGUACAUCAACUCAAACCAAAAUACAACUACCUGCAGAAGGUACUCCACUAGCUCUGGCUCGUCUAACCAAAAUACAACUACCUGCGGAAGGUACUCCACUAGCUCUGGCUCAUCUGGAAGGGCUCUAGCUCGCAACGCCCUUGCCACGAUCGGUCUCGGAAAAUGCAGCAGCCGGAACAGAAGGCUCUGCAAAAGAGGGGUAACAACUGGGCAUGAGAACUACUAUAAAAACAAGUAGUCCUCAGUGGGUGCCGCCCUCAACAUCAUCGGUCCACCCACUAGGUCUACAGAAGGGAGCUGGAAUAGUAAGUAAUGCUGGAUCAGAUCUAUAGCUAAAAUCACUAUACUAUCAUACUCUAACACUAACAAUCUGUAGAAAAAUAUCAAUCCUGACCCAAUCUCACUCGGGACUGUAACCAUAUCCGUCCCAGGGACUGUGAACACAUCCGUCCGGCCUGUCGAAGCUAAAGCGAUCUCCACACUAAGCAGUCAGUGGAUAGCAAGUCCAAACAGGACACCUUGAAUCCAACGCAGAAGCACUAAACCCGACUCCGGAGUGGCACUUAUGGGCGCUACCCAACCGAGUAUGCAAGUGUAUCUCUGUCGAGCUCAAUCAGGCUCUUACAGGCUAUAGUCUAGUACACAGGGUCUAACUGAUCUAAAAACCAACGAGUCACGUGCCCUCGGCACAAACUGAUGCCAAAACGGCAAUAUGGGUCCACCGUCAACCCCAACGGGCCCCAGCAGUCCGGAACAGUCUGAACAAUACUGUAAAAGUAGGCUAGACAUCUCAGCACGAGCGUAACAGCAAUCUACACUACCUGGGGUAUCCACCACGCUGAUACUGCGGCGAUACCAAAUAACAACGGCUCCUAAAGCUAAAUCUGGUAGUGUAAGCAUAUGACGAGGUAUAAUCGCAGUUUUCUCCUAAGUCAUAUCCAAGUCCAAUAUGUGCAAAUAGAUAUAAUCAAGAGGCGAGGCUCCAAUUCAGAUUUUGAAGAUAAAAACACCAAAUCCAUGAAUCGAGCAAUUUCUAUAUACUAAACAACCCGAUAAACACAUGUCGACUAUAUAGCUACUUAGACGGCAAACCGACGAUUAACCCACCUCAAAAGCUACUUCAAAUCCGGCGCGACGUGGAAUCAGCGACAAACCCUGCUCGCCCGGCCUCCCAAUGUAGCAACUACGGUGCUCGUGUACUCGAACGGCUCUGCGGCGCAACGUCGGCGUCGAUCCAACUCCACCCGAGCUCCUCCUUGCUCACGGCCAAGGCUAGAGAGAGAGAGGAGAAGAAGAACAGUAAAGUUUCUCUCUCUCAGCUUCUCUACACCUGCUAUAGUAAUGGGGAGAGAGGGUGACACGUACGAGGCAUAGAAAGACCAAAAUGCCCUCUUAUCUAUCCUGGUGUACCGGUACACGUGUGGUUGUACUGGUACAAAUAGCAACCCGGGAGCAGCUGCGCGGAAACAGGUAAAGUGUACCGGUACACAUCCGAUGUUGUACCGGUACAGAAAGUGUACCAGUACACCUCUGAUGUUGUACCGGUACAACAAGCAGGAAAUCUGCAAUUUGCAGAUUCCAAUGCUGACUCCUGCUCUCGCGUUCCCACUGAGUCCGUUUUGCGUCUAUUUCGCGCCAAACGCGACUCGAACUUGUCCCGACACUCUCACAACGUGUCAACAAGCCUCAACUUCUUGACUUUCAAAUCUUUUUGACGUCAUUGACCUAAUGAUCAAAAAGUUCCAAAUUUUGUAAUUUUAAUAGUCAAUAUGAGGCGUUUUUAUGUUUAACGGUGUAAAAAUAUCUAAAUCAGUUAAAUUUUUGUUAGAAAUUUUUUUUAACUAUUUAGAACAAGAUCUAUACUCUCGAUCUUGAUUGCAAGAUUCCUAUCAUCAUUUUUUAAAGGAUAUUCAUUCUUAGUCAUUCAUUUUUGUGUCAACUUGAUGAACAAGAGAGCAAUAUCAGAAAAGUAUGAAAUUUGGUUUCUAGAUACUUCAAGUGGUAUAGAUCAUGUUCAAUGGCGCCGGUUGUCGAUUUGGAAGCUCCAUCAUUGAAAACAAAUGGAUGGCAACGGAUCCCAUUUGUUACUGAUAGUAUUACGGCUCAACUCUCUUUCUCUCUAUAUAUAUAUAUAGAGAGAGAGAAAGAGGCUAGUAUGCUUCUGAAAGUACGAAACCCUCUGUGUUUUCAAGUCAUUUUUGAUGUUGGGACUUUCGAAUUGACGAUUAGCUUCAUCAGAUUUGAUCUAAGUAUUUGAAGUAACUACAAAAUAAAUUUUGUGAUUCUUCUUUGAACCCUGUUCAUCUUCAUCAUCAGCUAUUUUUCCUCUUCAAUGUCGCCGUUAGGUGGAAGGUUAGCGGAAGGAGAAAAAUUCAUCUUCUUCAGACGUUUCUCUUCCUUUGGCCCUCCGUGCACGAUGCGCCCUCUUCCAUGAUGCCAUUUGCUAUGCAAGAUUUAAGUUGGGAGAAGAUAGAAAGGCAAACAGCGAGCAGGAAGGAGAAGAUGGAUAUAUACUCUUAUAUGAAUCUCCAAUAUCAAAUGAUGACGUGGCAAUCUCUUUUUUUUUUAGAUUUUUUAGAUUUUUUAUUUUAUUCUAUUCUAUUAUUUUUAAUUAUUCUUUCAAUUAUUUUUUUUUGAACCAUUUCUUCUAUCUAUUAAUUUUUUUGGACCGAACCAACAUAUUUUGUUAUAUAUUUUGUAUUGAACCCGAUUCAUCACUGAACCCGAUUUUUUGAACCCUGUUUAUCUUCAUCAUCAGCGAUUUUUCCUCUUCAAUGUCGUCAUUUGGCGAAAGGUUAGCGGAAGGAGAAGAGACUCAUUUUCUUCAAACAUUUCUCUUCCUUGUGCCCUCCGUGCACGAUUUGCCCGCUUCCGUGGUGCCGUUUGCUAUGCAGGAUUUAAGUCAGGAGAAGAUGGAGAGGCGAAAAGUGAGCGAGAGGGAGAAGAUGGAUAUGCUUAUAUAAUAACAUUGACAUUUUCUUUAUUCCAGUAUCUUUUCCAACAAUAUUUUUUCGAUGGUAGAGGGUGGUUACUCUAUUUUUUUCGCUUUACUAUUAUAGAGUUAUAGAUGUACAAUUUUUUUUUUACGUUUUUGUUAUUUUUCCUCAGGAAUCUAUGGGCAAUCUACUACGUUGAUUUAUCCCCUAUUUGGUACUGACUUCCUUCAGAUCUCCGGUAAGUCCUAAUACCUAAGUGCUUAUAUUACUAUUACUAUGUACAGUUUUUUUUUUUUGACGUUUUUGUUAUUUUUUCUCAAAAAUCCAUCGCCGAUCUACUAAUUGAUCUCCUAUUUGGUCUUGCCUUCUUUCCGAUCUCUGGUAAGCUGCAGUGCCUAUGUGCUUAUAUUUGCAUGAAACUAAGUUCAAAAAAAAAAAGUCAUAAAAAUAUGAUUAUGAGACCAUCUGUAUGUGCACUAUUUUUCUUCACGAUCAGUAUGCCUCUAGUUUAGAAUAUUUAUUUAUAAUUAAAGUUUUGGUCUUUUAAGAGAUAUAAUUUUGUAUUUCAUUAUCAAUAUUAAUAAAAUUGUUUGCUCUGUCUUGCUCCACAGGUGUAGAACAACGGCCAAAUCAUGUAAAUCUUAGUGUGUUCUUUUCUUUUUCUUUAUAUCUAUAAGAAAGCAAAUUUACGGCCUAAUGGCAACUAUUGUGGAUAUUUAUAUCAUAAAAAAAAUUGGAUUGGAGAGCAUAAAAUAUAUAUUUUCUGAUUUUGCUAAAAUAAGAUGAAAAUCUAACUAUUUGAACUUUAUUAAUAUUUGUAAUUAAAUAUUACUUCUCUAGCUCUCAUGAUACUACUUCUGAUUCUUCUGCUACAACUUUUUUCUAUAUUGCUUUUAUUUUUUUUCCUAAUAAUUAUGUUGUAUUUUCUCUUCAUAUAUAUUUUAAACUUAUUUUUAAAAUAUGAUAUUUUCAAUGAAUCUACUACCUCAAUAAUAUUUAUGUCUUAAAAAAAUUCAAGUUGGGAUGGAAGAAGACAAUUAUCUUAUGUUCUUGCAAGAAGAAUCAUGAAAAUAUAAUUGUUAGGUCAACUAAUUCUUCUAAUUUAGUCCUUUUUUUAAUUGAUAAUAUAUAAAUUCUAAACAUUAUGCAAUUUUAUAGUAUGAAAUUUAGAAUUUGGUAAAAUUCUAAAGCAAAUUUCUAACCACAAUUAUUGAAGAAUAAUACUGUUUUGGAACAAUAUAAUUUUCAUUCAAAAUUUUAUAAUUUAGAAAAAAUAGUAUUUAGGAUUCUAAUUAUAAUUUAUUUUUAAAAUUUUAAAUUUGGAUUCUAUUAUUUAUCCGCCGCAUCGCACGGAUCUCUACACUAGUAUAUACUAGAGUCCGAUAAAUUCAUCUCGUGUUUUUGUAUAGGGGUGGCAAUCCAGCUCGCUGUUCGUGAGCCAGCUCGUGUUUGGCUCGAGAUCGAAUCGUUCAUUUAGUAAACCAGCCAAAUAUGAGCUAAAUUUUUUAGCUCGUUUAAUAAACAAGCUGGGGUCAGCUCGCUUGUAUUCGACUCGAUAACGGCUCGAAUAUAUAUUAUAUAUAUUUUAUAUUUAUAUAAUUUAUAUAAUUUAUUUUUGUAUAUAUAAAUAAAUAAUUAUAUAUAUAUAUAUAAUUUUAUUUUUAACAAAAUAAAAAUAUAAAGUCGAGCUCAAUGGUAAAAAGACUCCAACCAUUUGAUCAUUUAAUAUGUAAUAUUUUAUAAAUUUAAUUUUUAUAUAUAUCCAAUCUAAUUCUUUUAAUUUAUUAUUCAUUGGCCGGCUCGUGAGCCCGUUCAUGUUCGGCUCGUUAAUAAACGAGCCAAAAACGAGCUGAAUUUUUCAACUCGAUAUUUUAACGAGUUAGGUUUGAGUCGGAUUUUCAAAAACCCGAAUCCCAACCCAAAAACUAAAUUAAAACUCUAAUCCGGACCCGAAUCAGGUGGGUUUUAAAAAUCCAUAUCCAUACUAAAAAUCCGAAACCUAAACCGGGACCGAACGAGAAAAAAUAUUAAAUAUUUUAUAUAUUAUAUAAAUAUAUAAAAAUAAAUUAUUUAUAUAUAUAAUUUAUUCAGGUCCGGAUUUGAGUUCGGAUUCGGGUUCGAAUCGGGUAAAUAUAAAAUUCAUAUCCGUAUUCAUAUUCGUCUGAUUUUUAUUAUUUAUACCAUAAUUAAAUUUAUACCCAUUUAGCUCGAGUAAAUCUGUCCUCUUCGGAUUCUAAUAGUAUUCUUUCGGAUUCUAAUAAUAUUUAGAAUAUCUAUAUCCAUCGGCAUCCUAGACACCCUUAUUUUUCUGUAUGCGUGUAUCUAUAAGUAUCGCGCACGACUCCGUGUCCUCUGUAGUUUUGAUAACCGAUCGAUUCGGUUACGAGAAAUAAUGGAAGAACCGGCGAGAAAACGGCAAAGACUCUCGGCGGCGGCGGCGGACCGCAUCAGUGCUCUGCCCGAUCACCUCCUCCACGAAAUCCUGGCCUUCCUGCCGGCCCGCCUCGCCGUCGGCACCUCCCUCCUCUCCCGGCGAUGGCGGGCGGUCUGGACGACCGCCCCCGACGUCUCCUUCACCACCCAGCUCUCCCCCUCCUUCGUCGACUCCGUCCUCCGCCAUCGCGACCCCGCCCUCCCCCUCCGCUCCUUCUCCCUCGUCGCCGCUUCCGCCGACGAAGUCGUCUCCGACCCCGACCCCGACCCCGCCCUCCCCUUCCGCUCGUGGAUCCUCCGCGCCGCCAGCCCCGCCCUACAACGCCUCACCCUCCGCCUUCCCGGCCGCUUCGACCUACUACCUCCGGCAGUCUUCCACCUCCCCUCGCUGAAGGUGCUCGAACUCCGCCUCCCGGGACGCCUCGAUUGGCCCGCCGCUGCCUUCUUACCUUCUCUACAGAGGCUCGAACUCUCUGACCUUACUUUAUUAUAUCCGGCCACCGAGGACGCGAUCUCGAACAGCUGCCCGGCGCUCAAGUGCUGGCGGAUGUCGUUCGAAUCCGCAACCCCCGAGCUCGAAGUAAAGUGCCCGCUGCUGGAGGUUUUCGAGCUACGGACGCGCGCCGGGCCGAUAGGGGGCCUCAGUAUCUGCGGGCGCAAGAUCAGGAAGGUGAGCGUGCGACAGAAGUACGUUGCUGAAUCCUUCUCCAGGCCGCCGGCGGCGGCUUAUCUGAAGCUGUCAGCGCCCGGGCUCCAGACUCUGGAGUGGUUCUGCCCGCUGCCGCGCUCCGCGACCGUCGACUCCCUCCCGGAUUCUCUCGCCUCCUCCCUCAUGUUACUGACGCCGGGCGAGCUCCUCGAUCUCGACGAGAACAGACUGCCGAACUACGGCCAUGUUCUUCCCCUGCUCAGAGUCGAUCGGUUGGUCCUGCCGCAUUGUUGGAUAAUUGAGGUAUGUGCACGGAGGUUUUAUUUCCUUUCUCUUCCUGGUAGAAAUUUUUUUUUUUUUUUCUUUUCUUUUAGAGUAAGAUAGUAUGCUACCGCGACAUUCUCAUUCAAUUGGAAGGUUAACUUAACAAAAAGAUAAGACAAAAGGCCUCAGCUUACAAUUGACUCCAGGAGAUCCUAGUAGAAAUUAGCAUUUCAAUUCAAUUCGUGUGUAUAUUAGAAAUUGAAGUUAAAGAAGGAUCCUAUCCUUUUCGCGCAGCCAAAUCAAGCAAAUAAUCCCUAAAUGAGAUAAUCUCUCAUCCGUAGAUCGACCAUAAGUAGUAUUAUCUCUUCUUCUUCUUAGCGCACGCCCUAGAGCUAAUGCAAAUGUUAUCCUGAAAUAAAAUUGCAGAUGAUUGGCUAUCGUGGACAAGUUAAUUAGGAAUUAUUUAAGUCUUUUCCUGAAGAGUAAGACGAUCGAAGAGGUUAUGCGAUCAAUUUAAUUUUUAAGUUCUGCGUUGAAACAGCCAUAUGAAGAACGAAACUUGAUUAGAUUGGGCUGACCAAAUAUGAUCAGUUUCAUCAACGUAUAUUCUGGACUGAGCAAAAUUCGAGUGCCCUAUCAUUAUCAACAGGUGAAAAGUGCAAAAGUCUUUGCGCUUCGGAAAGCACUCAGCGACUAUGCUAUAGAAUUGUUCUAGAAAUAAAAAGGCACUUUUAGUUCCACCUUCCGUCGUAUUUUCAAUGAUGGGUGGGUUUCUUAAUGCACAAUCGACGCUAUUAAGCAUGAUUUAGGUUCAAUAAGUGUUGCUCUUUUGUUCAUAUCAUUUCUCUAGUAUUCAAGGGACAUUUAGUUCACUUUAAAAAGAACAAAGGCGAAAGAAUCGACUCUAAUUUUUCGCUUCUGAUACUGUAAAUAUGGCAACACAUUGUAGAUCUUUAGUUAAUUUGCUUAUUGAAAGAAGAUUACAAGUGAAAGAUGGAACAUAUAAAACAUUAUUUAUGGCAAAAUUUGAGGAAAGUAAGGCUCAACCAUGAUCCUGAACAGGAAGGUUAGAUCCAUCUGGGAGCUUAACAGGUGGCAAAGAACUGUGGUUUUGUGAAUCAAAUAAGAUAGAGUGAUUGAAGGUCAUAUGGUCAGAGGCUCCGCUAUCUAGAACCCAUUCAGAAAUUUUAUCAGAAGAUUGAGUAGUCUAACCUGCAAAAUUGGCUAAUGGUGUUUGUUUUUUCAGAAUUGAGCAGAGAAAGAAGUUGAUCAUAUUGUUCUUUCGUAAGGCCAUUGACAAGUGAAAAGGAUGACUCAUAUUGACUUAUGGUGGCAUUAUUUGCUGAAUUUGAUGAGCUUUGACGUCCCUUUGUCGAUCUUCCCUUAUUUGUCCAUCCUUCAGGAUAACCAAUUAACUCAUAACAUCUGUCUCUUGUAUGGUUAGUUUUCUUACAAUGCUCACAGAAGAACUUAUUUCUAUUGGGCACUCGAUCUUCAUCCGUUCCAAAGGUCAUCGAUUUGGUGUUUCUAGUGUUUAAAGCAGCAGCUUCAAUAGUUGGUGCUCGACUUGCAGCUAGAGAUUGCUGUCUCUCUUCGCGAGUCACAAGUGCAUAAACCUUAGCAAGGCUAGGUAGCGGAUCAGUGCUUAGAAUUUGAGAUCGAACAAUGUUGAAUUUUUCGGACAGUCCCAUUAGGAAUUGAUGAACUUUCUCUUUCUCACGUUCAGCAAUGAACUCCUUGGCUGCACCACAAGUACAGUAAGGAACAUUUGAAUAAGUGUUUAGCUCAUCCCAAAAUCCUUUCACCUUGGUAUAGUAUGUCGCAACUAACAUAGUGCCCUGUUGUGUAAUUGCAAGUUCACGUUUCAGUUCAUGGAUACAAGGGGUGUUUCCAUGUGAAAAUCUUUCCUCCAAUAUUUCAAUUCUGUAGCUAAACAAUUAAAUAUUUCUCUAGCUGAAUCAAUAUAAGCAAUGCUAUCAUGUAAUUCUGAAGCUAAAGAAUUAAAAAUCCACGAAACGACCAUGGAAUUGCACUUAACCCAGGCAUGUUCAUCGGGGGAAUCAUCUCCUGGGUUGGCAAGAGCACCAUCAACGAAACGACAUUUAUUUUUGGCUCGAAGCGCAUUUAUCAUUGCACGUCGCCAAGUUGGAUAAUUUUCUCCCUUGAGAAGACAUGAAACUAGAAUUGUGCCAGGAUUGUCAGAUGGAUGAAGAAAAUAUGAAGAAAGCUAAUCAAUAUCAGCGGACGUUUUUGUGGAAGCUUUGGUAGAAGGUAUUUCAGUCAUGACUAAUAGCUAGAGUUUCCAGGGAAGAAGAUGAGUAGGGUAUUAGCAUAGGAUCAUUGCUCUGAUACCAUGUAAAAAUAUUUGCCAAGCUUGCUUUCUCUUCUCUUAUUACAUAUAUAUAUAAGAUACAACCAAUUACAUAGCCUAAACUUUAGGCUUAAGAAAAGCAAGAAAAAGGAAAGAGAUCCUGUCUAAUAGGUACACAAUACCUUCUCACCUAAUUUACAAAAUUUGAUAUCGGAUAACCACGGAUUGAGAUUAGCAAAUAAUAUUUUCAAUAGAUAGUAUGACAUUACAUUUGAUAAUUGAUUACUUCACAGGAUUAAAUAAUGCUAUAAUGCUUAUAAUAAUGAUGCGUAUACAUUUUCUUUUAUCCUCAUAUGAUAUGCUGAAUUAAAUGAAUGCAGGAGUUCAGUGUAGCAAUUUUCCAUCGACACGAUCAAGAAAAUCCGCGUGCUUGGGUGCAUGAGAAUCUCAAGCAUUUGGAAUUGAUUUGUUUCUUCGAAGGAUUUGGCUCGUUGGGUCUUGCCUUCUUGCUCAAGAAUUUCUCUAAACUCGAGACGUUGCGUGUUUCCUGUGUCAAGGAAUCGUCCAUAAAUUAUGUAAGUCGACCAAACCUCAUCACUACCUUGCCUAAAUUAUGCUGCAUUUCGUAGGAUAUACUUUGAAUUUUCAAAGUUUUGAUUUUAUUAGAUAAUAUUAUAAUAUGUUACAUUUAUAUAUUUAAAUUAAAUGUUAACAGUAUUUUAGAUUUGUUUUAUGAUAAAUCUAGUAGUUUUGUAGAAUAUAUAUCAUGCUGUACUUUGAGUUAACAAAUGUUCUAGAAAUAUUAUGAGAAAUCAAAAAGGAGGAAAUUGGAUAACGAAUUCAGAAUUUAUGAAGUUCAAAGAUUUGUGCAUUUUGACCAUUCUUUUGUAUUUCUCCAGUCUUUUAUAUAUAUUCUUUUAUUUUUUUAUUUUUUUUUGUAGGCCAUUCACUAUACAUUAUUUCACAUACUAUUUAAGAGUAAAGGGGCUUUUGGCCGAGGAGGAUACUGGGAUUCUCAUGACUUGUCCCUCAAGCAGUUGGUUCAAGUAUCAGUGCAUGAUUUUUCAGGGGGAAGAUUCGAAUAUGACUUUUUAGAGUUCUUACCUCGAGCGGCAACUUCGUUAAGAAUGAUUACGAUCUCUGCUAAUGGCGAGGAAAUAGUUUUAGAGAAGGUUGAGCAAUUGCGACAAUCUUUUCCACACAUUGAGAUUUUGCUUCAAUUGCAUGGAAGAUAAUUUUGUUACUCUAGAAUCAUUAGCAUGUUAACAAACAAUGCUGACGAUUAGCUAGACAUUUAUUAAUUUGAUUUUAUUUUUAGUUACCUUGAGCUAAUUUAUUGUUGACCAAGGUGUUUUGUGAAAGUUAGUUUGAUUGGAUUAACGAAUCUGUAGAUCCAACGCAACUCAAGUGCAUUGAUGUUUAAGUUUUUUUUAAAUGUAAUUAUUUUUUUGUUGUUUGUUUUGACAUAACUCGUACAGUCUUGAAGUUAAAUUCAAUUAUUUUUUUAUUUGUUUUGAUGUAAUUUGGUGCUGGUGAAAUUAGUUUUUUGAGUUUCAUUGUUUGUUUUGAUAUGAAUAAGUGUUUAGAUUGAGUUUUAUUAUUUUGAUGUAAGUAAGUGGGUGCCAUUAUCUCCUAAAUAUAGUGGUGAACUUACUGCUAUAAAAUUUAACCUAUUAUAUAAUUAAAAUUUUUAUUAUUAUUUAAAGGUAAUUCUAAUUUAUUAUAAAUAAGGUAAUUCUAACCCAUUAUAAAGGAGUAGCGUUUAGGUUUUAAUAUUUAAUAAAUUUUUUAGAGGAGAAAGUCGAGAGUAGCUGAAGUGGAGAUCUAUUAACGUAACUUGAGUUACAUUAUAUUUUUUACUUAGACUAACACAAGUGAUGGAACUUGAGUUCCAUCCCUCCACUUACACUAAAACAAACCGAUCCUAAGUUGCUGGGCUCGACACGGCAUGUCGUGCCCAAAUUUAAAAGCGGGUCGUGUCGGACUGGUCCCUUGCACAUUUCUAAUUUAUAAUCUCAAAAUUAAAGUUUAUAAUUUUAAAUUUUAAUUUUAAAUUUAAUAUUUAAAUUUUUUAGAUUUAAAAUUUGAUAUUAUAUAUUUUCAAUUUUAAAUUUGAUAUUAAAUUUAAUGUUUGGAAUUUAAAAUUUAUAAUUAUAAAAUUUAAAUUUUAAGAUUUUAAAUUUUAAAUUUUAAUUUUUAAUAUUGAGUUUUAAAAGUUAAAAUUUAAAAAUAUAAAUUUAAAAUUAAAAAAUUAAAUUCAAAUCUAAUGAGAGUGGUAAUAUUAUUAUUUUUUAUUUAUAACUGCCCAUUAUUUUUUUUUAUUUCAUCUUAUCUAUUCAAAUAUUAUUUUUCUUAUUUUCAGAAACAACUCAAUUAUUAUUCAAACUUAAACAAUACAUUAAUAAUCUAUUCUCUACAUAUAAAAUCUGUUUGGGGUCAUGUGCGUGUAUACAUACCAAUGCACAUAACAAAUAUUUUAAUAAUUAUUUUAAAUUAAUAUAAAUUUAUAUAUCAUAUUUAUAUGCAAAAUUUAAAUUUUAGAAAGUAAACUCAUUUGUUGUAUACUAUUAAAAAAUAUUUGUCACAUUCUUACUCAAAUUUAAAUAGUUCUUGUCCACAAUAAUUAUAUAGUUAUAUUUUUUUAUUUUAUAAAUAUAUAAUGUAGAUAUAGAUAUACAUUAAAUAUUUUUGUAUAUUUUUGAAUUCAGAUGAAUCCAGAAUUUAAAUACAUAUUUUAAACUAAAAAUAUCAAAAUCUUAAUUCAUGCUUAAUUCAAAAGUUAAAAUUUAAUUUUUUUCAACUUUAAUAAAAAAAAUUUUAAUUAUUAAUUCAAACUUAAUAUCCAAAAAUAAAUUUAAUUGACGAAUAAAAUUUAAAUUUUAAUCUUAAUUUAAAAAUAUAGAAAUUUAAAUUAUAUAAUUAAAUUUCAACUCUAAAUUUUAGAUAAAUAAAAAUUUAAAAUAAAUAAUAUUAAAAUUUAAAUAUAUAUUUGAAAUCAAAUUUAAAUUUGAUUAAUUGAUUGCAAUCAAACAAUAAAAUAUUAGCGGAUAGAAUAGAGAUAAUAUAAUUUUAUUAUUAUAUUAUUUAUUUUAUAUAUAUAAAAAAUUUUAAAAUAAAUCUGCUGAUGGAUGGAAAUUUGAAAUACAUAUGCUAUAGAUAUGAAAUCUACUCGGAGUCGGAUUAAUUCAAUUGUGUGUGUGUGUGUGUAUACAUUUGUGUACAUGUCGCGGACGGCACCGUGUAUUUUCCUAUUUUGAUAAUUCAUCGAUUCGAUUACUGUGGUGGAAAUAAUGGAAGAAGGCGUACCGAGGAAGAGGCGAAGACUUGCGGAGGCCGACCGUAUCAGCGCUCUCCCGGAUCACCUCCUCCACGAAAUCCUCGCCUGUCUUCCCACCCGCAUUGCCGUCAGCGCCUCUCUCCUCUCCCGGCGAUGGCGGGCGGUCUGGACGACGUCCCCCGACGUCUCCUUCACCACCGGCCUCUCCCCCUCCUUCGUCGACUCCGCCCUCCGCCAUCGCGACCCCGCCGUCCCCCUCCGCUCCUUCUCCCUCGUCGCCGCUUCCGCCGACGAAGUCGUCUCCGACCCCGACCCCGCCCUCCCCUUCCGCUCGUGGAUCCUCCGCGCCGCCAGCCCCGCCCUACAACGCCUCACCCUCCGCCUUCCCGGCCGCUUCGACCUACUACCUCCGGCAGUCUUCCACCUCCCCUCGCUGAAGGCGCUCGAACUCCGCCUCUCGGGACGCCUCGAUUGGCCCGCCGCUGCCUUCUUACCUUCUCUACAGAGGCUCGAACUCUCUGACCUUACUUUAUUAUAUCCGGCCACCGAGGACGCGAUCUCGAACAGCUGCCCGGCGCUCGAGUGCUGGCGGAUGUCAUUCGAAUCCGCAACCCCCGAGCUCGAAGUGAAUUGCCCGCUGCUGGAGGUUUUCGAGCUGCGGACGCGCGCCGGGCCGGUGGGGGGCCUCAGUAUCUGCGGGAGCAAGAUCAGGAAGGUGAGCGUGCGGCAGAAGUACGCUGAUGCUGAAUCCUCCUACGGGCCGGCGGCGGCGGCUUAUCUGAAGCUGUCGGCGCCCGGGCUCCGGACUCUGGAGUGGCUCUGCCCGCUGCCGCGCUCCGCGACCGUCGACUCCCUCCCGGAUUCUCUCGCCUCCUCCCUCAUGUUGCUGACGUCGGGCGAGCUCCUCGAUCUCUACGAGAACAGACUGCCGGACGGCGGACAUGUUCUUCCCCUGCUCAGAGUCGAUCGGUUGGUCCUGCCGUAUUCUCGGAUAAUUGAGGUACGGUACAAUUACCUUAAAUCAGCCAGAAAUAUAUAUAUAGUACUAUCUCUUCUUCUUCUUCUUCUUCUCAAUGCACGCCGCUUUAGAGCUAAUACGCGCGAAUAUUAUCGUUCUAAAUUAAAUAAUAAAUUCACAGGCAAAUAUACGGAAACGGAAACAAUUAAUCAUAUGGGCUGACCAAAUAUAACAAUUAAUUAGUUUCAUCUAUAAUGCUUAUAAUAUAAUGAUGAUGAUAAUGCGUAUAUAUUUUCGUUUAUUAUCUUCAAUAGAUAGAUAUUAAUAUGCUAAAUGAAAUAAAUGCAGGAGUUUGGUAUAGCAAUUUUCGAUCGACACGAUGAAGAAAAUCCGCGAGCUUGGGUGCAUGAGAAUCUCAAGCAUUUGGAAUUGACUUUUUCUUUGGAGGAUUUGGCUCGCUGGGUCUCGCCUUCUUGCUCAAGAAUUUCUCUAAACUCGAGACAUUGCAUGUUUCCUGUGCCAAGGAAUCGUGCAAGGACUCGUACUUAAUUCACGUAAGUCAAUCAAAUUAGCCUUAUCACCAUUUUUAACUUUCUUAAAAGCUUAUGGACCUUGUGUAUAAAUUAUGCUGCAUUGUACUUGGAUUUUUAAAGUUUUGAUCUUAUUACAUAAUAUUAUAAUAUGUUACAUUUGCAUAUUUUAAUUAAAUGUUGAACAUAUCUUAGAUUUCUUUUACGAUAGAUUUAAUAAUAUUUGUAGAAUAUUUUGCUGUACUUGGAACGGAACGCUCUCUUAAGCAUAUAUAUUUAGUAAAAAUAGAAAAUUAAUUCUAGCAAGAGUUAACAAACUUUCUAGAAAUAUUAUGAGAAAUCACAAAGGAUUAGCAAAUUGGAUAAUGAAUUCAAAAUUUAUGAAGUUUAAGGAUUUGUGCAUUUUGACCAUUUUAUUUUUAUUUCUCCAAUCUCAUAUAUGUAUGUAUAUAUAUAUAUAUAUAUAUAUAUAUAUAUAUUCUUUUAACUUUUUUUUUUUUUUUUUUGGGUAGGUCAUUCCCUCUGCAUGCUUUCCUAUACUUUUUUUUGAGAGGAAAGGGGGUUUUGGCACAGGGGGAUACUGGGAUUCUCAUAACUUGUCCCUCAAGCAGUUGGUUCAAGUAUCAGUGCACGAUUUUUCAGGGGGGAGAUUCGAAUAUGACUUCUUAGAGUUCUUACCUCGAGCUGCAACUUCGUUAAGAAUGAUUACGAUCUCUGCUAAUGGCGAGGAAAUAGUUUUAGAGAAGGUUGAGCAAUUGCGACAAUCUUUUCCACACAUUAAGAUUUUGCUUCAAUUGCGUGGAAGAUAAUGUUUCAUUGGUAUGUUAACAAACAAUGUUGACGAUUAGCUAGAGAUUUAUCAAUUUGAUUUUAUUUUUAGUUACCUUGAGCUAAUUUAUUGUUGACCAAGGUGCAUGUUUUGUGAAAGUUAGUUUGAGUUUUGAUUGCCUAGUAUCAUUGUGAAAGUUACCUUGAGCUAAUUCUAGUAGACAUUUUGCUUCCACAUACAUGUAUUUGAAACUUUAAAAUUUUGUUAUAAUUGUGAUUGAUAUUUUUUGUUUUCAUAGUUAAUUUUGUUAAUUAUAUAUAACGUGAUAAUAUCAUCUAUUACUAUUAAAAAUUUUGUUGAUUUAUAUUUACAAAAUAUUAAUAAUAGUACAAAUUGUUAAAAAAAUAAUAAUAAUCUUUUCUUGUGUACACUAACACUAACAUAGUGAUAUAAUGAAGGUAACAGAUAAAUUUUUUCGGUGAAUACUUCAGAAAACAAAGUUGACACAANAAAAAAAAAAAAAAAAAAAAAAAAAAAAAAAAAAAAAAAAAAAAAAAAAACCCCAGCAAUAUUAGACCUCAAUUCGCUUUAAUAAAAGCAAAAUAGCUGUUUCUUGCGCUUUUUAAGUACAUUCCGAAACUAAUACAGCUGCAAAAUGUAGUUUGCAAAGCAAGUGUUGCACAACAAUUACUAGAAGAUAUAUAUAUAUAUAUAUAUAUAUAUAUAUAUAUAUAUAUAUAAAAUAAAAACAAAAAUCACCCUAGUUAGGAUGAGAAGGUUGAAGAUCACCACCUCCGCACCAAAGACGUAAGCAACUGGAAAAAAGAAAAAAGAAAAAAAAAAAAGGAAUUAUAAGGGAUUUUCUUGAAAAAGGAAUGUUAAUUCAAAAUCACAAUAUUAUCUAUAUGAUACCAUGUAAUUCAUACUCAAAAAUGCCAACUCAAAACCAUACUAUCUUAUAUGAAAGAGUAAAUUGCGCAUUUGGGUCGUCAAAACUACGAGGCGCAUGACACGUUAGUCCUCAAACUUCAAUUUGUUAUAAUUUUGACUCGAACUUUCAGAAUUGUUGCAAUCAGGUCCCAUCACCCAAUUUAGUUGACCAAGUUUUGAUAUAUCGCAAACGUAGAAGUCAUGCAGCCGUGUUGUGACUAAUGAUCCAUUAACAAUUAAGAUGCUAUAUCAUUUUCUCCUCAGAUGCGUCAUCAACUCAUCAUUUAAUCAACUAAAUUUGGUUGUGGAACUUGAUUGCAAUAAUUCUGAAAGUUCUAACUAAAAAUUAUAACAAACUAAAGUUUGAGAAUUAACGUGUCACCGACCUCAUAGUUUGAGAACCAAACAUGCAAUUAUUACCCUAUUUGAAAGAAAAAAUUAUAAGUCCUUGAACUUCUGGCCAAGUAUUAUUUUGGUCGUUAUUUGAGUAUCCAAACUUUUAAAAGUGUUUUACUUCCGUCCUCACCUUUAUUUAUGUGAAAAAAGGUAUUGCCCACGGCUGGUGUAUCCCCUACAUUCAUGCCUUAAAAAUUGGACCAUUUGUUUCGUAAUAAGAGAUGGAUGUAAGGCCGUUGGGUUUGUGGUGCACAGAUGUAAAAUGAACCAAGCGCAAACGAUAAUCUUUUUUCUCUAAAGUUGGGAGUUAAACUAAAACAAUUUCAAUAGUUUCGGGAUCCUGAAUAUCAAACUUAGAAGUUCGAGGACUAAAAUGAAACUUGAUCGAAAGUUCGCAAUCUGGUAGCAACUUACAGCAACUACUGCUGACACUACAUUUGGUUUAACUAGUUCAACUAGCUGAAAUGUUGAAUUGUUUAUAAUUCGGUGACACCAACAAUCAAGUGAAAGUUGUAAUGUAUGAGGAGCAAGGAAAGAAGUCGCAUUAAUAAGAGGAGACUCCAAAAUUUUUUAAAACAAAGACGAAAUAACAGAUUGCAUGCAUCUUAAGAAAGUAUGGGAAAGUCUAAAUCCACCUAGUCAAGGAAGUAGUGAGAGAGAAUACAAUGUCUUAUUUCUUUCUAUCGGAAAAAGAUACAGCAUCUUAGAUGAAAAAACCUUUGGUGUUUGCAUAAUUUCUUCCUUUUUUCUCAUUCAAGGUCUAGAUGGAAGCUUUAAUUCAUAUGUUCUGGUCCACACGAAGGAAAGUUGCUAAUCAUGUAUAUAGUCAGGCAAAGUUCUGCAGCUAUGAUUAUCCUACAAAUAGAGCAGCAACUGAAACACAGGCAAGGCGAUAAAAAUUGAAAACUGCUCUAGGAAGACAGUAAUUUCUUAAAAACAAGUUUCUAACCUCAAAGAGUUCAAAUGGGCUCCCUUGCCGAUAGACAUCAUUUUGCUUGCUUUGCCUACCAGAAAGAAGGUUGGAAACAAGUGCUCGCCAUACAAGAAGCAAGACCCCGGUACUUGCCAUGGUUACCAAUAUAAAGUUAAUUGGCGGGAUAUGACCUGAUGUUACUGCCCUGAUGAUAAUUCCUAACUGCAAGAUGGAAAAGAUAAAAGGGAAUUAGAAAAGAACAAGGGUAAGAAGCAUUUUCACCAGCAAGUUAAGCAACAAUCGCAUGGGACAGGUUGUCGAGACAUUGAAAAUAUUAGAAAUUAGGGAUAUUUCUUUACUGACUAAGAAAUCACUCCACAAUGAUUUGACCUAAUGCCUAGCUUCUGGAACAGAAUCGAGAUUAUUAAACUGAAACUAUGAAAAUUCCUCGAAGAAUCAUACGAUGCCCUCGUUCAGAGAGUAAAAUAUACAAAUAAAUUUCCAACUCAAAGAAACUAAUCUACUCUCCAUCAAUUGAAUUGCAAGCAAAUGGAGUCUUACCGGUAUUCCAACUGCCCAGGACUUAGCAGCAGCAGUAAUGGCUUUCAUGGAACCAUUCAUCCCUUUCCCGUCAUCCCCAUAAGCUCCAAGAAAGUAGGCACUCAGUAUCCACCCUACAAAAACAUCAACCCAGUUAUCAUGAGGACCAUCAAGAGUAAAACCCAUUUAUAAAUUCAAAUAAAGAUUGAAAUUUUUCUAACCAGCAAUGAAAGGAUCUGCAGUCUUCAAAGUCUCAAAGUCAAGAACAGCAAACCCAUGGCUGAACCUCCCAACAGCCGAGAAAAUAAGGAGGCAGAGAACAUCCCCACCAGCCAGUAGACCCACCUGCCUGAAAACCUAAUCCCACAUUAGCAAGGAUAAAAUGCAUCACGAGCUCUCAAAAUUUCUAGUCAAGUUUCAAUUUGUUCCCCAGUGUUUCAAAUUCUUUGGGUAAAUAAAGCCCUAGGUCUCUAAACCAUUGCAUAAGAAUAGUUUGGUCACCAAACUAUAAUUUGAUAUAUUAGGGGGCUCGAACUUAAAAAUAUUCUAAUCAAGUCCUGCUACAUGCUUCCAUCGCUUAAAAGUGACGGGAAUCCAAUGUCAUAUGCCAAAUACCAAUUCAUAUGCUCAUCAAUUACUUGUGUGUGCCAAAAACUCUCCUUGAUCUGUAGAAUUAACUCUUUCAAAAGCCUUCAUAAAUCUAGAUUAUUAGUGUGGAAAUAAUGUAUUGUCAUUGCUUGAAAUAGUGAUUGAUGGACUUAGGAACAGUAGCUUGGCAUGCAAUGUCAGAUUUCCAUCUCUCUGGACGAUAUAAGUGAAAGAUGGGACUCAGAUUGGAACAUUUAAAGUUCAAGUGCUCUAAUGCAACAAAUCAAGUUUAGGGACCAAAGUGGAAUUGGAACAAUAGUUCGGGAAGACAGGAACUAAUACUAAAAUGUACCUCAAUUUUCACAAUUGGCAUCUGAACCUCUGCAUCCAAUUACAAUCUAAUGUUUAGUGUAGUGUUGACGCUAGUUACAUGACGUUGCAUAAGCAUUUCUUUCCCUUUCAACGGAUGAAUCAAGGUAAAAAAAGGGUUAGGAACCAAACUGACACUUUGCAGACUCAUUUGGAGCAUUGCAAAUAAUUAAUCAUCCGAAUAUAAUACCCUGGCAUGGUCGGUUGUUAGUGUUUUGAAGGGUUGUGCAGCUCGGUUAAAGAAUUUUUCUCCUGCUAAAGUUGCCUAGUCUAGAAGAAACCAUAAUUGUUCCACUGCUAAAAUCGCUAACUAACACUUUAAACUCAUGACAUGAUUGCAAAUGGUUUGACGAACUAUCAUUCUUGUAUCAAAAAGACACUUCUUGCCAAAUAGUUUGGGUAUUUUCGAUCAAAUUAAUGAAAUUAACAAACUAGAACUUGAAAAAUAGAUGACAUUACAAAAGAUUAGGAAUGAAUCACAUGGAACCAAAUAUAAGCGGUUAAGCUUUUGGUAUCAAACGGACACUCUGGUAAUUAAGAGGGUUGAGGAAUUUAGCAGACCCAAAUGCCAAAACUAAGAGUUUUGGGGCCAAGCUGACACUUUAUUAAUCAAAUGUGUUAAGGAUUCUCGAUCAAAUCUCUCAAAUUAACGAAAAUUAGGGCUAAAUUUUGAACGGACCCAAAGCCAAAAAUUAAAGUUCCGAGCCCAGCUAGAUACAUUGUUAAUUAAAGGUGUUGAGAAUUCUCAAUCAAAUUUCUGAAAUUAACGAAGCAGAACUUGAAAAUGAGAUAAGAUUACAAAACAUUAGCGAUGAACUGAACGGAUCCAAAUACCAAUAAUUUAAACUUUGGGAGCAAAGCGACACUUCGUUAAUCAAAAGCGCUAAGGAUGCUUAACGAUCAGAGUUCAUCAAAAUAGCAAAAACAGUAAAAAGGGGAACAAAAUCAACGAAGAUUAUGAGAAAUUACGCCGAGGAGAGGAGCUUGGACGAGACCCCGCGCGGCUUCUCGAACUGGAUCACGCCUUCCAAGGGGACCUCGUCGUCGCCGACGAAGACGGUCUCGCCGCCGCCGCCGCCACCGUGCUCCGCCGCGGAGGGGAGGGGGCGAGUCGAGGGGCCCGCGGCGUCGUCGGCGCUGGAGAGGGAGAGGCGCGGAGUGAGAGGAGGAGGGGGGCUUCGUCCUCUUCUUCCGAUUCUAGGGUUUCGGAGGGGGAAUUUGGGGGUGGGUUUGGAGAAGAGGGGAGAGGCGGAGUAGGGUUUGGGGAGGAGGGAGGAAGGUGCAGGGGAAGGGCACCGCCGCGCCGAGAGAGCGCCGUUCGGAGCUUGGCUCAGCACCAACAUCGUCGCCGUAGGAUUGGGGUGUGUGUGGUUCGUGCUCUACGUGGGUGAGAAGCCUCAUUUUAUUCAUUUAUUUAUUUAUUUAUUUAUUUAGUUAUUUAUGGCCUUAUUUUUGUAUUAAAAUUUUUGGAUUAAUUUCAUACAUGAUCCUGCAAAUAUAGUAAAUUAUAAAUAUAUCUCCAUAUAGUUUAACUUUUAUAUGUUGUCUUUACAAAAAUUUUAAUAUUUUUAAAUAUAUUCCUUUGAUUUAUUACCGUUAAAGUACCAUCUAUUUUAUAAGCACAAAUAUCUUCCUUCAAAAGUUUAAUUAAAGAUGAAUAAAAAAAUCAAAUCUUAUUCGGGAUGCACCCCUAGCUUACCAGCAAUAGCUAGUUAGGUUUCUUGAAAAAUAAGGAAAUUCAGAAAAUAAUUUUUGGACCUAAAAAUGAUAUUCUUCAGUUCGAUUUUCAGAAAAAAAAAAAAGAAUUAUGAAGAAUUUUUUUUUGUUUUUCAAUUUUUGUGUGUGAAAAAAUAAACACUUUGAAAAAAGUGUUUUUCACAAAAAAAAAAAAAAAAAAAAAAAAGAUUUUCACGAUUUUUCGAGAAACCAAACAAAGGGAAAUUUUUUUUAUAAAAGGACUAUUUCAAAAAAUUAGAAUUAAUGAAUUAUUUAUCAAAUUUGAGAAAAUAACUGUUACAAAUUCAGCAAUAAAAUCUUGUAAAAACAAACUGGCAGUUAAAAUUAGUUAGAACAAUUGCUGUAAGAUCAUAUAAGUUAAAUAAAAUUAUUCAAUUACCUUUGACACUAUUAGCAAGAGUGAGGCUACUAAGUUAUCGGAAGUACGGAGCCUUCCGUGCUUCCAGCUCGUUUUCNUUAUAUUAUGUUUUUAAAGCUAAAAAAUGAAACAUAAAAAAAAUAAAAUAAAUAAAAUAGUGAACACGACGAGACCCUUCCCAAAUUGGGAAGCGGCGUAAGUCAAAAUUUAUGCGGUCAUUGGAAUCGGCAACGCUGACGAAAAUUACGGCUGCAUCAAAUUUCGCGCUCAACUCCUCUCCGGAAAAAAAAAAAUGUUCUAUGCGGACGUACCUUCAUAAGCCAAUAUGCGGGGGGAAUUAAAAAUUUCGGUUUUAAAUAUCUUAUUAUAUUUCUAAUCUGUUUUUAUUAAAUAAAUCUUUUAAGUAACACAAAAUUAGAGCCCGCUCUAAGCUCUCUCUCAAUUGAAAGAGAUCGUAUAAGUUCAUUUUCUAUAAUCAUUCACUUAUCCACAUAAUAUUAUUACAUAAGAAAAAAGUUAUUAAAAAUUUAUAUUUAGAUUCUAAGCUUAAUUUCUUGUUAAAUUUUAGAUUUUGCUGAUGCGUUUGGUGAGUAAAUUACGAUGCAUUCAUGUACAUAAUUUGGAGGGGUUUAGAUCCAUUCUCUGAAAUAAGUACGAAAUCAAACAAAAUAUAUAUAAACUGGUUUAAUUCGUCGGAUUUUAAAGAUUGGUUUGACAAAGAUAUCUAAUUACUCAUCGUAGUCGCAUUUAUAAAGAACUUUAUAUAACUCUUUUUUGGAAAAUAUAUAUAUUACUUACACAGCUACAUUUGAUGCUAUAUAUAUAUAUAUAUAUAUAUAUAUAUAGAGAGAGAGAGAGAGAGAGAGAGAGAGAGAGUGUGUGUGAGACUAUUAUGCUAUCGGAAGCACGGAGCAUUCCGUGCUUCUAGCUUGUUUUCGAUGUUGCGACUUUCGAAUAGUCGAUCGGCUCCAUUAAACUUGAUCUAGAGUAUUUGGAGUACCUAGAAAAUAAAUUUUAUAAUUUUACGAUAUCAUUUGCCUAGUGAACGAAGGGCUCAAAAUCAACGGCUGAAAAUAAAAAUCUUACAAAAUGUAAUAAUAUGACAUUAAAAUUUUAAAUCAAAGAUAUUGAUCUUGUUUUAUAUAGUAUAAAAAAUUUUCUAUCAAAAUUUCACGUGAUUUGAAUAUUUUUACACCGUUAAACUUGCAAACGGCUCACUACGGCCAUUGAAAUUUGUUGAUUUUGAGCCCAUUCGAUCACUAGGCAAAUGAUAUCGAAAAAUAAUAAAAUUUAUUUUCUAGGUACUCCAAAUAUUCUAGAUCAAGUUUAACGGAGCCGAUCGACGAUUCGAAAGUCGCAACAUCGAAAACGAGCUGGAAGCACGGAAGGCUCCGUGCUUCCGAUAGCAUAGUAACCUCACUCCUAUUAGCAAAAUAAGAAAUCUUUUUUAUUUAAUUUUUUUUACCCAUUUUCUUAGUUGCAAAU